rnacentral:lncRNA from 1 species
ACUGGUGGAUUAACAAUGGGAGGGAUUGUGACUGGUGGCUUAACAAUGGGAGGGAUUGUGACUGGUGGCUUAACAACGGGUACUGUGGGUGUCUUUGGUGUUUUACCAGGCUUGUGCUUUUUGGGGGGUUUGCCACAGUAGCCACAACCGAGAAUGGGAGUGGCGGAGGAGAGGAAGAGCAUGCAAAGGAAGAGGUAAGCAUAGAUCUUUGAGGACUCCAUGCUUACAAGUUACAAAGAGAGAGAAAGUAGUAAUUGUAAUAUAGUGGAGAUGCAGGUGGAGGAAGCUGGGGGAGGGUGCAUAUAUAGGAAUAGGAUAUAGAAACGAGGAGAAGAAAACAAAAGGGUUAAGAGCAGAUCACGUGAAGAUGGGGCUAGCUACACUCAAAAGGCAGAUGCCAAGUUUUGCAAGCUGGCACACCUUACAAGUGUACACUACAUAACAUAACACAAACAUGAUCAAUUUUUCCGAAUUUUAGGUUUACACCAUAUAUCCCAGAACGGAACCUCUCUCUAUACUAUACUUGCUGCUAGCUGCACAAACUUACUUAACCCUCGUUCCAGUUACUGUGGUUGCUCGUUGCUUAACCUCUAUAUGGUCCCAGAUCAAGUGUCAUGUGUCUGUCUCUAAGGGAAAAUAAAAGGGAGCCCCGUGAAACUACAGAACAGGUUUAAGUUGCUUAGCCAGUUAAACCAACCAAAACAGUAGUAACCUUCAUCUUGCUUUCGCCAAGACUUUCUCCGCGUUAACCUCAAAUAAUUCGUAUACUAUCUUACUAUUUUUUUAAAUCUUUUUAUUGGUUCAGACUUCAUAGAUAAGAUAAUUAAAAUCUGAAUUGUUUAUAUGUAAGUUAACAAAUUUGUUGUGUAUUUAUAUAUAUAUAUAUAUAUAUAUAUAUAUAUAUAUUUAGAAUAAGUAAGUUACAUCUUAGAUGCAUUUUAAGAUUAUAGUUUGUUAACUUAUUCUUUCUAAAAAUAAUAUUUAUAUAUAAAAGACGCGUUUACUAUAUUUAGUGAAUGAAUUAUUUUUAGGUGAAAGUUAGAAAAAAAAAAAUAUUGAUUAUUAAAUCUUAUAAUCAAUUUUGUUUUCUUGAGAUUUGAAUAUGAUUGUUUUCGAUGUAAGAUACUUAUACUUUAGAUAAAAAAAUCUUAUAAUGCGUGAUAAUGUUUAAGAUUAAAGCAUAUGAGUUAUGUGAGAUUUUUUAAAAAUUUCAUGAUUUUUUUAAGUGUUUACAUAAUGUUAAAUUUCAAUAAUCAUUUUUAUAUGAUGGUAAGAUUAAAAUUUAUUUUUAUUUUUUUAAGAGAUUUACUUUGGUUAUUCAUAUAAAAACGGUUGGGUUUAAAUAUAAACUUAGAGGAUAUUUAUUUUUUCUCUUCUUUUUAAAUUACGAUGAUUAAAAAAUUCAAUUUUAAAUUUAAAUGAUGAAAAAAAACUCUAUUUUAUUGAUUAAAAUUAUAUUUAAGCCAAAUGACUAUUUCAUUAUACUAUGAGUAGAGAUGUUAAAAUAGUUCAACCUUAUCUAAAAACAAAAGUUGUGUGGGACUGAAUCCGUUUUAUGAUUUUGUUAAAAAUCUGAACCCAACCUUGUUGACUUGCAAAAAUUAAAAAAAAAACUCUGUUGUACUCACCAAACAAUUAAAAUAAAUAAAAUCAUAAAUAAGUGGUCAAAGUUAUUUUCAUUUUAAUCAUUUAUUUAAAUUAUGCAAUUGUUAUUUAUUUCCCUCUAUAUAUCUUAAUGUAAAAACACUUUUCAAUAUUAAAAAAAAACCUACUUUUCAUUUUUUUCCUUUGAUUAAUUGUGAAGUGCAUAUAUAAAUAAAAACUUGCAAUUUUAUAUGUGUCACUUUUUUUUAUUGAAUAAAUCUAAACCGUGUACACAAACAUUGCAAAUCAGUAAAAAAAAAACAAAACAUUGCAAAUUAAACCGGAAUAUUAUAUUUGUACGUCAACUUCUUUUUUAUUUUAGUUUUCUCUUUAUUUUUUAAUCAUAUUAUUUAUAAUAUCUUUUUUUUUUAUUUCUUUCGCCCAUACAUUCUCAAUUUCUCAAAUUGUGAUGUAUGAUUUAACCUUUUCGUUAUAAAUCAAAGCAGUCCUAUUUAAGUUAAUGAACAGUAAUUUUAGAAAAUCUACUUCUCCGAUGGUAUAAACUAUAAACUGUGCAUGGUCCACAUCCACUUUUUUGUACUACGUUUGCAUAAUUCAAUUAUUCGUUACACACACACACACACACACACACACACACACACACACAUAUAUAUAUAUAUAUAUAUAUAUAUAUAUAUAUAUAUAUAUAUAUAUAUUAACAUUUAAUGUACUGAUAAUAAUGAAAUAAACUCUAAAUGUUUAUGCUAAUAGUUUAAUUGUUACUACAAUAGACAAAUAUCAUACAAGCAAAAAUUAAUGUAUAUAACACCAAAUUAUUAGUAUAAAACAUUACAUAUAUAUGUUACGUAUUAUGUAAGUUGUGUGUUUAGGGCACUUAAAAAAACAUUUUCACAAUUGUGACCAUAUCUAAUAUUCUAAUAUAGAAAGUCUUUUUUAAUUGAUUGUGUUACGUAUUAUGUAAGUUGUGUGUUUAGUGCACUUAAAAAAACAUUUUCACAAUUGUGACCAUAUCUAAUAUUCUAAUAUAGAAAGUCUUUUUUAAUUGAUUGUGACAAAAACCGAUAUAGCAAUUGUAUUUUAUAUAUGAAUUGAGGCGGAAAUUGAUCUAGAAAUGUGAAAAAUAUCAAUGUUAAAAACUUUUUUUUGUACUAGUGUAUAAAGAUAUUUAUAAGUUAGUAUUAAAAUAAUGUUAUUAACUAAAAUGAUUAUAUACAAAAACAACAACACAAGUCUUGUUGAAGUUGCACUGUAUACUUUCCUUAAUGAGUCUAAAUAUAAUAGUUUUGUCAUACUUAUAUACCAAUCAAUGCAUUAGGUGAUGUAAUGGUUAUUGUUGUUCACACAUAUUGACCAUAUAUAGGUUUAACCGUUUAAGCUUGGGGAUUAAUAUUUGUCUGCAUUUCAUAAAUGUAAGAUGUCAAGUUAAGGUGAGGAACAAAAUUAAACAAUUAAAAAUUGAAUUAAUUUUCGUCAAUACUUCUAUUAGUACUCAAGUUCUACAUUAAUAUAUUCAGUUAGCACUGUCAACAUUUACAUCAAUACAUUCAUAUCAACACUUUACAAUUAUGCUUGCAUCUUUGUCAAAUAUUAGAUAUUAAGUUAAUGGAUCGAGUAAAGUUACAAAAUUAGAAAUAUGAAAACUAUCAAAGUAAUUAAAAAUUAGGAGACCAAAAUCAUUCAAACACUAUUAUCAUGAGAACUACAAGUAUAAUUAAACUUAAAAAUUAUUUGAUAUAUAAAGAAACAAAUAGUCGCUGAAAUUGUGAAACAACGAUAAUUCUGCAACUUAAUUUGCUGGCACAAGAAGAAUGAAGUUUUCCAUCUACUGUAAAAAGUAUGAGAAAUAAAAAUGAUUUUGGGUAGUUUUCGAUCCUGCUUUACAUGUACACAGCGCCAUUUUGUUCAAGCUCAAGUUAUGUUGUCCUUUCUCUAAAACUAAACUGUGGGGGCAAGAUAUAUAAUUCCAUAAACAUAAACAAACAAUAAACUUUUUUAAUCUUUGUUUUUUGGUCGACAAGAGACGAGAAGGCUAAAGAAAAGAAAAAGUUCAAAACAGUUAACACUUACGGCAAGACAAUGUCACAAGUACCAAAAAGUUCUUAAACCUUCAUGAGUUUUAGAAAGAGAGUGUAGUGUGGUCUUGAAUUGAAAGUGAAACUUCAAUGACAAUUUAUCAAGAAUCAUAUGCAUCGCCUUCAUUAUAUUUGUAUGUGUUAGUGCGUGUGUUUUUGUAUAUCAUUUUCCAAGCUUCUCUAACGUCACUUUAUUGCACAAACAAACUUGUCCUAACGCUUGAAAUAUAUAUAUAUAUAUAUAUAUAUAUAUAUAUAUAUAUAUAUAUAUAUAUAUAUAUAUAUAUAUAUAUCUCGCAAAGGCAUCCUAUGAUCGAGUGAUGAAUGAAUAGAUGCUAAAGUCACCAAUGAACCAUCGCUCCCUUAUGAACCCUGAGCUUAGGAAAAAUUUUUGACUCCUGGAUAGGCAUUUUUUUAGAAACAGUGGGGCGUGAGAGUUUGUAACGCAUAUAUAUAUAUAUAUAUAUAUAUAUAUAUAUAUAUAUAUAUAUAUAUAUAUAUAUAUAUAUAUAUAUANNNNNNNNNNNNNNNNNNNNNNNNNNNNNNNNNNNNNNNNNNNNNNNNNNNNNNNNNNNNNNNNNNNNNNNNNNNNNNNNNNNNNNNNNNNNNNNNNNNNNNNNNNNNNNNNNNNNNNNNNNNNNNNNNNNNNNNNNNNNNNNNNNNNNNNNNNNNNNNNNNNNNNNNNNNNNNNNNNNNNNNNNNNNNNNNNNNNNNNNNNNNNNNNNNNNNNNNNNNNNNNNNNNNNNNNNNNNNNNNNNNNNNNNNNNNNNNNNNNNNNNNNNNNNNNNNNNNNNNNNNNNNNNNNNNNNNNNNNNNNNNNNNNNNNNNNNNNNNNNNNNNNNNNNNNNNNNNNNNNNNNNNNNNNNNNNNNNNNNNNNNNNNNNNNNNNNNNNNNNNNNNNNNNNNNNNNNNNNNNNNNNNNNNNNNNNNNNNNNNNNNNNNNNNNNNNNNNNNNNNNNNNNNNNNNNNNNNNNNNNNNNNNNNNNNNNNNNNNNNNNNNNNNNNNNNNNNNNNNNNNNNNNNNNNNNNNNNNNNNNNNNNNNNNNNNNNNNNNNNNNNNNNNNNNNNNNNNNNNNNNNNNNNNNNNNNNNNNNNNNNNNNNNNNNNNNNNNNNNNNNNNNNNNNNNNNNNNNNNNNNNNNNNNNNNNNNNNNNNNNNNNNNNNNNNNNNNNNNNNNNNNNNNNNNNNNNNNNNNNNNNNNNNNNNNNNNNNNNNNNNNNNNNNNNNNNNNNNNNNNNNNNNNNNNNNNNNNNNNNNNNNNNNNNNNNNNNNNNNNNNNNNNNNNNNNNNNNNNNNNNNNNNNNNNNNNNNNNNNNNNNNNNNNNNNNNNNNNNNNNNNNNNNNNNNNNNNNNNNNNNNNNNNNNNNNNNNNNNNNNNNNNNNNNNNNNNNNNNNNNNNNNNNNNNNNNNNNNNNNNNNNNNNNNNNNNNNNNNNNNNNNNNNNNNNNNNNNNNNNNNNNNNNNNNNNNNNNNNNNNNNNNNNNNNNNNNNNNNNNNNNNNNNNNNNNNNNNNNNNNNNNNNNNNNNNNNNNNNNNNNNNNNNNNNNNNNNNNNNNNNNNNNNNNNNNNNNNNNNNNNNNNNNNNNNNNNNNNNNNNNNNNNNNNNNNNNNNNNNNNNNNNNNNNNNNNNNNNNNNNNNNNNNNNNNNNNNNNNNNNNNNNNNNNNNNNNNNNNNNNNNNNNNNNNNNNNNNNNNNNNNNNNNNNNNNNNNNNNNNNNNNNNNNNNUAUAUAUAUAUAACAUUUAUUUAUUUCUAUCAAUCCUAUACCAAUUUUAUCAAUUUCCGAUCCAUCAAUUUUAGAAUCAUUUUGACCAAGCGUAAAAGGGUCAUCAGUUUAAAUUUGCACAUUAUGCAUGACGAUCGAUCGUUGUUUUCUAACUCUAUUUAACUAAACAAAUUAAAACUUUUUGUAUUACCUAUAGAUAGAGAGAUAGAGAGAUCAAACUAGCCCAAUAGCCGCAAAUAGGUAUGUGAAUGACGAAUCAAAAGGUUGUAAACUUAUUCACUUUUCACGAAAAAUAGAACCACGAAGCGAAAACGAGGGCAUAGGAAUUAGGAAGCACAUAGCCUUUGCUGUAACUUUCCUCCCAAUCCCUUUGUAGCUAAAUCAACUUGCCAGGUCUUACCAACUACUAAGCCUGGACAUGCAAACCUUUUUACUACAAAAUGAAAAGAAUGUACCUAGUAACCAAGAAGAUUAAUUGUAUUUAGAUGUAUCUACGUAGAUAUAUAGUUUUUGACCAACAUAAACUGAUCAGUUAAUAUAAAUCUUAUGAUUUUAUGUUAAGAAUGUAUUUUAAUUUUCUAUGUUAAGAAUGUAUUUUAAUUUUGACCAAAUAAAAAUUCUAUUUAACAUUUUUUUUAUUAAUAUAUGACUUUUUUUUUUAUAGUAUUUGAGAUAUUGUUUCGAAUCCAUCAGAGGUGGAUGGAAUUUAUGAUCUUGACUAUCUUGGGUGCUUCCAUCCCUUCUCUGCAAUGAAGAAAGAUGCAUUCCAAAUAUAAGACUAAUAAGAGGUUGAUCGGGGAAUUUUAGUGUCUAAUUAAUUUGAUUUUUAAAAAAUUUAUUUCUCAUUUUUAAAAUCAAUUAUAAUUUUCUUACAAUAUAUAUAUAUUUUUUUAUUUUUAAAUGUUUAUAUACAAAAUAAUGAAAAUUUAGUUUCAUUAGUCAUUAUAAAAACUUUUAAAAUGAAACAUUCAAGCAUUACACGACACGCAUGCGCAUGACAAAAAAACUCCAAAAUAUUAUUUAGAACAACAUUACUAUUUGUUACAAAAUACUUUUGAGAAAAAAGAUUAUACAUAAACAAUAUAAAUUUUUUUACACCAUCAUUCAAUAAUAUAUAACCAUUAAACUCAAUUUAUUUUGAGGAUAACAAAAUUGAAAUUGAUCACUAAUCAGGUUUGUGCUUUAAGUUACUUAUAAAGGAGAAGAAAAAUCUACAAAUUAAUCACGUUUGACAACAUGCACUGGACAAAUUUUGCCUUCCCACUUGGGAAGUUUUCCUUUUCAACAGUGCUUGCUGCCGACAUUAAUGUGAAUUUUUCUUUUGGGGAGAGACAAUUAUUUAAGCAUCGGAUUUCUCUAAAAUGAGUAAUUAGGAAAGUGAAGUAAUUUUAGUUAUUGACUAAAAAUUAAUAAUUAAUAUUAUAUUUAUAUAUGUAAUAUUUUUUUUUGUUUAGACCGUUGGUCAGGUAAAAGUAACCUCACGACAAUUGAUAUUUCAGUAAAAAAAAAUUGAAUGCACUAAAAUAUCAAUAAUUAAUCUUUUAUCAAUGAUUGGAAUUACUUAUUUUGUUCUUACUUUAUAGAACUCAAAUAUUUUAUCCUUUAUUCCUUUCGCGAUAAUUACACUUAAAAUUUUAUUUGAGAAACAAAAUCAAUUAUAUUUAAAACAAUCAUUACUUAAAAUAAUAAUAGCAAUAUUUUUUAAUCUCUAUAAUAUUUGUAUUUUGUUUUGUUCCUUGAAAGUAUCAAUCUGAUUGUAUCUUUAUUAUUUUUUUAUUCAUUUUUGUCGCUAACUAACAUCAAGAUUUCUUGUUGCAUGAUUAUAUGAGUAAUCAAGAUUGAAAAACGAUCUUGGUGUUCCCUAAAAACAUGAACUAAAAAGAACAUCUUUGAUCAAUAUUUUUUUAUUUAUAGAAAUAAAAAAUAGGUAGUAAUAGGUUUACAAAAUAGUAUCAAUAUUACUUUAAUAAUAAAUAUCAUACUUUAAUGACCAAAUUGUCAGUGUAUUUAACAAUUUGAUUAAUUAGUCACAGCACAAAUAUAUUUGUGGACAAAUUGAUCAUUUAAAAAAUUGUCACAGCAUAAAUAUAUUUGUGGACUAAUUGAUCAUUUAAAAAAAUAUAGAAACUAAAUUGUCAAUGCAUAGUUUAACGACUAAAUAGGUUAUUAAAUUGUCCUUUAUAUUCUAAUUUCUUUUUUCUUUUCAUAUGAAUUUACACUUGUGAAUUUUUUUCCUCUGUCUGUGUUGAAUAGCCAAGGGGUGUACAACUGUCCAUUAAUUGCUCAUUUUCCUGCUAGAAUAUCCAAGUACUGCGCUCACAGUGCUUCGAGAAAAUAGGAAGAGAAUGCAGAAGUACUGUGGGAAAAGUGGGAAUGGGAAACACUGAAACAGUACAGCUUGGCAGCCAUGUGAGAAGAGUGGGGGUGGAUUGAGAAAUGAGAAAGAAAGAAAAUGAUUAUUCAGAUAGCAUCAUGUCCCUGAUGUGGAUGUGUAAUACUGUCCGUGAUGGGAUACACACCUUCUAAAGGCCUUUUAGUUUUUGUAACUUUGUAGAUCCGUGAAUCAGCUUUCUUUGCUCUCUGAUGUGAAAUCUCUCUCACUUAUCUUUCCUUCACUCUUAUCCCCGUAUUUAUUUAUGUGUUAUACUGCACUGACCAUGCCAUGCAUGUACUGCAGAAAGAAGUUUAGUAUGUACUGUACGUGUAUGCAUACAACUGGAGACUUGUAUAUUUUUUUUAUUGACAAAUAUUAGUUGAUAAUAUUAUUAAUUUUCUGACAGGAAGAUUUGAAUCCGCAACUUCUUUGUUUUCUUCUUCUCUCUUCAUCCUUCACCCUGGAACAGCCUUAUAUCUCCCUCUGCCUUGUAUCAUGAACUAUACUAUAUAUAAAUGGUGAAUACCGUAACACCCCUCCCCCGAAGUUUAAAAGUGUUUAAAAGAGUUUACAAGCAAACGAUCUAUUCAUUAAGAAAAAAUAGGUUAUAUUGUGUGAGUAUAAAAUAAUUUUAUAUUAUUGUCAUACAAUUAAAAAAUCAAGUUAAUGAUGAUAAUUUUUAAGAGAAAUUAUAUUUGUACAAUAAAUUAUACAACUAAAAAAGACAAAGAGAAAAAUAAAAGAUAAAUUUAAAUGAUGAAAUAGAAGAAAGAAAUAGACAUAAAAUAUAAUAUUAUACAAGUUAUUAUACAUAUAUCACUUCUCAAUUUUUAAUUGGUUAAAAGUUAUGACACUCACGCGUAGCAUAAUCAUUAAACUUAUUGGUUAAUAAGCAAAUUAAGGAUGUAUUACCAAUAUAAUAAUAAACACUUAAUAUUUUUUUUUGAAAAGUAAUAAACACUUAAUUAAAGUAGUGCAUGUUUGGAUAGUGAUUAAUUGAUUACUUUUUAUAGGUCUUUUUACUUCAUUUCAUAAACUUCAAAGUGAAGUUAAUUCAUGCAGACUUUAGUACACCUCGCCUCUCUCUCACCCAGUUCUGAGCUUUUUGCACUAAUGAUCCCAUUAUUAGAUUAGAUUAAAUGCCUAUAGUAUGUAUAAGUUUUCAUAAUAAGCUUUUAUUAAAAAAACUGUGUUAAAUGGGAAGGUAAUUAAUUAACCAAAAAGUAUUAGUUAUUCUCUAAAUUAAAAGGAUUGGAAAGUUACGCAAAUGCAGGGUGAUAUUUAUCUGAAAAUGAAGUUAGAUCGGUGUCGAAACUUCUCCGACCCUCUAAAAUCUGCAUUUGUUUACUGACCACAGAAUCACGAUGACGGACAAAAGACAUUAAAUCUGCAUUUGGCAUUUGUCGUCUGUGAUGUCAAAGACUCUUCAAAUAGAGUCAGCAACAUUGAAGUAGAGGUUCAGUUUUCCAGCAAAAACUAAUGGCUGUGGUUUAUUCCCUGAAGCUUAUGGUUUCCGAGUGAACGUACACUGAUAUGUAUAGAGUGUGAAAUUGAUUCAAUCAUGAUUUAAUUAAUUUAGUGGUUUACCUAUGAUGACCAUGCAUGCACUUGGAUUAAGUACAGCCAAAAUUGAUUUUUUAUUUUUUGGUAAAAUUUUCCAUAUAACAACGUAUGUAGACACAUCGGGUGCAAGUGGGUGUAGAGAUACUUAAUAUAAUAUAUUUUCCGAUGGAAAUUAUUGAUCUGCAAUUGUCAUGUGGCAACACAUUACAGGAGGAGGCAGAUCACGUACAAAACUUUAUAAAUGAGAUCUGGGUGUAUAUAUUUGGCAUAUAUGUGAAUUAUAUGGUCCCAGUAAGAAAAGGUAUCUCAUCCUCUUUGAGACAACCAUAGUAUAUCCUUGUCAUCGAUCUUAAAUACAGAGGUGGUGCAAUGAUAUGGCUAAGUCUCAAUAAAAAUUUUCUCUCUCUCAUAUCUGUUUCGUAUUUGCAUAACAUUUUUUUGGGAGAUUGCAUUGGCAAAAGAUUAAUUUAAGCUUUUUUUUUUUCUUAAACAUUUUGUUAUCUCAUCUCUAUUUCAUCUUAAGCCAACAUAAAAUUGACACAUGACCCUGCUAACCAUUGUAUUAAUUUUCUACAUAUUUAAUUUUCACUCUUAGUCAUACCCUCGAUCGCAUGUUCGAUGAAGAAUAUUAUAUAUCAAGCCUUUCGUGCAUUUUAAUAAUUUGGUCUUAUAUUUGAUAAUAUUUUAUUUUACUCCAAUGUAAUAAAAAAUAGUUCAUAAUUAGUUACUUGAAAACUUAAAGAACAAUUCUUAACUGAAAAUUAUAAAGUUAACUUAUUAAAUUAAAAUACUUAUUAAAAUUAUAAAUGUAAAAUGACGUAAAAAUACAUGUUAUUGAAUUUAAUUAGGAUAUACAUUUACAAUACAAAUAUUUUGAAUAUUAUCAAUUAAUUAUAAAUUGUUUUAUAAUAAUUAUUUUAAAAUUUAUGUGUAAGAUAAUUUCUAAUUAGUUAAUAUAUUACAUAAAAAUCUAUUUGAGUAAUAUAAAGUCUUGAGGUGAAUAAGGUAUAUGUAAUUGCAAAUACUUGAAAAUAGAUACAUACUAAUUAGCUUGUCCAAGUUGGGCCAUUUAGAGGUCUAACCUGAAACAAUUUCAAAUAACUAUAGUGAUUCCGCUAUAAAAACUCCUUGCAAAUAAAAGUAUUAGUAACAUUAAAAGGCUAUGUUUAGUAAAAUAGUUUUUUUAUUCUGUUACUUUUUUUAUUCUAAAAAAUAGUUAAAAAGUUAAUUAAAAGUUAAAAAAGCUAAUUGAAAACCAAAAAAUUAAUGUUAACUGAAAAUUGAAAAGUUAGUAGUUAAUAGUUAUUAAUUUCAUUACAUCUUUAGGAUCACCACAUCUAAAAUGUUGUUUGGUUUAACAUCGGUCUGAACUUUAUAGUUUUGUCCUUAACAGACGUUUCAGGGAAUUAUGAGAGAAUGAUGCUUUUAAACUAUCUUAAGUAGUGUGCCAAACAUAUUCAUGUAUAUAUUAUUUUGACACAAAUUAUAAAUUUAGAUUAAAAAUUAAAAGCAUUUAUUCGAGAGGUGUAUUUUCUUUUAGUUUAAAAUAAGCUUUAUUAUAUAGUUUCAGUUACGUUAUAAAAUCACAGGAUGAAAUGUUUAAUAUUUUAAAUUGAAUUUUUUAUUAUUAUUUGUUGCAUAUUAUAGGCUCUGUUUCCUGUUUUCUGAAGAAAAGAAAAAACCUUCCCGGUUCAAGUAUAAAUGCGGGUUUAUGACGGUGUCACCUUGAAUCCAGACAAGCUGAUGAUACUUUAGUCUAAAACAGAUUAUAUUUGAAUUUAAAAUCAAAUAUAUUGAAUAUUACCAUAAUGAAUUUGAUACCAGUGUAUUAAUUAUUGAGUGUAUUUUCUUCUCAAAAUCAAUCUAAUUAAGUUAAUAUAUGAAAUACUUGUUUGAUUAAGCAUUUACCAUAACAUAGGUUUGUACAAUGUAAAAUUUAUGACAGCAUAAUUUAAACAAGUUUUACUCACGUUUCGCUGAUGUAAUAUUUUUAACCUCUAUUUACCAUAAAACAACUGUAUGUAAAACAGAGGCAGACGUGAUCCCUUGCUCAAAAGUGAUUUUUCAAAUAAAAGUGUAUCGAUGAUUACCACAAAACUAUAUCUUAACUCCCAUCCAAUGAGUGAACAUUAUGUAAUCUUUCGGCGUGGGCCAUGGGGGUGCCUCUCUGGAGCCAGACGAUGUGAUGUACCUAAAGGGUUACCCUACAGCUCAUAACUGCUAAUCAUACACCCACACACUCAUUUACCCUAAAAAACCAACGUGUACGUGUCCCCCUCUUGCCUUAGUCCUCCCAAUGCAUCAUGAUGUGUUCUUGUUCCUUAGUUCAUAAAGAAACCCUAUUCAUGUUACCCUUUUUUAUAGCUCUAGGAAUUGGAUUCAACGUGUACCAGCUAGAUCAAUAUUCAGUAACACUCCUCUUCACUUGGUUUUUGCUAUAGACUAUUUAGUGCAAUUAAGGAAGAGGAAAAGAGAAAAAGGAUUCUAAUGGAUGAAAAAAAAAAAAAGGAUUUUAAUGAAUGAUUAUAUGAGAGUAACAUCGUGUAAUUUUUUUUCCCUAGCUGGAUUGAAUGAAUAAAUAAAUAUUUGUUUUGUUUAAAAAUAAUUUUCAUGACUAACCAUAUAGUGGUGUUAUCGUUGUUUUAAGUUACAAUUAUGAAUUCCUUUGACGUAGGAUCUAUGUCCAUGUUUUCCGGCAAUUUUGGUGGCACCGAAAAUGCCAUGGUAGGCAUGAAAAAGGGUAGAGGCAGAGUUUCCUUUCAAAUUUCCAUAAUGUCGUUUACCCCAUUUUUGGACACUAAAUCAAAUCAAAUGGACACAUUGUUUUCUCUUCAUCCUUGUCUUGGUGUUGGUGUAAUUGCACCUCCAAAACCAAAACCAAAACCAAUUUCGUUACCCUUUUCUAACCACCCGAAACAACAAACGGCCUUUGGCAGAUUUACCUUCUUCUUGGUAAUUUCUUCUUCUCUCCAAAAUAAUUAACCAAACCAUUAUUAAUGGGGAUAUUGUAUGGAAUGGUGGCAAGGGGGCAGGUGGUUCUGGCUGAGUUCAGCGCCACCCAGAGUAAUGCUAGUGUAGUAGCCAAACAGAUACUCAGCAAGAUCAAUCAAGGGAGUGAUAACAAUAAUGAUUCCAAUGUUUCCUUUUCCCACGAUCGCUAUGUUUUUCAUGUCAAGAGGACAGAUGGCCUCACUGUUCUUUGCAUGGCUGAUGAUGCAUUUGGAAGUAAGAGCUUCCUCUCAUUCAUUUAUUUUCUUAUUUAUUUUUAAAAAGUAUUGUUUUCUAGGCUAGCUGGUUGUGUUUCGCUUGGUGAAUCUAAUAAUACAACAAUGAAACAAUAUUUUUUUAUAUCAUUAAAUGUUAAUUCUUAAUUUUUGUUAGUAGGAAAACGAACUCUUUUUGAUCCAACAACACUGCUUUAUGUUUUGUUUUGGGGGGUGCUAAUGAAUUGAUUCAAUUUUUGCUCUUUUUUUUUAUGGAUUUGGUGCUGUUUUUAUUUUUUAACAUCAAUGCAGAUAAUUUUUCAUUCAUCUUUGAACUAUAGAUGCUGUCAAAGUGCUUGGAAGUAUUCCUGGCCCUUUCAUGUAUUGCAAUCGCGUGUUUUGUUUGACAUAUAUAUAGGUCGUAGGUUGUUGGUUGAUUCAGAUUUUUUUCGUUUGCAGUCUAGAACACAUGGCUAGGAACAUCUAUAACAUGGUGGGGCGAGCUCUACGUUGAAACUUGAAACUGUUAAGACCUUGUUUUAGGGGAAUUCCACUUGAACCAAUCAAGUGGUAUUCAGAAUUUGAUUAUGUAACGAAAAUUUCUUGUAGUGGAAAGGAAAUGAAAUUAUGAGUAAACUUGUUAGACAAUCUUAGGUAACUUGUUUGUUAGAGUAAACUUUUCUCUUUGAUCGAUCUUAAAAUCAUGUAUACUAUCCCAAAAUUACAGUUCUGUUAUGAGACUGUAUGUGAAGCUUAAAAAUGUCCAAUCAAGAAAGGCAUAUGCCAUAGCCAAAAAAACGUGGGAAGCUGCUGGCGCCAAGAUACACCCGUAUGGGCCCAAUUAAGCUAAUGGUCCCUUCCCAUACUCUUUUUUUGUUUUUUUUUUUUGUGGGAAGCACGAAGGCGUACUUACUUUUGUGUUCACAAGAAUCUUUUUUGCUUAUUGAUUCCCCUUGAUUUCAAUGUUCAGAUUUUUUGUGACUUAAUUUAUAAAAGUUUAAAGAGUAGAUACUAAUAGCUUUAACUAUGAUAAUCUAAGGUUGAUGUGGUUGGUGCUUUGACUAAUUACUGAUAUGUAUAGGGACCUUUUUAGGGAAAAACUUGGAUACAAUAAAUUAGAUGUUGUUUGUAUUGUUUUCCAAUCAGAAUAUCAUUUUAGAAAUUAGACUUUCAACACACUAUGAUGCCUCUUAUUCUUAAAACUGUUGAAAGCUUUUAUUGCAAUUGAAAAUCCUUAGUUACUAAAUACAAAUGAUAUGACACUUCUUUGUUUACUGAUAGUGUGAAAUGCUUUACAUUGAGAAUUAUGUCACAUUUGAACUUUUAUCAAGUUGGUGAAAUUGAAACAGAAUGUAAUGAGACUGUGACAUCAUAUUGCUGGUUGUUACGUGACUGGGUGGUUGAAAUCAUUUCUGAGACAUGUUUUUGGGCAGUCAGAAUAAAUGAUUACAAAGUUUUGAGUCAAAGUGUUCACAAGAAAAACAUUCCUGCUUGAUUUGUUGUGCACUGAAGUUUGCAAUUCCUGAAUGAGCUGUAAUGAAUUGAAUCUCCUCUUUGAAUCUCUGCAGGAAUAGCCCCUUUUGCAUUUCUUGAAGAUAUUCAUAAAAAAUUUGUGAAGACGUAUGCCCGUGCUAUUCUUUCAGCUCCUGCCUAUGCCAUGAAUGAUGAGUUCUCAAGGGUCUUGAACCAACAGAUGGAAUAUUACUCCAAUGACCCAAAUGCUGACAGAUUAAACCGUCUCAAAGGUGAAAUGACUCAGGCAAGUUCGAAAUAUACACAUUUAGAUUUAUCUACACUUAGAUCCUUGUCUAUAAUUGGUUCUCUUCUGGAAUACUUUGUCCAAUUUUUCAUUCUGCAGAUUGAUCCUAUAAAUACUCUUUGGUUAAAGAAUCUUAAUUUACCUUAUGAUUCUUAUGAUUUUAAUAUGACAAACUCAAACUUGGAAUUGCAUAGUUCCAACCAACUCUUGUAUUUGAUGUGGUAAAGUAAAUUUCAAAGUAAGGUCAGAUUUAGUGUGAUAAGAUGCAUGAUUAUUUACUUAUGCAAGUCAUUAAAUGGUUUGUGGCACCAAAUACUGAACAAUUUUACUGUAGAAGAAUCGAACUAUUAAUGUAGAAUUAUUUGUUUGAUAUCAUCUGAAGACUAAUUAAUACUUGAAAAUUAAUUUGACGUGUGAUAAUGAUAGGUGAGAACGGUGAUGAUAGACAACAUUGACAAAGUGUUGGAGAGAGGUGGUCGGUUGGAGCUGCUGGUGGAGAAAACUUCAGCAAUGAAUAGCAAUUCGAUUCGUUUCAAAAGGCAGUCCCGCCGUUAUAAAAAUAACCUGUGGUGGAGUAAUGUUAGGCUAACGUAAGUAUUAAUUCAAUCCAGAUUUUGCAUAAUUGAUUUCAUUCUUAAGUUUUUGCAUUUUGAUAAUGGAAGAAAAAUAUAUAUCAGUGUUGGACUUUUCUAGGUUUUCUUGAUUGUCCUAGAUGAGAAUUAGUAUAUACUAAUAUUUCUUUAAGCACACAUUACAUUUACAGAGGCAUCUCAUCUUGUGCUUUGCUCAUGAAGCCAGUCUAUACCCAAUUUAUAGAAAUCUUGGGCUUUGAAACUUUCCAUUCAUUCUUACAAUUAUUGAAUUGCACAAUAAAGGUUUGGGGAGUUGAUAUUGGCCCCUAUCCAAUUGCUGAUGGCCUCUACCACUUUUUGAAACUGAGAUGAAAAUACAUUUUACCUCUGUAGUUUUUCCUACACCUCCCUAACUUUUGGUUAUAAUGGAAUCACGAUUUUGAUAUAUUUUUUUUAAUACUCAAUGAAAUCACCAUUUCAUUUAUAAAAUCUGAAACAGAAUUAUUAUUCUGUUGAGUAUUUUGUAUAUAAAAUCAUGAUUCCGUGAGAAACACAUGUUUAGAAAAAAAUUUUACCCACAAUAGGGAUCAUUAGCAAUGAAGUUGACGCCAAUAGCUAUUCCCUAAAGGUUGAGCAUACCUUUGACCUACUUUUCCAAUUUAUUUUUGUUGCACUUUUUUUAGCGUAUCCUGGAUUUUUGGGAGUAGAAUAAUUAUUUUUGCCUUUUGUUAAAAAAAGUUUAAAAAUGAUCUCAAAUUCUUAUGAUCCUCCUCUCUUCCUCAUGCAGGGUUGCACUUGUUAUAAUUUUCGUCAUUGUCGUUUACAUUAUACUCGCCUUCAUCUGCCAUGGUCCCUUGUUGUCUUCGUGCUGGAGAUAAGAUCUGAAGGCUAAUAGUAAAAAAAAAUUGCACUAUUUUUUGAGACCAUUGAACUACUUAUUUAAGUUAUUCAGAAUAUAAUUUAUUGGGUCAACCAAAAAGGGAAUAUAAUUUAUUGAUAUGCGAUCAUUUAUCAGAUGUUACCAAUCUAGGCUUGUGCAUGUUUUAGAAAGUAAUUAAGCAUUGUGGAUGCACUCUAUAGAGAAGGUAAUAUAUGAUGUUUAUGCAAUAUAGAAACUAUAACUAUUUUUUAAAAUGUCAAUAUUGUUGCUAACAUAUCACCGAUAACUCUUUCGUGAUAGUUAAAUCGUCCUCUUCGUGAUAAAAUUCAACUUUAAUAUAUUUCCACUAUAAAUGUUUACUGUAUUAUUCAAUAAUACGUUAAAGAAUUUUGAAUUUUUGAUAUAAAAAAACACCUAAACUUCUAAUAACAUGACAAUGUUUGGUUUUCAGUUUGUCCAACUCAAAAGUAUGUUUGAGGGACCAAACUUAGUUUGCCCACAUGUUUGGGUGUCCACAAAAUUAAGUUUGCUACCUCCGUUUGUGUCCAACUUAACUUUGCCUCAAGCAACUCAUGGCAUGCUUUUGAUUCUUCCGUUUCCGUUGGAACCAUUAACUUCCAAUUUUGCCUCUAUAUUUGUGUAAUAGCAGAAUGAUAAGUAGACUCGAGGCUGAGAUCGAAGUUGGCUCGCUCGUGGGGUGGUGGAAAACGAUAUAGCACAUGCCGUAUUGCAGGAAGUAUAUAUAUAUAUAUAGGGGUGCAGUAUAUAAAUAAUCGUAUUUUAGAAUUAUGCUCUGAUGUUCGCUGCCACGAGUUGUUCUUGCUGCCCUUAAAUUUAAUUCUGAUAUGUGUACUGCCAUAAUAUAAUAUAAUAAUAUGUACAUAUACAAUUUUAACAUUCGGACCAUAUAAAAUUCAACGUGAGUUAAUGUGUUAUAUAUUUUAAUUUAGAGCAUAUAAAACUUAAUUAUUAGCAUUGUUGGAGUCUUAUAAUUUAUUAAUGAAAAUAUUUAAUAUUUUUAGUUAUUAUUGAUUAUUUUUAACAAUAUUAUACUAAUUCAUAUUAAAUAUUACAUCAUAAAAUUUCAUAUCCUUUUCAGUAAUUAUACACUUUAUACACUUAAAAAGUACUUUUAAUUAAAAUAGAAUAAUUCAAACAAGUUCAUUUUUGAGAAGAAAAUAUUCAAACAUAAAUCAUGUAUGUUGAGUAAACUAUUUUUUAACAAACUUAAGCUUUCAACAUACUUUUAAUUCAAACUUGGAUUCAUGAACUUUAAUCCAAACAUGUACGAAGUUAAAUUCAAAACCAUAAAUUAUGUCAACAGAUUAACGUCAACGUUCGACUAACAGAAAUUUACAAAUUACAAUUAUUCUUGAAAUCCUUGAUUUUAUUUGCGUUGUACACUUUCAAAAAUUGAAUGUUGUCUACCCAAUGCCUUGUACAAACAAGAAAUAUGUACGUGUGAAUAAGAAAAGAAAUACUUUGAUUUAUAUAAUUUUGUACUCCCUAAAUACAGAACCACGGGGAAGGGGGUAAAUAUCGAACCUUUACAACUUGGUGAAUCAAGAAAAGACUAUCUAAUUGAAAUCAUCAACAGUGAGCCAAUCAUUUGACUCAUCUUCUGAAUCCUUACCCUUCAAACGGAUAACCUUCUUCCUGCCAUCUCUCUCAGAACUUUCACGCAGCCGAACCCAGUCACUAGUAGCACCUUCAGGUGAUGAACCCCUUAUGUCAUGCGCCUCCCUGUAGCCAGAUAAUUUAUCGGAGCUAUAACUCCUAUCAUCCUCUAGGUCACUGAAUGAGACGUCCUCUUCCUGUUGAAGUUUUGUACAGGAAGCCAAUGAACUAGCAUCAAUGUCUGUAUCUUCCAACCAUUUUUCAGUGCUAACCGUGUCAUCAACUUCUAAACCCUCUACUGCGUUUGUAACCUCAGUCAAUAUCUGAUUUUGCUCAAAUGAGAUACUUUCUGUUCCACGGUCCUCCCUACCCUCUUGAUAUGUAUCCACAGUCCUUGGGUUUUCAGGUUCUCCAGCUUGCAAAUUUUUCCUCUCUCCUAGUUUCUGAAGAAGCACAUCUCUUGCUUCAACAAUCUAACCAAAAAGAUAAUGGAAAAACAUGCAUGAUAUAGCAGAUUAAAAGACCGUUGCCACCAAAAUAUGUACACAGAGUACAAGAGAUUAUUAUCUAUAAUGUUAUCUUCAAUCACAUAAUUGUUGGGAGCAGUAGACCAGACAGUCUGAAAAAGUGAAAAUACUUCAUAGUACAAACCAUCUGGAGAGAAUGGCAUAAAAAAAAAAGACAAACAAACACUAAAACUACUGAAGAACUUCUGGCCAUGAUCUAUGGUAUUUUAUCAAAAAGAUAACCAGACCAUGCUGAGACUGGCAGUAUAUGGGCUGUAUUCACUCAGGUAUCAUAUACAAUACAAGCUGCAUUAAAGAAGAUGGCAUAGGGAACCGGAGGAUGAGGAACACUUCAUUUAAGCAUAUAAAAAUAGAAUCAAGUAUAACUUGUACUAGUGCUUUGUAUUUCUUGGGUGGAACAAAUUUUUACUACCAAUGAGUACUAUAGAUGUUCAGCAUGCAAUAAUUUGUUUGUGGUUCUGUAUACCUAAAAACAAAAACAACAGAUAACACAUUCCAUAGAGUAUAUUGACUAAUCUGAUUAGCAUGCACGAAUAAGAUUCACAAAGAUACAACUGCAUCAACAUAAGGAGAAAACUUAGAUAUAGUACCUAGGGAGUUGUUUUUACUGUUCUCUAAUCAGAAUUGAAGUUUUACCUUUGUAAUCCGCAAAAUCUUUUAAUGGAGAUUUUAUUAUAUAGAUUACUGAGGUAAAAUUCCAAUUCUGAUUAGAGACAGUAACUAAAGUAACUAUAGUAUUGUAUCUAAGUUUUGUCAAAGACAGUAACUGAUUAGUCCCAUACAAACAGUAACUCUUUUAAAAAGUAUAAUUUUAUCAAAGACAGUAACUGAUUAGUCCCAUACAAACAGUAACUAAAGUAUUGUAUCUAAGUUUUGUCCUUAGUGUAAAAGGAAUUUAACACAUAUAUUCAAGAUAAUCAAUUGAAAAUAAGACAAUAUUGGAUAAACAUGGCUUGCCUUGGGAGUUGAUAGGCGCUCAAAAUCAUGCUGAUUUAGUCUUGGAAGUAUUAACAAAAAAUAGAUCAUCCAAAACUUUUCCACAUUCAUGUAACUGCAAAGAUUCAGUCUUAGUGCAAUGAAUUCGGGUACCAGUUGCUCUAUAGCCAAUGCAUGUUCUCUCUGAGAAUUGGACAUGCUAAAAUCUGCUGCAACAUAUGAAAUUUCAGUAUUAAAUCUCAAUAUAUACUCAGUUAGAAUAAAAAUAAAGGAAUAUCAGUGUUGUUUUGGCUUCUUGGAUUCAUGCUAUCUAAAACUAAAGAUUCAAAACCACUUUUAUUCAAAGAACAUUUGCUUGAGAGUCAAACAAGAGAUAUGCUCAGCAGGACACAAGCACUUUGGACUUUGUAUUGAUUGGGAGCGUGAACUAGAUUAAUACACUGCAUUAAUAAUGCACACUUCUUAAGAAAUUAUUAAUUACAUAAAUUACUAUGAUAAAUGACUUUCUUUGAUAAAAUUAUACUUUUUAAAAGAGUUCAAAUCUUGUUGUGAAUUCAUUUAAGUACUGAGAUAAAAAUAAACAAGGGUAUUAUUGGGAAAACAAUACUUAAUACUCUCUUGAUUUUCUAAAGUGACAAAUAUUUCAAGACAAAUGAAAAUACUCAGAUAUAUAUAAUAUGAGAUGCAGAGGAAAUAAAAAUUAUUUGAACUGACAUCUCAUUUAUUCAUAGAUAAUAGAUAGUCUUCGAAUUAACUGUAAGCUCAUCUCAUACACCAUCAUUACAAUGUGAAGCAUAAAAGUUCAACAGCCCUGGAAAUUUAAUCCACUCAAUACUUUUUUUUUUUAUCGGCAAAGAUAAGUAUUAUAUAUAAAAAGAAGUACCAGAGGUACUCAUAGUACAAAAGAGAUCCAUAUAAAUGGUUCCACAGUCAGACUUAAAAUUCUGAGGGGGAACCAAACUAUGGAUACAAAAGCAAAAGUUUUUACAAGUAUCAAUGUGAACACUAUGCAGUCCCCUGCUAAUACAUAAAACUCUGGUAAGUUAGUUGACCAUUGAUUGAAAUGCACUGAAAAAUCCUUCUCAAAGCCCCUAAGCCAAGACCAAAGAAGGAAUAUGGCCUCUUCGAACAAUUUGUUAGCGUCAAAAGUCCCAUUAGAGAAGAUAAUGCUAUUUCUAAAUUUCCAUAUGGACGACGUCAAAGCUAUCCACCAACAUUGCCAUCUACUAUUUCUCACACCAGCUGGUUGAAGACCCAAAUGAUGGAGGAAGUGCUGCUUUGGGUUUAAAGGUGAAGCGCCCUUGAGUUGCAGCCAUGACAUGGAUUCCCACCAUAUGGGUUGAACUUUGCUACAGUGGAAGAAGAGAUGGGAUGCAUCCUCUUGAUGGAUUCUGCAUAGAGGACAGAGAGAAUCUGUUAGAUGAAUUUGUCUUCUCUGCAGGUUUUUCCUUGUCGGCAACCUAUCCCUUAAAAGUCUCCACCCAAACACCAGAAACCUAGCUGGAACCUUCAUCCUCCAAAGCUUCUCAAAACAUUCCUCCUGCCUUCUAUCUCCUGCGCCCUCUCCAAUCAAGUCAUAGGCACUACGAGUUGAGUAAUGACCCUCUGAAUCUGCAGACCAUUCCCAACUAUCUGAAAUCUGUUGUUGGAUUUUAAAUUCUGCAACAUCUUUGAGAAAAUUAGCUGCUGAGGUAAUUUCACUGUCAAACAAGGCUCUUCUCCACGCAAAGUUCCACUCCCACUCCCUAUCUCGAAAUAUUCCCAUGGAUCUAAUGAGCUGGUGCUGCUGCAUUGAAAUUGAAUACAACCUAGGGUACUUCACUGCUAAUGGGUCCUCCUCCCCCAUCCAUCUAUCCUCCCAAAAUUUGAUGUGAUUACCACUCCCCACCUUCCACUUGAUACCUUUUUGAAUAAGCUGUCCACUAUUAGAAUUAAAAAGAACCUUUUGUAAAUCCCUCCACCAGAUUGAUUGAUGACCCACCCUACCCGCUUCAGCCAAGCCUCUCCACCCUCCAUACUUUGACUCCAACACCUUUGCCCACAAUUCUCCUUUAUGGUGCAUUAAAUUCCACUCCCAUUUACCAAGUAGUGCCGUGUUGAAACUUGUGAUGUCCUUUAAGCCCAAACCACCCUUGUCUUUUGGCAAGCACACUGAUUUCCAGCUGACCCAAGCAAUUUUAUUUUGAUCGGGUCCUCCCCCCCAAAGGAAUCGACGCUGUAAACGCACCAACUUAUCUUCCACUGAUUUAGGAACCCUGAAAAAGGAGAACAAAUAAAUAGGAAUCGAGGUUAGCACAGAUUGAAUGAGUGUCACUCUCCCCCCAAAGGAUAUAUUUCUCUGUUUCCACUUAGCUAGCUUCCUCUCGCAAUUUUGGAUGAUAGGAUCCCACAUAGCGCAUCUCCUAGGGUUUGCCCCAAUAGGUAUUCCCAGGUAAUUGAAAGGAAGAACCAACAACUGACAAUUCAAAAAGGUGGCAGCCUGCUGCUUCCAAAGGUCAGAUUGUCCAAAAGCUCCAAAGGAGCUCUUGGCAAAAUUUAUUUUAAGUCCAGAUGCAAGUUCAAAGGACCUUAGAACAGCCUUAAUAGUUUUGACAUUCUCCAUGUCCGCUUCCCCCAGAAAGAUAGUGUCAUCUGCAAAUUGUAGAAGGCUGACUUCCACUUUAUUGGGUCCCACUUGAUAUGGUUUGUACAGAUUCUCCUCCCUAGCUUUUCUCAUCAAACCGUUCAGCCCUUCAGCAACCACAUUGAACAAAAAAGGUGCAAGUGGAUCCCCUUGGCGUAGCCCCCUUUUGGGAAGGAACUCUCCUGUAGGGCUGCCAUUGACCAAGACUGAAAUGGAUGCAGAAUUGAGGCAUCCCUCAAUCCAUCUGAUCCACUUAGAGUUAAAACCUGUACGUUGGAGCAUGUAUAGUAAAAAUCCCCAGGACACCGAAUCAUAUGCUUUCUCAUAAUCAACUUUGAAUAUAAGACAGGAUUUAUCACUCCUUUUAGCCUCCUCAGUCACCUCGUUUACAAUUAAAGCGCUGUGCAGAAGGCUUCUUCCUUCAAUAAAUGCAGAUUGAGUUUCAUCAACAAUAGAAGUCAUCACCUUCUUCAUUCUAUUGGCCAGCACCUUUGCAACAAUCUUAUACAUACAUCCAAUUAAAGAAAUAGGGCGAUAUUCAUUCAGAGUCUGAGGAUCAGCCACCUUGGGUAUCAAUGCUAUGAAGGAUGCAUUGCCACCUUUUGGAAAAACGCCAUGGACAUAAAACUCAUCAAGGAAGCGCAGAAUAUCAGGUUUAAGAAGAUACCAGAACUUCUUAAUGAACCUGAAAUUCAAUCCAUCAGGUCCCGGGCAUUUAUCACUCCCACAAUCCCAAAUAGCCUUUUUAACUUCCUCCUCUUGGAAUCGGGCAAUCAACCUCUCAUUCUGGUGCUGGUUUAAUUUCUGGAAGCAAAUGCCCUCCAGUGUCGGUCUAUGGUAAUCAGAUUCAUGGUAUCUAUUUGAGAAAAAGGUUUUGACUUCCUCCUUCACCAAAGCUGGCUCCUGAAUCCACUUGCCAUCAACCAUAACACCCUUCAAGUAGUUAUUCCUUCUAGUUGCCUUCAUCAGUAAAUGAAAAUAGCGGGAGUUGCAAUCUCCCUGCUUGAGCCACCUAACGCGCGCCUUUUGUCUCAAAAAAGAUUCAUGGGUUUGAGCCGCUGUCCACAAAGAUUCCUGCAGAUGUCUCAAUUGCAUCCCUUCUUGAGUGGAGAGCUGUCUAUGGCUUGUUUCCUCUUCUAAUUUGUUUAACUCCCCUUCAAGCCUCUUGACCCUCUUGAAGGUAUCACCAAACUGAUCUUUAUUCCACUUCUUCAGGACUUGCUUCAGAAUUUUUAUUUUCUCUUUUAGGGCGUAACCACCCCAACCUGCUAUCUGAGAGGAGGUCCAGCAACUAGAGACAAUGUCCUUGAAAGAUUUAUCUAACAUCCAACAGUCUAGGAUCCUAAAAGGUUUAGGACCCCAAUCCACUGAUGAAGAUCUAAGUAAGAUAGGACAAUGAUCGGAAAAGUUUCUAGGAAGGGUGGAUUGAAUGGUUGUAGGCCAUCUGUCCAGCCAUUCGGUAGAGAGUAAAAAUCUAUCAAUCUUGCUCCUAGACGUCCCAUUUGGUCUAAACCAAGUGAAUUGCCUUCCCAUCCAUGGAGGCUCUACCAUCUCCAAGUCCUCAAUCCAGUCAUUGAAUUCCUUAAUUUCAGACAUCCCUGCGCCCCUUUGACAAAUCCCGAAUCUCUCAUUAAUGUCCCUGAUGCUAUUAAAAUCACCAAGGAUACACCACAAGUCCCCUAGAAAAGACUGUUUUAGCUGUUUAAGUUGAUCCCACAGCAGCCUCUUGUUUUGAAUUUCGCAAGGGGAGUAGACUGUAAGGACAUUGAUUUGUUGAGCUUCCUUCACCCAUACACCUCUCAGGAAAAUAAAGCCAUUUCCGACAACUUUUGUCUGUAAUUUAAAGGUUUGUUCAGACCAGAGGCACAAUAUACCCCCUGCAGUAUUAUUAGCUGGCUGCAACUCCCAUUUGACUCCUUCAUCUCCCCAUAAAGAUUGACACAGAAAAUUAUCGACUGACUCUCUCUUUGUUUCCUGAAUGCAGAUCAUAUCAACAUGCUCCUUCCUGAGCAGCCUACGGAUAGCUGCCCAUUUUACACCCCUCCCUAAACCCCUAAUAUUGUAUGAGAUGAUAUUCAUGGGUGACCAUUACUAUUUCCCAGCCUAACUGCUUCCUGCUUGUCUCUUCUGUCCAUAUCUUUGAGUCUGGGGAUAACUGACUGCAUACCUUCUUGUGCUGUAAUCCCCAACAUCUUGGCUCGAUUCCAGACUUCCAAAGCCUCUUGAUAAUUAGAUAGAUCUUCAGGUUCCUGGGUACCUUGAUGUGUAGAUGAUUGCUGUUCUGUAACAUAAUUCUCUUUCGGAGUUGCAGGCUGGUCGUGAUUUAAAGGAUGUGGGUCUUGUUGAGGUUGGGAUUUAAGUGGGUGCACGGUUGAUUCCUUAGAGAGUGAAGGCUGACCCAUGGCACUUUUCUUUUGGAACCACCUCUUACGUGUGUACACUUUACAACUGCUCCCUUGUUCUCCGUUAUAUAUCUGCCAGUUUGGGCCUAAGACCUGUUUUUGUUGUGGGGGGGUGCAUAUAGAAAUGCCUUUAGAGUUAACUGGGCCUCCUAACUGCACAGGGUUUAAGGGGGUUUCCUUUCCUCCACUAAACUUAACCAAGAAAAAUGUGAUGGAUGGACCACAAAGCUAUGCAUUCAAGAUCUUUCAUGUAUAAACAAAACAGUAGAUACUUUUUGAGUAUGAAAAAGUAUAGGAAGAGGAGAGGUUGUCCCUUACUAUGGUUAAGGCAUGCCAUAAGCCUUAACAAAAGCUUACAGGCAGAGGUACUUAAAAAUGACCUACCAACAAAGUCUAACUGUAGGAAUUGAAUCCAAAACCUUUUUGUUAGCAUUGCUUGAUCCUGACAAUUUAGCCAAAUGUCAGUGGCUGAGAUUUUCAACAAUGGAAUUCACAUCCAAACAUAGCUAGCUAUUACUUCAUAGUCAUACUCUAGAAGCAUGGCCACUGGCAUUGAUCAUUAUCAGUAGUUUAAAUUAUCAAUUCUUUUUGUCCAAAAAUUAUAUACAUUCAGUACAAAUUUCUGAAAGAGGCAUCGCUACCAGCGACAAAGAGAAAAUGUACAUGGGAUUUUAUGUGUCCUGCAUUCCUACCAGCUUGGCAAGAGACAGUACUUUCCAGCAGAGCAUUAUAAACUACGCAUCCGUCACAAUCUCUAUAUCUCUACUCAAUUUAACUUACUCAGGAUUCGUAUUUAUUUAUGAAAUCAAAUCACACAAAACCAUAAGCUAUACCAAUUUUAGCCACUGGCAAUUUCAUUUCUUUUGCCUACUGUGCAUGAAUUCGUUAAGAAGGCAAUGAUAAGCUUAGAAAAACGACCACGAAACUCAUGAGAUCUAGCCAAUUAGCCAGAGAGGCACCACCCAAAAACUGCACGUCUGAGAACACGAUUAAGUUAAGUGUACAAUUAACUCAAGCAAUUACAAACUCUAUCAUAAUCACUAAUUACUAAUCAGAUUAUACAGAUAACAGAGAAUUCGGUCCAAACAGAGAAUCAUAAUCAAAACAAUUAACAAAUAACACGUAUAAUUAUCGAACCAAACUCGAAGUACCGUUAUGGAGUGGCAAGGGGAAUUCAGUCCAACACUGAGGCCGCGCAGAAAUCUCCUUCACGAAACGAACAACAUCUUCCGUCGUUCCAGGCACCGCGUCGUCAUCGUUGCUCCGUUGUUGAUCAGGCUCCAACUGCAACAACUGCGAAGCGAGCUUGGAGAUUCCGGUGACGGCUUUGUUCGAGGAAAUGCGCGAGAGAGAGUUUUUGAAGCUUCCGCCGAUCUCCACGAGAUCGUUCCGGAUUCCUGACAGAGCUUGCGAGGAGGAGGAAUCGCCGGCGGAGGAGGAAGAAGAAGAAGAAGAAGAAGAGGAAGAGGAAGACGGCGGCGGCGGAGCGAGGAAGUUGGCGACGCCGCGGAAAAUAUGCGAUAUGUCGUCCUUGACGCCGUGGCGAUCGGCGGCGGGAUGCGGCGGCGAAGACGAGUGGAUAACGGUGCGGUUGUGGAGAUUAGAAGAUUCUGGGUCAGGGUGGUUGGACUUGAAGAGCCAGGACAUUUUUCGUUUUAAUUUCUAUUAUUUUUUUCAGAGCUAAAUGAUGAUUGAAAGGGUUUAGGAAGAGAACAUGAUGGCCACUGCUUUUAGAGAGAGAGAAAAAGCCUUCUCAUCUUCAGUUGGAACAACUUUAUGACAUAAAUAAUUAUUUUGCUGAAACACCUUUGUUGUUGGGGAGCACGAAGACUACUCACAAAAAUAUUUAUAGAUAAGGAGGAUAAAUACUCAUUUAUUGGGAUGGAUCCAAGGCCAAUAUUUUACCCGUAAACAUUUAACGGGGAUAGACUUGGCUACGAUACUAUAGGAUUUAUCUCGUCCACACCUAUUAUAUACAUUAAUUUAAUUAAGAUAUCUUUUAUAUAUUAUUAAUCAUUAAUUUAAUAAUAAGUGAGAAAAUUUAAGCUUGUAUUGAUACACAAUUUCUCAUUUUUUAUGUCCAUUAUGGAUCAUUCCUUUUGAAAAACACUUUAGAUUAAGUGAGAUUUGGUUUUGAAACUUGUUGUUAUCAUUGUAACACACAAAAUAUAAUGUAAUAUUUUUUUAUUGCUUUGAAUUUAAAAUAAAGAUAAAUCAUAUUUUAUUUGAUGAUUUUUUUUAUUUUGUUAUUAGUGAGUGAAUGGAUAAUUGAAAAUUAAUCUUAUUAAUCAUCAUAACUUUUGAUUUUUUUAAUUGCUAGAUAAAGUAACGUUAUAUAAAAUUUAGUUAUAUAUCUCAAAGAAAAAAAAGAAUAAUUAUAAAAAAAUUUAACAUAUAAAAUUUAAACACAUCCAUAAAAUUUAGUAUAUGUCAAAUAAAAAUAUAAAUUGAUGGAAAUAUAUAUUUUUUUAUCUCACAUGUCCAAGUUUCAUCAAACAAGUUUUUCAUUUUUAUAUACUUGAUUCUUUUUUUUUUUUGAACUAUUGUUCAUAAUCACAUCACAUGUAAAAUAUAAUUAUAAGUUAAUUAAUUUUAAUAUAUUUUCUUGCAAGUCUUAAAUGAUACUUUCGCAUGAUAUUAAAGUUUCUAAUGAUUAUAUUAAAUGAUCAAAACAUUAUAUUUAAAAAUAAUUUGUUGGAUAAUUAUAUUUAUAAUAUUAUUUUUAUUGACUUAUGUUUAAUUGACUUUAGGUUAUAUUUGAAUGCUUUUUUUUGUUAUAUUAAAUGAUUUAAAAGCGGAUUUUCAAUUUAGUUGUAGUGUUUUUUUAAUUGGUACUUUAUUUUAUUGAUUUGUUGGCUUUAUAUAUAAGUAAAAUGUAGAUAAGAAUAUGGGUGCAGAUAUAUAAAUAUCUAGCAUAUAUGAAAAUAAAAAAUAAAAAAUACUAUCAUGUAGACAUGAGAUAAACUAUGAGUAUGUUUGAUUCACUAAAAAUUAAGGAGUUGGACAACACAACACAAAAAUAUUUGUCCAACUUUGAUUUAAAAAAUGGCUGAGGGAUAGUACAAAAUAAAAAAUGAUAGACCGAAUAAAUACUCAAAAAUUUAUAACUCACUAAACUCUUGUAAAAAAUUUGUCCAAUGUCUAACAAAAGAAAAAAUAUAUUAUUAUUCUUAUUUUCUGUUUUUCAUUAUUCCACACCUUUUUUUCUUUUUUCAUGUGUCUGCUUCUCUAAACCUUCCUCUCCAAACGUCGUAGAUUGGCCGUCGGCAAAGCCCGACUUGGCCCUCGGCAUGGGCACCUUGGUCACUGGCAAUGGCCGUAUGGACUAUUGUUGUUCUCUUUUUGUUCAUUAUUUAUUUCUUUUCAUUAUUAAUUUACUCAAAUGUUUUCAUAGUGAUCUUUCUCCUUCUAACUAUGUUUUUUUCCUUCUCUUUUGGCCAACUCUGGCAUGGUUGCGUUAUGCUGUCGUGCUGCUGCCGCCAUCGCUGUGACCCUAUGGUGGCCUCACGCUGCCAGGCCCUAUGCUCGAUGGCGUCAGGGUCGCGCCUCCUCUGUAGAUAUGUCUCUCCUUUGUUGCACCGUCAAGCUACUAUUAAUGCACCUAAGGUUUCAUAAUAAAAUUUAUAUCAUUUUAUCCAAUACAUCAAGCAAGAUACAAUACAAAAUUAUUUGUGCUCUGCAUCGACCAUCAAACAACAUACAAUACAAAAAAUUAUUACGUGACUCAAUUACUUAUUGGGUACGAUUGUGUCUAUCGUAUUUUUUUAACAUAACAAACUCAUCCUAUGGAUAUGUUUUUCAAACAUGAAUAUCAAGAUAGAUACUAUAAUACUUUAUGUACAUCUUAGGCAUUGUCAUUCCAACUUGUCAAGCAGGAUGGGGUAAAAUGAUAAAUAAAUAUUAUCUAAAAUAUCCAAUCUUACAUGAUGUGGGUAAAAUGACAAAUCUAAAAAUACCCUUGUAUGCGUAGGACGUAAAUGUGAAAUGUGUUUCGUGUUUGACCGCACAACUGCAAUUUCUUUUUCACUUGUUUGAGUUUGACCUGAUGCGUAACCUUCAGUCCUUCCUUCACCCCCUCAAUUUCAUCUCACAUACUACCAUUGUUGAUUUUUUAUUUAUUUAUGUGCUACACGCCACCAUUGACAUUGAGUUUUUUUAUAGCAAUCACAAUCACUUAUAUCAAAAGCGUUUUACUGAAGACCUUACUUGAAACAUACAUUAUGUAAUUUUCCGGUGCACUUUAAACCAAUGAAAUUAAUAUAUCUUUUACAGAUUUCUAAUUAUUUUACUUUAAUUUAAUGUUAAAAAAACUAAUGCCGUUGUCAUAUAAGAUUAUAAUUUCGAUUAGUGAAAAGCAAGAAACAUUUUAAUAGGAGUAAACUUUCAUAUUUGCAGUGAAAAAAAACUUUUGUAUUAAUUGUCUUGAUUCUCUUGAAUCAGAUUUAAUACGGAUUACAUGGCCAUGCCUGUCAAAAAAAAUAAUAUAUGAAAAAUUAGUAUUUAAUAUUUAUUUAUAUUCUAUUAUUUUUCUAUAAGCAAGAUUAGUUUGUUAAAUUUUUUAUUAGAGGAAGAAAUUCAAACCUACAAUUUCUUCUUUCUCUUCUUUUCUUAAAGCACCAAGUCAAUCUUAUAACUUUAUUUAUAAUAUAUUAUAGUUUGAAGUACUUCCUCUAAUCCUAAUCCUAAUUAUAAGAUCCAAAUUAAAAAUAUAUUUUAAUCUUUUUUUAUAAGGUUCAAUUUAAAUUGUCUUCUGCAUUAAUGAUAUUUUUACAAAAUAUCCUAACAGUUUUAGAAUAACUUGACUUUUGAGAGAAAAAUAACUUAUUAAUGUUAAUUAGUUUGUUCACAGGAAUAGUUUUGAAAACAAUAUUAAUUUGUUUUAAAAUAAAUUUAAUGUUCUCACAGGGAUAGUUAUUAACAGCUACGUCCUAUGACUAUAGCGAGACCUUGUCGACAAACCAAUGGAGUUGUCAAGACCAAAUGUAUGAUUGAACAGGCAUACCUGAGCCAUAGUGUAUUUGUGUUAAUCCAUAUGACACUAUCGAUUUUUUUUUCUCUUUUAUUCAAACAUUAGUAUUUCUUUAACUAUUGAUUUCCCCACUACUUGGAACAUAGUGAGAAAGAAAAACAAAAUGGAGGACAGAGAAACCUGAAAUUUUAUACGGCUAAAGUAUCUUCUCCGAUUCCAAAGGAGUAUCCCCAUAAGAAAAGGAGAUAAAUUUACGACGGAAACACAAUUUAUACCUUAAUUAGUUUCUCAAAUAAAUAAGGAAAAACACUGCUAGUUCACAACUUCUAUGGAUUUUAGUUCUCACCCAUCGAGAAGAAAAAAAUGAGUAUAAAUUAAAUACUUACACAAACGUCUUACUGAAUAACACAUUAGACAUGAGAAUGAAGAAAAAAUGUGUUCCUCAAACCAAAAUGACUCAUUUAUUAGACUUGAUGUGUUUAUAACAAUCAUAUAAUGAAUAUAGUUCCCACCAUAUACAGGAAAAAGCAACUGAGAACAAUAUAGACCAAUAUAUCAAGAACAAAUUUUCUGCUAAAGCGUUGAAGCAAUCUCAAUCGGGCAAAUGAAACUAAGUGGUUUGAAUCAGAACUCAUUAUCAAUUUACCUUGUACAUAAAAAAUCAUAUAAUCAAAACCCACCCUCUGCUAAUUAUUCAAAAAGAAUUUCACUCUAGCUAACUAUGGCACACACACAACGUAUGAUACAAGUCUAAUCUUCUUCAUGUUUCCCAAUCCCAGAAUCGAAAGUUGAGAGUAAUCAGAGUACCCGUUUCUUUUUUACCUUGAGCUUAUUAAGGAUUUGUUUUCCACAGGAAAUGCCUAGAUGAGACCUGUAUAUGGAUUGUAUGAUUGAACAGGCAUACCUGAGCCAUAGGGAUGGACAGCAGUGGCUCCAUAAGGAUUUCCAAAAGGAUUUACAGAUUGUUGUUGGGGAGCCAUCAUCAUUUGCUGCUGCUGUUGAUACAUGAAAGCUUGCUGUUGGUUGGACAUGGAAGCCAUCUGAACAGAAGGUGGAGCGGCAACUGUAUUUGAGGCAAAAAACGGAUCGUGCAUUGUCGGUUGCAUCAUGUUUCCACCUGGUGCUGGCUCCCAUGGAUUAUAGCUGACAUUUUGGUUGUUUCUCCUGAGGGCAUCAUCGUAUAGGCUGUCUAGUGUAAGCUUGUCCAAACCUCCAGCCUGAUUACCAAGCAGGUCACCAAUACUCAUUAUUAGAAAAACAAAAACAUGUGUGCAUGCAAGGAGUUUUUGAGAGUGUUAAUGGUGAGAUGCAUUACAUGUGAGAGACAGAUGUGCAAUCACUAAUCAUGCGAGCUAACUGAACAGUCAAUUUAUUGUAGAAGAAAAGUAUACCAGUUUGCUAGCUGUUGUGGCACUCUCAUUUGAACUAGGAGCAGUAACAAGGGCCAAUUCCCAUCCUGUAGUUCCAUUUGCUUGAUUUGAAACAGCAGAAGGUUGUUGUUCAACAGCUGAAAGCCACCAUUAAUAAGACAUCAUAUAAAUAGUAAUAUCAAAUGGAACAUUCAAGUCUUAACUGCCAACAAAGUGCAGAAAAAGGAAAACAAUGUGGGAUUUACAUUAUUAGCCACUAAAAUUAAGAGGUUCAAUCCUCAUAAUGUGAAACGUCACACUUCUUGAAAUGAAAACCAGUUCAGUCCAAUUCCAUGAACCAAUUAUUACUGUCAAUUAUUUUUGAAGGUUCACAAAUGCUUUUAUUAAACAAAGUGGAGGAAAAGGAACAACAAAUUACCAACGGGAACAAUGGCUAAAGCCAAUGCAUUCUUCUCUUCCAACUCUGCAGCAGCUGGAACAGGAUCCUCCAAAUUCUAAUUAGUAAAGCCAGCAGAAGAGAAAUUUGUUAGUGCAGCUAAAGCAACAUUGUUAUAUAUAAAUCAUUACUAGUAGAACUAGUCAACAAUCUGAAUUAUACCAAAAAUAGGGCUAGAGCAAACACAAAAGAAAAAGAGUAAUUACCAACAGAUCAGGAGGUGGUUGUACUGGUGGUGCUUCCACUUUCACAGGUUCAGAAGGUGGAGGUGGAGGGGGUGAGGGUGAGGGUGAGGGUGGACAUUCCUCUUCCACUUCUGUUGUCUUUUUGUAUUCAAUAGCCAAAACUUCUUUGUUCUCAAUAGCCUGUGUUCAAUUAAUAUGAAAGCACUGGUUGGUAAAAUAUAUUUAUAUGGCAUAUAAAUAUUGCAUUUCAUUGAAAUACAAGAAAUAUUCUGAAGUUAAAGGAUUACAACAACACGUAGCUUCCUGAAACAAAUGAAAGGAGAAACAGUACGUGGAUGACAAACAUGCAGCUAAAAUACUAAUAUUAUUGAUUCUACAAAUAUAUGAAAUUCAUUGCAGAAAAGACGAAAGUAUUGUACCAAAAUUACAGAGAGUAAAAUCAUCAUGGAAUGUUUCUUAAGGUAAUGGAAGAGAUUCCAAAAUGUUUUGAUGGGCCAAAUAAUACAACUCCUCAGAGAACUUGAAGGAAACAAGUAAUAAUGUAUUUAUUCACUUUGAAUUUUCAGUAUAAACCUACUUGUCAGAUUGAAACAAUGGUUGAACCACUUUAUUUUAAAAGAAAAUGCAAUUUUCAGUAGCAAAUAUAUCAUUGUUCUCACUGGUAGAUAGCCAACAAUUAAUUUGUGCCUUCUGAGUCAACUACAUGUGUAUGAAAUAAUACCACAGAGAUCACCAUAACAAAAAAACAGAGUUCUUCAAUGUUCAUCCAUACCUGAUCCUUUCGAACUAUUGGUCCCUGGGGAGCAUCUUUGACAUACUCUUCCAUGGCUUGCAGAAAUGACGAAGGGGGCUUCAUAUCAUCAACUAAUAAACUUAGUAUAUGUUUCCCAAAAGAACUAUUGAAAAAUCAAGCUAAAUGUCUUUGACAUAAGAUCCAACCAACCUGCUCAACUUUAAUAAACUUCUCUCCACGUCCAAUGUCAAGAUUACGACAUAUUUCAUAAAACUCUGACAGUCUCUCAGCCUGGAUUCAUGUAGAGAAUCUUUAAGAUAAUUGGAUAGAUAAAGUUAAGAAUAGAAAAGGAAAAUUACACCAUAAGAGAUACCUGGUGCCCAACCCUCCUGUAUAUAUCAAGAGCUUUCAGAGCAUCAUGGCGUUGCAUCUCAAAAAACUGUCACAAUAGUAGUCUCCUAAAUACAUAGAAAGUUGAAAAUCAAGCUUCAAAUCCAUGAAGAUAACCAUAUAUACCUUAUCAACCAUAUUGACUGUUCCAUCACUAAUAGCUUGAUAAAUUUUAAUGCUUUCUGAAGCAACCUAUAAACAAUAUGAAGUACGUUCAGAAAGGUGGUGGAGCAAAAACUACCAAAGAAUAUAGUAGGUUAAAUAAUUGACCUACCAUUGAGAGUGCUAACUGAAUGACAAAGUUAUUUACAGCUGCCCCGUGUGGCUGCACCACAUAAAAGUUAAAACAAGUUGAACAAUUAGUAUGCUGCCUGCCGAUGUUGUAAAAUUUGUUCAUUAAACCAAACCCACCACCUGUGAAGUGUUUGGCUAAAAAUUUCAUCUAUCAUGAACUAUUUGGAUCAAAAGCUUACCUGGCAAUCAAUAACUCGAUGGAGAAGUUGCUGUAAAGUUGGCAACUGCUCUAACAGUUCUGCAGUAUCCAAAUCUUUGGUCCUCUGAAAAAAUUCACAAAUAGCGAAGUUUCCUAAUUUAGAUUUAGAUUUAUGUAUGUUAUAAGAUAGCAAUGACAAGUAAGGGCCUUCUUGUAUCAUAUUAUUACUGAAUAAUACUCAUUAAUAGAUACUACGCAGAUAAUUCAACUACUCAUGUUGAUGUGAAAAAUCUGUAUUUUAAAACAGUAAGUUAAUGAAAAUGAUAAAAAAAAAAGUACUUACAGGACGGUCUGCCUCAAUGUCAUACUUCAACACACGGAAACAUUCCAGCCUUUCCUCCAAAAAUAAGGCAUAAGUGCGAACCCAUGCAGAAUAAUCCCAUGCUGAGCAAUAAAACAAUGAAUGACAACUACAAAUUAAAUAAGCAUAAUAACAAAAAUGACAAUAAAAUCAAUCGUGGAGAGAAAGACAGAGGCACCAUUUGGACUGGAAUCAUCUUUAAAAUGAGCCAUGUUGAGCAUAUGACUUCUGCUUCUCCCAUAAUUGAUGAGUUCUUCAUGAAAUGUAGGAUCAACUUCCCUUAGAGCACGGUGAAUGACAAUUAAAGUUUUCAAUGCAACCUAGAGGUAAAAAACUUGUCAAUCAACCAAUAUGGAAUCAAAAUAAAAACCACACAUGCUCAGUGGUGAUUUACAUGAGAAGUUGAGAACUAAAGACGACUGAAGGAUUACAUGAGAACUGCAGAAAUUGUCGUGCAAAUAUAGUGCAAACAAAUACUGUAGCUUCAGAAUUAGAUAAAAUAAUCUCGAUUUUUGUAAUAAUUUUGAUAAUCAUUAAAACAUUCUUGGUGGACUUUUGUUAACAUUGCUAUCCAGAUAUUUGGCCAUAAGGUCACGGUCAUGCCACAAUCUCCAGAAGUGAGGGAAACAUAAUAAUUCAUGAAUGUGAUUUGUAAUUGUAAUGUUUCAUCAACCUUGCAACAAAGAACAUAGGCAAACAGAUAAUAAAUUCAUAAAAGAUUCAUAUCUCACAUUCCCAGUCCACAAGUGAAUAAUACACUGAAAAAUUUCAUGUCCAUAUAAAAAAGAUAAGAUGAACACAGAUCAUGAAGCAAAUAAACCAUAUUUAGCAGUGAUGUAAUGCAUAAUACACAUACUGCCCAGUUAUGUGUCUUUGAUAACCGCCUGGCAAGUGCGUGGAUGCAAUAGGCAACAUCAGCCCUGGGUCUUGUAGCUGAGAUAGCUGAAAAUAUAGCUGCAAGAGAGAGCAUAGAAACACUUGGAAUCAAAAUCGUAAUUGUUCCUCCUACAAUCUACAAAUACGUAACAAAUAGCCGAAACAGAAACAUCAAACAAGUAGUAGACACGACCCAUUAAUUAUUUCUGUAGAAAGCACAAACAAUCAUAACGAGAGGGAGAAAACAAACCUCUUAUAUGUUUUUCCUUAGCUGGACGUUCAACAUGAUUUGUGGCCCUAACUAUAGCAAUGUCCAAUUCCUGGAACAUUAUAAAUAAACCCGUUGAGAACAAACACAAAACACCUGAUCCAGUGAUCCCAUAUCCAACAGAGUCUAUUCUACCUUGUAAUCACUGUUGACCUUAGCCAACGAGACUGUUGUAGUAUCCUUAAGGGCUCCAAGUGCUUUUCUCAGACUCUUCUGCGUGCCACCAGACAUCUUCUCCCUCACUCAACUACAAAAUUCAAAACAUAAGAUCCCCUUUCCAACUAAUCUGACAUCAAACACACUUCUCUUUAUAAACAUCUUGUCUAUUUUUUUACAAAAAAGAGAGAACAAUAAUUAAUCAAGCGUAAGUAAUGAAUAUAAAUCUUAAAUUUAACUCGAUAACGCAGAUGUUAUAUUAAUAAGCUCAGAUCCAACUAAGGAAACAACCCUCAGGGACUACAAAAUAACCCCCACCCCCCCAAGCUCUGAAUAACGUCCACAAAUAGACAAUAACCGAACAAGCUUCUAAAUUAAAUAACGAAAAUGAAGAACUAAAACAUAACAAACAAUCGCGGACAAAAAGGUGGGCUCACAGAAUUUUCCAGCAAGCGAAUCAAAUCAAAUUGAAGAAGAAGAACCGCAAGUAGAGAAGUGGCUUCUCAGACGCAAAAGCACGAUCUACGGUUAGAACUCGAUUUCGCUGAAGCUGAAUCAGAGAGAGAGAGAGAGAGUGGAGUUGUGUGCCUGAGACUAGAGAGAGAAAGAAAAGUCGACAGACAAUAUAGGCUUGGUGGUUGGUCGUCGGCGUCUCUGAUGUUAUUUUUUAAUUUAUUAUUAUUGGUGUUGGAACAAAGAAAAACAACGAGUCCAACAAAAAAUUAAGAAUGAAUAGUAUCAUAAUAUUUUCUCUUAAUCUUGGUGGUGUCAGAAAAUACGGUAUUGUAACAAGUUGUACUGCACCGUGGUUAAAUUGGGAUUUGAAAACAUUUUUUUUAAUUAAGAGUGUCUAAUUCAGUCAAUUAUACAGAAUACGUAAAUUAUUAUAAAUAUUUUUUAUUUUAAUUAUUUUAAUGUACUAUUUUAAUUAUUUUUUAAUUAAAAAUUUAAAAGUAAUCAGACUUACAUUAGUAAACAAUACUAGUUUAAGUCACUUCCAUUAUAAUUGUUUUAUGUUAUAUUUUAGAUGUGCAACUUAAUCCAUGAAUUAACAUGUGAAGAAGAACUUUAAUAAUAAUCUUUAGGUUACAGGGUACUGCUUUUGGUUUUGGGGUGUACAACAUUUUUAGGUGGAGGCUGGUUAUUGGGAAUUCAGUAGUUCAGAAUUGAUUAAUAUCUUGUAACCAGCAUUUGGGUUCAAUAUUUUGCUUCAAUCCUGUAUGUGGUUGGUUAUUCCUUAUACCCUCUUAUCUAUAUAUGCAUAUUUUGUCUGAUAAAAAUAAUAAUAUAACUAAGAAUUUCCUUUGAUGGAUUACGUUUUUUGGGUGGUCAUAGUUUAUAGAAAUGUGUCUCUAGUACAUAAUGGACCGAAGAAAUGUUGGCGACAGGGACAGACUCUUACAUUAACAAUUAGGCCCCAUUGGCUCCUUUUUAAAAAUUUUACAAUAUGUAUGGCAUUUUAAUUUUUUUUUUAUCAUAUUAUAGGUUCAAGGUAUUGCAACUAUGAUUAACUUUUUGUAAAAAAAUUUGACUGACCUACUUUAACAAGGUAUUCUUUCUCAAUUGUAUUUUCACCAUCCACAAUACUAAAAUUUAAUCCUCAGAUUUUUUUUUAUAGUCUUCGUUGUGAAAGUAAUUUAACCUUUAUUUUUUUUCUUUUGAGUAUAUACUUAUUGAACAAAUUUUAAUUUUUUUGGUUGAUCCUCUAUUAUUUUAAUCUGGCUCAUGCGUCCCUUAACUGGCGAUAACAUGGCCGAAGCUUCAUUUCUAGUAAUGAUGGCAAUUAAAGAAUACAGACAACGACAGUGACCAGAGGAUGCCAGCAAAGACAUUAUAUUUGGAGGGUACUAAUGAAAAUAGUGAUCAAAGAAUGCUAGCUAGCAAACACAAUGAUUGGAGAAUGCUGGUGACAAUUUAUAAUCAGAUAAAAUCAAUAACAAUGGAUAAAAAAUAAAUAAAAAAACUAGCAACAACGUAUGAUUAGAUGAUUCCGCCGUCAACAUGAUCAGCAUUGGUAAAGGUUUUUGCCAAAGUAUAUCAAUAGCAAUGUACAGAAAGAAUCGAACAUACACGGGUAGCAUCAAGUAAGCAUGCAACCGAGAAUAUAAAAAAAUGAAUUGCCAAAAGCUGUUGACUUGGUAAAAGCUAUAUAUGCACAUUGGAGUAAUCUUUUUUUUUAUGAAUAAAUGUUAGUUUUUUAGUUUUGUUAAAAAUAUAAUAAGAGAAAUUUUAUAUUGUUUCUUCACUCUUAAGUUGAUAUUUUCAACCAUCAAAUUAACUUUAUAUCUUCACAUUAGAGUAAUCAUUCAUUGGAGGAAUGAUUUAAUCUCAAAUCUAUACAUAUUAAGGCUGAAUCUGAUCACGAGAAUGGAGUUCUUAUAUGUUUCUAAAACAAAUCCUUCUCUUAAUUGGAAAGGAACUGAAAAUCCCAUUGAAGUACGAAUUUUCAGGUUGAUUGAUAAAAUCUCCCAACCAACUAACUACCAGGAGACAUGUCACAACCAACCUCCAAUUAUGGGGACAUUUGAACUCAUAUUUUAUGGCACAAAUUAAGAAUAUGGUUGAUGAGGUGCAACCGUGCAAGCAUAGUGUGGAUAGGGACUUUGACGUACACAUUCUGGCAAUAGCAACUUGUAUUCUUCCUCGUGCAUGGCUUGGAACCAAUGAUGUUAAAGGACUGCAUGCGUUGCAUAUUAAUCUUGCUUUUGACUUGGCAUUUGAAGAGGUAAUGACUUUAAGGUAUGAAUUUCUUUGACAAGUAAUGAGUCUGAUAAUUAUUUCCUGACAAAACUCCUUCAUUAAGUAGACUUUUCUAGUUAGAGAGAAGGACAUAAAGGAAAUUUUGUGUUUUUCUCUCUCCAAUUGUAAAAGUCCAAUAACGGGAGAGAUCCCAAAUCCUUAGGGUAAAAAUGAUUGCGAGUUAGGUAAAUUUACUAUCCAAUUUGUGUAUGAAUUGAUGCUUUUUUUUUUUAACUGAGAUGAAUCGAUGCAUUUGAUAUAUAGAAAAUGGAAUGUCUAAUUUCAACACUAUGAUAUUGAUUUCAUUUAUACAUAAAUGACUCUGUUUGAAUACUAUCAUACGAUCAUAUAGUUAAGGUUUUCAGUGGUCGGAUUAAUCAGUACAUAUAUAUGAAUCAUCUCACUAGCCUAGCCUAAGAAAAAAAAGAGGUGCAUGAAAAUGCCUCUCUGCUUUGAACUUCCCCUGUUUACGCUGUGCGGUGUCUUUAUGAGAGCCAAAAUUUUCAGAAUUAUGACCCCAAUAAUAGAAGUAAUUACUGCAAGAACCGAUUGCCUGGUACAUAUAAUUAUAUAUACAUGAGAUUUCACUUAUCCUAGGGAGUCAUAUAUAAUAAUACAACAAGAGGAAAUUUUAUUAAGAGCCCCUCAAUUUUAUAUAUAUAUAUUUUUUAUCGAAUUUCACUUUUCAGGCUUACUUAGUCUAGCAUUCAUUUAUGGUUGGUUAUUAUUGCAUAAUAAUUGUAGAGAAGAAACAAUGUGAUGUACAUUUCAACUAAAAACAAAGCCUUAUUGACAAGUGAUGAACGGACUAUAGGUAUCCUUAGGGCCUUUGGCAUUCCAUUUGGGGCAUAUAUAUACGGACAUGGGUUUAAAGGUGGCAGGUUCUAUAUAUUAUUGUUUAUCUCCCUCAUUCUCAACUGAGAAACUGCAAUACGUUUUGCAUAAUUAUUACUCGAUCGUACUUAAAGGUCCCUUGGCUACAAAAUCACAGGGUGGGUCCAUAUUAUAUAGUCUUAGUCCAUAAGCCCCUCUAAGCACAAGGGUUCGAAAAGUGCAACAACUUAAUUAAAGCAGCGGCUUCCAUAAGUCUGAAGUCGCCGGAGCAAUAGAGAAUAUAUAUAUCUUGAUGCAAUAGAGAGGUGCAAUUUUCCUUUCAUCAUACAUCUUGGUUAAGAAAUCCAAAUAUCAAAUAGCAUAUGUGAAUAACUUUUAAUGUUUUUAGAGUCCGUUUGGUAAUGUAUUUCAUUUAAUUCUUAAUUUAUUACUGGUUAAAAAAUUUGUUUAACUGUUUGAUAAAUGAAUAUUUUUUUAGGUAACAUUUUUUAAAACAUUAGUUUCUACCUUUUAUAUUUAUUCUUUUUUUUUCUUGAAUAUUUAUUAAAUUUUCUUUUUAAUCUAUUCUAUUUAAAGUAAAAUUUUAUUAUUUUUUAUGCAAUUUUAUAUUUUCUAAUUACUUCAAUUGAUAAUUUUAUCAAAUGUUUGUAAUUAAUAAUAUAAUUUUUUAACUUUUAGGUAGUUUUUCAGCUUCCUACUAAUUUUUUUCAAACAUAUCGGAGAAGUACGUCAAUUGGUUAAAUCUUGGUGAGUCCAAUUCUAUUUCAUAAUAUAUUUUGAUUUUGAUUUUGAUUUUGCAUAAAAAUCAAAUUAACCCGGCCAAAUCCUUAUUUUUAUAAUCAAAUUCACACUAAAUUGAUUUAUAAAUUAGAGUUAAUUACAUUUUCAAUUCAUCAAAUGUAUGAUUUUAGUCUCCUAUCAAGUGAAAGUAAAAGGCGUUUAACAUUUUGUGCGAUCCUGUCUAUGACUAUGGGAUAGUACUGAAAGGCAUGGUUUGAGCAACAGGCUGGGCUGUUUUCAGUGGGUGUAAUUUCCCGAAUCAGCAAGUAGCUUGAGGACUACUCUAUGGUGACAAAUUAAUAUGCAUUUGUUUUCUCUUCCCAGAUUAGAAAUAGAGAUGAAACAGGAGUUGCUUAGAAACAAAAAAACCUCACUAUAUGUACAUAUAGUGCCAGCUAGCUACUUAAACCCAAAUUGUUACUCUAUAAAAAGGUAAGACGCGUAACUAAAUAUAUGCUUAAGCUGUCAUUGUUUUUUUUACAUGUAAGCAAAAAUAGUUAUAUUAAUUACAUUAAUAAUAAGAUCAAAGUAUCAUUAAACAUUUUCAUAAUUAUAUGAAAAAAGCAUUGUAUGUGUGUGUAAAAUCGUACAUGCAUCAUUAUUCUUAUGCAAAUGAUUAUGGACAAAAAUGAAAGCUGAAGCCACCCUUAAAAAAUAAAAGGGUAAAUGUUUUGUUUUUUAAUAUGUAAUUUGUGUGAUAAAUGCUGAAAGAUGAAAAUAUAAAAUUUAGUCUCCAAAAGUAUAAAAAGUGCGACAAAUAUAUCCGACAAUUAACUUUCAUCUGUUGUCAUUAAUAAAAUAGUCUACGUGACACAGAGAAACGAAUUUGUCACUGAAAUGAUUGUCAAUGUGACCAUCUCUAAUUGUCAACAUAUGAACAUAUUUGUCAUAUAAUAUUUUUUUACUUUUCGUCUUCCCAUUUUCAUGAAUGAGCAAAUAAUCACUUUUGUCCAUGAAUAUGUAAUUCGUUAACAAAUGUGUCUCUGAAAUAUGAAAAUACAAAUUUAGUCAUCGAAAGUGUAAAAAGUGUGACAAAUCACUACUAGAAAACAAGCUUUUAACAUCGGUUAUUUAUGAUUUUUUACAUCAAUUAUUAAUCGAUGUUGAAAGUACCGACGUUGAAAGUAUUAUCGUUAACAUCAGUUUUUUGAAAAUCGAUAUUAACAUAAAUUUACAAUAUCGUUUAUUUAAAUAACCGAUAUUAUAUAAUAAGAAUUAUAAAAAAACUUAUUUGUAUUCAUAUCAAUGUUGGCAGUUAACAUCGGGUUUUUUAAAAAAUCGAUGUUAACUUCCAUUAACAACAUCGGUUUUUUGGAAAACAGAUGUUGUUAUUGUAAGUUAACAUCGAUUUUUUAAAAAACCGAUGUUGUUUUUUAGGAUUUUUUUUAAAAUGUCUUGUAUGUUUUUUCAAUAACCCAAAAAUUAACCUGCAAAGUUUAAAAGCAGACCACACAACAUAUAAUUUUGAUUUUGUUUUGAAACAGUUUUUAUCAAAAAUUUGAUGACAAAUUUAUUAAUUACUAUGAAUUAAAAGAAUAUUUAAUGUUAAGAAGACAUGAAUUGAAAAAAAUGUAAACUAAGUAAACUUCAAUUACAAAAUUGUCUAAACAGUCUAAGUUUCAUUUUUAACUUUUAAAUAAUACUUUGUCAGAUAUUCAUUGAGGAACAAGUUUGUCCAAGACAAACAUAGUUCCUUUAAUUUCAAAAGUUUUACAAAAUUUGAUUCUUUUAUAGAUCCUUCUAACAAAUUAGAUGAAAGGUCUAACAUCACUAAAUUUGACAGAGUUCCAAGAGUUACAGGCAUAUCACCAGUCAAAGAAUUAGCUCCAAGAUUUAAUACCUGUAGGUUUUUGAGGAACUAAUAACUCUUAGGAAUGGUUCCAUUCAGUCGAAUGUGAGCCAGGUUUAAAGUUCUCAAGGAUGACAAGUUUGCAAAUGGUGAGGGAAUUGGACAAGUAAAGUUAUUAUUAGAUUUAGAAAGAUUAAGGACUUGGAGAUGUGUGAAGUUGGUUUUUCCUUUUGGUGGUCCUAAGUUAUCAAUUUGACAACUCUUCAAGUGUAGUUCUGAAAGAGAUGGAAGUGCACUCACUACUUGAAUUCGUUACCUUGUUUAUGAAGGUCUGAACCACUCAAAUCAAGGUACUCUAAGGAAGAUAGCCUUGAUAUCCAAUUAAGGUUAUCUAUCUGAAAAGCAUAAUUGUAUCCAAGAUUAAGAUCUUGCAGGUUUAAGAGAUUUCCUAGUUGAUGAGGGAUUAAUCCCAUGAACCCACUUAAGCUAAGGUCCAAGUUUCUCAGACUCUCCAUUAAGCCUAGGAAGCUUGGUGGGUGGUUACCUAGCUAAUAGCCAAAUAUUUGGUUCUCUAAUACUUAUUCUUUAUAUUGUAUUAGCUAACCAUAGGUCUUCUCUCAUUGAUGCUAGGCUAUUUGUAAAUCAGUACCACUUGUACUGCUUUCAUUAAUAUAUAUAAUAUAUCUACUUAUGAAUAAUUCAACAUGAGUAAAUAACAAUGUGGGUACUAUUCUAAUUCCUAUUAACUUGUUUUAAAAAAUGGUGUGAGACAGUGACUCCUCAAAGCUCAGAACACACAACAAUAAAACAAAAAUCAGAACAUUGUUACAUUUGCCAUGGUGCUAUAUGCAUUACAAUAGACACCUAGUUACCUAUCCAUUAAGCAUUCAAAGGACACCUAGUAAUCUAAAUUACCUCACUCAAAAUGAGACCCUGCGAGCAUGAGUGAGCACCCCAAAUGGACUGCAAAGUGAGCACCCCAAACAGACCUAGCAAUGACCACGACUUCCACAAACCAAAUCCUUGCAAGGAGCACGAGUUCCACAAACCAAAUCCUUGCAACACAAACAAACAAAGAUCCUUGCAAUGAGCACGAGUUCCCCAAACUCACCCAUGGUAUUCAAUACAACAUGUUAAAGACAAGAAAGAGUCGCAAAACGUGUACCUAGGUAAGGUGGCGAGGUGUCAUGGUCUCAAUAAGCUUACAGAUACAAAUAGAUAUGGUCGCAAAGAAGAAUAAGCUUAGAUGGACAAGAACAUAGCACAAGCAAAGUAGGGUUUGCAGUCUGAUAUUUUAAAAUAUAAGUCCAACAUUGAUUUUCAAUACAAAACCGAUGUUAAUCAAAUGAUGUCAACGUUAACAUCAAUUUUCUAAGAGAAACCGAUGUUAACUUAUCAUACGUUAACAUCGGUUCUUCAAAAAUCGAUGUUAACGAAUUAAUGUUAACAUUGGUUUUUCAAGAACCGAUGUUAAUGUCAGUUUAUUAACAUCGGUUUUUCAAAAAACCAAUGUUAACGAAUACACAUUAUUUACAAUUAUGUCACCACGUUUAUCUUAACAUCGGUUUUUAACAACCGAUGUUAAUCUGGCGAUGUUAAAUCUACUUUUUGUAGUAGUGAAUAUAUUUGACCGUUAACUUUUAUCCGUCACCGUUAAUAAAAUAGUCAAGAUAUAAAGAAGUGAAAUAUGAGAUAUAUUUAUCUUUUUGGGUAAUUUGGAAAAAAAAAUUGUAAUGAUUGAUAUACUGUUACAAUAUUUUAUUUUGGUAAACUGGUAUAAUGUUUAUUUUGAAUAUUUUUUAUUGUGACAGACAAAUUAUGGUUGAUAAUCAAUAUUAUCGUUAUUAUUAUUUUUUGUUUUAAAUUAUGUUUGUCAAUAUAUUUUCUAAGUAAUUAUUGUAAUUUAUGCUUGUAAUGAUAAAAAAAUGGCAAAAAUUUAUCCUAAAAUUAUAUUUUACUCUUAAACGAAACGAAAUUUUGGGUGUAACAAAUUAGUCCAAUAGAAAUAUGUUGAUAUUUAGAUCCAAUAAAAAAUUGCUGAUAUUUUCAUCUAAUAAUGAUAACUUAUUAACAUUUUUUGUCUAAUGGAAAGUACUCACAUUUAGGUCCAAAAAAAUUACUGACAUUUUUCUCCAAUAAAAAAAUAUUAAAAUUUUUUGUCCAACAAAAAAUUACUAAUAUUUACGUUCAAAAAUAAUAUUUUACUGACAUUGUCCGAUCUAGUCAUCAUGUUGACAAUCAUUUUAGUGACAAAUUCGUCUUUGUGUGUCACCUAAACUAUUUUAUUAAGAGUGACAAACAAAAGUUAAUGAUCAUAUAUAUUUAUCAUACUUUUUACAUUUUUAGAGAUUAAAUUUUAUAUUUUUAUUUUUUAGUGACACAUUUGUCAGUAAAUUACACCUACAAAAACAAAAGUGAGUAUUUAGUCAAAGUAAAAGAAACUUUUGUUUUUGAUAUUAAAUGAGACUAUGAUAUCAUGUUCUUUAGAAUAAUGAAAAAUAAAAACUGUGGCCACAGUUUUUACUUUUAACGAAAGUGGCUUUGGCAAUAAACUUUUAAACUCAGAAAUCAUCCUUUCUACUUACCAGUUUCCAGCAUUAUUUAGUAUUUUGACUGUAUCGAAUGAGAGUUUAUACGGAUUAACAAGAGUUAAUAUUAACCAUGUAAAACCCACUGGAGGGUUGAAUUGGUAUAAACCCUUACAAGACUAACUCCAAAAUGAAGGAACAUGUGGAUAUACAUCUAAAAAUUUAAACAUGUUUUUUUUUACAGAAAAAAAGUUUAAACAUCUAAUUUUACCUAAAUGACUGAAAUUAUAAAAUAAGUAAAGAUUACAUGUUCACUUAAUUAAAAAUAGCAUAACCUUGCUUUAUAACUUUAUCUACCCUAUAUAUUCAAUAAUUAUAGUAAUAAAUUUGUCAUCUAAUCAUCUCACAUUCUCACUUAAUAUCCCAUUUCUCAAUAACAUUUUAUAAAAGAAAAAUACCAUUUUAAUCAUCUGUGCUAUAUUUUUUUAAAAAAAAAUUGAGCAACUAAUCUUAUUUAAAAUAAAAAAUUAUUUACUAUUAAAAAAAAAUAUAACUUUAUGUGUUAUGAAAGAAUAUAGUUACAUUUUAAAUUUGAAGUGAAAUUAAAAGUAAAAUUUUAAAAUUAGACAAAAAAAAAUAAAUAUAAACAUAAAUAUUUUUUAUGAUGCCACUUAAUUUUGUAGGAUAUCUUAACUUGUCAAUUAUGGAAGAAUCCAUAUCACCCCACUAGUUUGUGUUUGUAUAUAUUUGGUACUUGCUAGGGGUAUUCCUUUCAACUUAAUUGACUUGUGAUUUCUGAACAUCCAACCACGAUGUUCUGUUCAUCGACAAUAACUCGCAUCUACACACCCGAUCAUGAUCAUGCACACAUCAAAUGGCAUAUUUAAGAUUCCCUUUUCUAUUUUAAAAGGGGAGGGGGAAAAAACAAUCACAGGACACUGCCACACUACAAUUAACAUCUCCCACAAGUUUCCAUUUAUUCUUUCUGAAAUAGUUGUUAUAAUUUAUCAAAUAGUACUAUUUUUUAUCUUAAAAUUACAAAUAUAUUUGGUUACCUUGUCUUUAUUUGAUAAUGUUGUUUUAUUUUUAUUAUUUGAGAUACUUAAAAAUAGGAAUAAUGGUCAAAUUAAUUAAUAUUUUUUUUAGUUUUUUAAGUGAUAAAUAAGUGAAAUAAAGUAAAAUUAAAGUGAUAAUUAUUUUAAUAUAUAUAGUUAAGAUAAUAUUAUUAAUAAGUGUUAUUAUAUAAGACACGUGUUAAAAAUUUGAAAAUAAAAUAAAAUGAAUAAUAUUUUUAAAGUUCUUAAUAUACUAAAUAUUUUCUUAAAAUAAUAUACUAAACGUUAGAGUUUAACUUUUAUGUAAUGUUAAUGUAAAAAAAUUAUACUAUCGAACAAUUUAAAAUUAUUCUUAAUAUUAUUUUUAAGAUGAAAAAAAUCAAUAAAACUAUUAUUUAUAUUGUUUUGUAAUUGAAUGGGUGUUAAAUACAUCCUUAGGAUAUACACAAUUCACUUUACGUAUUAGACAUUUACCAUUUCUUUUCAACAAGUGUUCUUGGAAUAUUCUUUUCAACAAUUUAAUUUACCAUAUAUGUCCUUUUUUUAUAAAAAAAAAAAAAAUAUCCUCAGUAAACCAUAUGAAACUUUUUAAUGAAAUUUAGUACAAAACACACCAGACAAUUUUGAAAGCAUUCAAUGUGCACAUGGUUAUUUUUAGAAGCAUUUUCCUCUCAUUAUGAUACUAGAUUUUAAACUCAUGUAUCGUUUAAAUUAUUUUUUUAUAUGUAUCUACUAUUUAUUUGAAAAAUAUAUACCUAAUUAAAUUUAAUUUUAAAAUAUUUAGUNNNNNNNNNNNNNNNNNNNNNNNNNNNNNNNNNNNNNNNNNNNNNNNNNNNNNNNNNNNNNNNNNNNNNNNNNNNNNNNNNNNNNNNNNNNNNNNNNNNNUGUUGCUGUAAACAUUAUGGUAAUGUUUACAUGUACUUUUAUUUUGUAUGUUUACAAUUAAUAAUUUUAAAUGUUUUUUUAUUUUAAAAUAAUUUUUUAAAUGAUAUUUGUCAUUUAAUUAUGCAAUAUUGUUGAAGUUUCGAAUUAGUUAACCUUAUUAUAACUUAAAUUGAACACUCUUUAUAGAUGUAAUAAAAUUUGUUCAUUAUUAUUAUUAUGAUUAUUAUAUAUUUAAUUACUUGGUAUGUUUAAAGUUAUUAAACAAUAAUUUCUUGUAAAAUAUAUUUAUCCAUAAAGAUUAUUACAUGUUCCAAAUUUUAUAUCUAAUAAUUUAACUAUUGUAAAUAUUAUUCAUCUAUAAGAAUUAUUACUUAUAUAGAUAAUAUUUUUUUAAUGUUAUUAGGCACAUUUUGUUUUCUCAUUGAAUAAAUUUAAUUAUAUAUAUUUUUAUAUUUUUUUAGUAGUUUUUAACAUAUAUAUAUAUAUAUAUAUAUAUACUUAAAAAAUUAUCAAUUGUUAAAAUAUUUAGAAUUUAAAUUUUUAAAAUAUGAAAAAUUAAAAUUUGAAUUAUAAAACGAAAAUUUAAACCUUGAAAUUUGAAAUUUGAAAAUUUAAAAUGGAAGGAUGACUUAAUGAAGCAAUAAUGUGGAGUAAGAUAUGAAAGAUACCUGAUUAUGCACGAUCACAAUAACAUUAAGGAAACACGGACAAUUUGAAUAAUUAAAAGCCAUUUCUUGAUAGUGUAGUAUGAGUAUAAUUGAUCUUAAACAAAAUAUAAAAAUAGGCAAAAUAUAUAUUACAUGAUUUUGAGAUCUCUUCGUCAACUAAGAUCAUAUUUGUACUAAUUAAUUAUUUGUUUUGAUUAAUUUUAAGAGUGUCUCCCAUUCACGUAACUUUUAUUUGUCCAAAGAUUAUUGAACAAGAUAAACCCAUCAAAGGUUAAUAAUGAAACUUGUACACUACAUUUUAGAAAUGAAUCACUAUUCUAUAACUACUCAUAAGAAAUUAAAAGUACAGAAAUAUUUUAAAAUAUAAUUGUUAAUGUUAUAAAUGCAUGGAAAAUAAUUUUUAAUAACCCUUUAAUUCAUUUAAUGAUAAUUAUACUUAAAAUUAUAGUUAAAAAAAUAUCAUUUUAAAAAUAAUUAUCACUUUAUGAUUAUAUAAAGAAUAUAUUUAAAAAAAUAUGAAAAAAGGAUCAUUUUUUUACUUAAAAUAAUAGUUAAAAAGAUAAUUUUGAAAAUAACUACGACUUUAUGAUUAUACACAUGGAUAUAUUUUUUAAAUAUAUAAGAAUUAAUAUUUAUUGCGUGAAUAAUAAUAAUAACAAUAAUAUUAAUAGCAUUUAAAAUUGAAGUAACUAUAUAUAAUUAAAAAGUUGAAUGUAUAAUUUUCUUUCUUUAGAGGAAGUAUAAUAAUUAUAAAAUGAAAUAUAAAUUUUGAUCCAUGGUUGUAAUAAUUUCAAGUAAACUUAAGAUCAAUGAUUAUUAUAGAAUUAAAGUCGUGAUCCAACAAUUUAAAAAAUUUGAAAUUUCUUUUAUAUACAACAUAUAGAGUUUUUUUUUUUCUGCACUUGUUUGUUAAAAAUAAUGUGUAAAAUAACCUUAUUAUAUACAGGUUCGAUUUUUACUAUGAUAUGUUCUGAUGUCAAAAUAAGAUAAAGUUUUAAAUUUUUUAUAACAAAAUUAAGGAUUUAUUCAACAAUCAAGCCAAUUAUUUUAAGGACACAAUUUAAAUGCAAUUUCUUAAAUAUUUUGUUAUUCUCUAAUCAAAAUUAAGUUUUACUUCAAUAUAACAUAUAUUAAUAUUUAAAACAAACUUCUAUUAAGAAAUUAUCAAAAUGAAAUCUUAAUUCUUAUUAAAAUCAUACUAAGAAUAUCUAAAUAUAUUGUAUAAAAGUUUAUCCUUAUUCCAAAGGCUACGGAAGGUAUUACUUGGAGAAUUACUUGUUAUAUUUUAAUAAAUAUAAAAUUUGUGCUUCUUCUCGGUGAAUUGCGGCUGAUAGCAAUCCAGGGCGUCGUAUUCACCAUAACAUAAGAAUUUAAUUACAAGUCACUGAUAUAUAAAAAAAAGCUAAAAUAUACAAAUGUUCCUUUAAUUUCUUUCUCUAAAUUCAUCCUCAAGCAUUUAAAAGUUUUAAAAUCAUUCCCUUAUUUUUUAACACAAUUUGAACAUUUUUUUUAUUGAUUCAAGAUGUAAAAUUUAUUUCUUUAGAUUCAUUUACAUAAAAAUUAUAAAAAUAAAUAAUUUUUCAAAAAAAUAAAUUAAAGAGACAUAAACAAGGUAAAAAUAUAUGAAAGGUGAGUCUCCGAUCCAUCAAAAACAUACAAAUCUAAUGUUAUACUUUUUGAGACUCAUUUUUACAUAAUUUUCACUAUAUUUAUAUUUUUUUGUUUUGUUUUAAACAUCAGUUGAUUUCUAUAAUUUUCAUACAGGCGAGUUUAAAAAAAGAUUCAAAAUCAUGUAUAAAAAUUGAAAAUGAUCAAUUUUUGAAAUUACUAACUUGUUAUGAAUUAAAGAGUAAGAAAUUAUUUUAGAAUUUUUAAAAAUUAGGAGAAUAAUUUAAAACUAUAUAUAUAUAUAUAUAUAUAUAUAUAUAUAUAUAUAUAUAUAUAUAUAUAUAUAUAUAUAUAUAUAUAUAUAUAUAUAGGGGGGGGAGGGGGGGGGGGGGGGGGGGGUUUGUUUCUGUUUUUUUGUUUUUUUUUUUUUUUUUUUUUUUGNNNNNNNNNNNNNNNNNNNNNNNNNNNNNNNNNNNNNNNNNNNNNNNNNNNNNNNNNNNNNNNNNNNNNNNNNNNNNNNNNNNNNNNNNNNNNNNNNNNNUACUAUAUAAAAGUUGAAUUCAUGAUAUAAAAAAUUAGGGCAAAAUUUCCCAUCUGCUUAUAAUAACUUUACUUGAAUAGGUUUUAUCUUGACUAGAAAAAAAAGGAAUUAAUCACGCUGAAAUUUUCUAAAAUUAAAUACCGCAAUCACUUAGGCAUAGUGACAUAUCUGAAAAACUUGCCUAUAAAAUUAAGUUAACUUUUUCUUUGAGGACAUGCGGCGGAGUCGGUGAGAUUUGCAACUAAAAUGGGUUGGAUGCAAAUCAAAUAUUGCAUUGAGGCUUCAUUCGGUUCUUGACACUGAAAUUAAACAACUAGCAUCCACUUCGAUCUAAGCUUGUUUUUAUUUUCUUUUAUAGAUUACCCCAUUUAAUGUGGAAUAAUUAUGCUCGAAUCAAAUAAAACUAUUACAUAAUUAUUACGUUAUUUAACUAAUACUCAAAAUUCCAACAUACUCCUAGUUUUAAUUGUAUAUUUUAUGUCACUUUGAAGCUAGCUAAAAAAAUAUAUACAUAUAUAACAUAUUAAUAUGUCAAGUUUAGUCCAAAUUCUUGUUGUACCGAAAGAUCAUUCUAUUCUUUUUGGUAGAAUAAAGUUUCUGCAACUUUCGGAAUUCGGAUUCACCCAUGUCAUUUGGAAGAUAUCGGCGAAAAGUUUCGUCUUUUCAGAAAAUUUCAUGUUACGUAUCGGCUUCUACUCCAACAUUCUUCUGAUUUUUUAAGGUAAUAAAUGUAAAGAGAUUUUAACUCAUGUAUAGUCUUUUAAUCCAGCAUUCUCUAAAAAAUGAUUUUAACUUAUAAGCAAAAAGUUUACGGAAGAAACUUUAUUUAUUUUUUCUUAUUUUCUUUUUUUAUAAGCAUUUGAAGAGAAAAUUAUCUGAGCGACACAUGUUCUAAUAUAAUUUUGUUUAACUAGAAUGAAUUUAGAAAUGUAUCCUGAUUAUGAUUAUCGAUUUAAAACUAAUUUAAUUAAAAUUAAUUCUACAACUUUAAAAUAAACAGGCUCUAACAAAACUGACUAGAAGAUGCCUACCAAUUAUAAGCCUAGUCCUGAGACUAUGCUACUGCUACUGUACCGCACUGCAGACUGCAGACCCACGUGAUAGCCUAUUAUCUUCACAUUUCAGCUACCAAAUACUGGAGUACCAGAUUGUAAAUUGUCUGUGCCUUUUUUAAGAAUAAAUUAAUAGCAUAAUAGCACAACUAUGGUAGGGUUGCUCAACCUUUUUUUUUUUUUUGAAUUUUAUAAAUAUGAGAUUUAAGAAUUUUGAACAAUUUUUUUCUCCAAUAUUGUAAUCUUUAAGAAUUUAAAAUAAGUCCUACAAUUUAUUAGUAAUUUUUAAGAACCAUCACUUAUAUAAGCAAUGAUUCCUAUAUAAGAAACCAUCCUUAUAUGUCAAUUGCUCAAAAUGGUGUGUAUAUAUAUAUAUAUAUAUAUAUAUAUAUAUAUAUAUAUAUAUAUAUAUAUAUAUAUAUAUAUAUAUAUAUAUAUAUAUAUAUAUAUAUAUAUAUAUUUAAAACCUUCAUCAUUCAAAAUACUCUAAUUAAAAGUAUAUCUAAAAAAAUUUAAAUAACUAGAUAAGUUAUCAAAAAAUAAAAAUAUUUUAUUUUCUUAUAAACUAAAAGAUAUUUUCUUAAUUCACCAAAAAAAGAGAUAUCUUAAAAAAAAUUUAAAAAAAUACUACAGGCAUUUUUCAAAACUUAUUAAACGCAUUUUAAACAUAAUACCCCAAUUACUCCGAUUUUAAUUUCUCUUAAGCAACAUCUUGCAUUCAAGUCCAAGUCUUGUCAAUGGAAACCAUAUACUAAGAGAACUUUGUCCCCUUAAAUGAGUCAAGUUGGCUCAAGUCUGAUUAAUCGAAACUCUCAAUGGAACUUUCCAAUAGCGCGAGUCUAAAAAAAAAUCUAAAUAAAUUGAUAGUACAUUAUACAAGCAACUUAGAAGCAUUGCCAUUUCAGCUUAAAGCCUUAAACAAGUUGCCCCCAAGUGUCAAGACACUCAAAAAAAUGUUCUCUCUUCAGCUUUUAGGGUGCAGCCAUGGAAGGAAAAUUACCAUAAAUAUUUUUAUUUAUUUAUUUAUCAUAAAAAAAUUACAAUUUCAAUCCAAUAAUAUGAACCACAAAAAUUGUUUGAAUAAAUACUAGUGUUACAACUGCUAACGCCACAACUCAUUUGCUCCUAACACCCUAUAACAUGUUUCAAAAUUGGUUGAAUCUACUAUCAGGAUCUCUUCACAAUAGCAGUAGCAUAGAAAGGAUGAUGACAGAAUGUAAAAGAAAUCUUCAACUUUGGAUCAAGGGCUCCUGCCUGACAAACAUUCAAGGCAAUGCUGUUGCGUUCUGCUACUUGCUCUACUCUGCACAGCUCGGCCAUUGUGUCAGGGUCAUUGGCAAAACUACUUUUCACCUCUUUUGCUAUCCUCUGAGCUUCCUUGAAGUAAUCACAGAUAGCUAGGGUCUGAAGGAGAAACAAACAAGUAAAAAAAUUGUCUCUAAAAGCAACACCACAUGAUAAUUUUCAAAAGAAUACUCACAGAGAAGUUAGCAUGCAUAGUUGACUCCUUGAAUGACACAUAUGAGAUGUGAUCAGGAACGCAAGCUUUCUGUAAAAGCUCGAAUUGCUGAAUAAAUAUCUGGAGAAAAGUUUAUAUGUUAAUUAAGUUGCAAAUGAAAAGCUUGAUUAAUAAAGUACAAAAUUCCAUGGGUUAACCAUCCACAAAUUGGUCAUGAACUACGUAUACAUAUUAUUGUUAAGUAUAAACAAAGAUUCCGUUUACUGAAUAUCUCUGGAUCUUUUAGAUAUUCACAAAAUAUACUUGGAUACCAUAGAAAAGCCUCUAAAUGCAGUUUAAAUAAUUUAUUGAAGGUUUCUCCUUAUAUUUUGGCAAAUCUAUACUUGUAUAUCCAAAACUAUCUUUUCUUAUCUGCAUGACAAGAUUACAAGUAUUCAACUAUCUUAUCAGCAUGACAAAAUUACAUGUAUUCAGGCAAAAAAACAAUAUUAAUAAUUAGUUAUACAUAAGAUAUAUUUGUUUCAUCCAAGCCGGAGCCAUGAAAUGGUGGGAACUAUGAAACCACAAUUUAGUAUAUGAUGUAUGGGAAAUGAGUAUUUGAUGGUUCUAAAAGACAGAAAAACGGACUAGGAUUUAGGACCCGUCUGAAAACUCAAUCCAACACUGGUAAUGAAAAGAUUCAUCAUUGAAAUUUAGUGGGGUUUGAUUACAUGCCAAAACUGAAAUUAGUGAAAAUUUUCUGAAAGCGAUAAACUAAUUGAAAUAGUAUCCAUUAGUGUAAUCUUAUUAUAUUAAAUAUUAAUACACUUAAAAGAAACCAAGCAUUAAAGUUUGGCACUGUUUGUAAACUCAACAUGCUAAGUUUUAGUUUUAGCAAAGACACAACGUUUUUAAUGUUUUUAAUACAUUUGAAAUUUGUAUAUGGUGAAACAGAAAACCUUACCUCAUGCUCUGUAUUGAAAGGGCUUUGCAGUGGAACUAUUCUGCACUCAUUCCUCAAAGCAGCAAACAUCUAAAAAAAUAAUUGGAUUGCUGCAGAAUGUAAGUCCACCAAAUUGGAUCAAAUAGCAAAAGAAAAAUACAAGGUUAAAGUAAAUUAUCAUACAUACAGAUCACAUACAGACUACUAAAUUCUAGAACCGACAGACCUGGAAGGAAAUUUUCAAGCCAUUAAUGUCUCACAUCUCUAUUCCUAGAUGAAAUAAUGAAAGACAUCAUCAUUGAGAAAAUAUAGACAAAAUUACCAUGCUUAGUCCUUCAGCAAGAUAUAUUUGGCUUUGAAGAAACAUAACAGCUGCUGGGAUCUGAUAAUCAAUCUCCCCAUCCUUGAAAGAAUCCCUUUUUUUCUUUGUCUUUUUCUUAGCUGGUCAACAGGACACAGGUACAUAUUGAAGUCAGAGUCAGCAUAAGCUUAUUUUUUCUUCUAAUAACCAAAUGCACUAUUACAAAAUUCUUAAUCAUACUACUGUGAGAGUCGUUAAACUGUUGCCAAAGAUAAAGCAAAGUAUUCCCUCUUUACACAUAUAAAUCACUUUUCUUAAUAAAAACUCUUGAUGAAUUAUUGUCACAUACCAGAGUCACUGCUCAUUGCCAUGCGGAGAUGUUUCUUCUCAGUGAGCUUGAUCAACACAACAUAAAUAUACCAGUAUACCAUGCAAUAAUCAUGGACAGAGUAGAGUUCCAAUUCAAAUCCCAAAUUGAGAAAUCGAAACGCUAUCCAAUAAGUUUGCUCUUCUACCCAUGCGAGAAUAUGUUGGUAUAUUUUGAAACAUAUUUUCUGCUAGAACAGGAGCAAUAUUAUAAAUUAGCAGAUGAAUUGUAGUUUAGAGAUAGCAGCUAAUAGACAAUCAGCCCAUUUAUGCCCAUGAAAAGCAUGUGUGCUGCAAUGCAACACAAGAAAACUCACUUCCACGUGAGUUUAACAUUAUUUCUCAAAGGUUUCUGAAAACUAACUUUUUAAGGAGCACCAGACAAUUGGUAAACUAACAAGCAACAAACCUUAUUGUUUGAAGUUUUUGAGGCUUCUUCAAACUCUCCUUUAAAAGUCAUCUCUAGCUGCAGAGUAAUGCAAGAUUAACAGAUUAAUUUUAAAUGUACUUCCGGGCAGUCAUAAAAUAUAUGUAUUUGCAUUAACCAUAGAAGCUUAAUCCCACACCCAAUGCCGGGAUAUCUUGACCAUUUAAUCCCUUCCCCUAUAACAAAUUUCUAUUGUAUUCUUUUUGCAUUUUUCAACUUUUUUUUUGUGUUCCUGCCGUCAAAUAAGAAAAACAAAUACUAGUAACUCAAAAAAAUCUAACCCCCCCCCCACCCACCCACCCCCACAAAAAAAAAGGUUUCUCUCAGAGUAAGAUAAUGUAUUAAAUUAAGAAGCCUCCAUGAAAACCUUCCUAAAAUUUAACUCAAUUUCUUAAAGAAAAUAAGACAUGUUGAUUUUACAGCACAAGAAAGAAAAAGGGGGAGAGGAAGCUUGUAGUAUACUCUGGAAAACAAGCAAAGGACACACCUGUACAUAGGUGACAUGCCAGUCUUGUAACAUUUUCCCUAGCUUACGCCUUUGCCAAGCAGCAUUUGUACAAAGAAUUUUGAGUAAAUUUAUCACCAACUGCAUGCAUAAUACUUGAACAGAUUAUACAGUGUCUAACUAAAUCAAUCAUGAAUGGUGCAGCCAUUUCUUAGGAGGACAAGAAUUCAUAUGGGAAUGAUAUUGUCCUUGAGUCAGAAAAUCUAGGUUGAUUAUAAAAACUAACAAAAUUAGAUAAAAGGAAGUAAUUGAGCCUUGAUAAUUUCAGGUAAAAAGAUUAUCAUCAUCGUCAUCGAAAGUAUGCAUGUCUAUAUAAGUUCAGGAACACAUACAAAAGAGUGAAAGGAGUUAUGUUACGUAGAUCAUUAAUAGUAUGCCAAUAGCUAUAACUGCGUUACCUGUCCUAGUUGCACCAUAAAUUCAUUUUUCUGAAAGUCAUAAUUCUCUGUGACUCCAGGUAAUCCAGCAGCUCCAGUGAUCAUAGAAAACAUAGGAUCCCGACCAUAGAGUUUCCCAUCCUGGACCAGCAGAAGCUGAUAACAAGUUUUAAUGGUUGAGGUUGGAGAACAGAGCACAAAACAAUAGUAGUAAGCACAAUUCUGCUACCAUGCACAUCUAGCAUGGCCUUACAGGUAUGGACAUAGUGACACAAUGGACCAAUAGCACAAAGACAAGCAUCAACAUUCUAAUAAGAAGCAUGAAGACAUAACAAGUGUUACUUUGUGUGUCUCUAGCAACCCAUAAAAGGUUCUUCCAAAAGUACAAGUGUUAGAAGAAAUCAGGUGCUGUGCUUAGCUAUUAAUAAUAGUUCCUUCAACAUUUUUACUAAUAGAUGCAAGCUUUAUAGUGAUGUCACUCCCUAAUAUUCUGUUCAACAAGGUAAAAACUCUGAUAACAUAUAAUACUCAUUAACAGUGCCAAUAAUCAGGUUACAAGUAAUACAUGCUUACCAACUAACACUAUCACAUAAAAAAAGGGCAACCCAAUGUUAUGAAGGUCCCACUGUGUGUGAGGUUCAGGGAAGGGUCAGACCCACAUGGUCUAUAGCAGGCACAGCCUUUUCAGGAGGCUGAUUCCUCGACAUAGAAAAAACUAACGUACCCUAGUGUCUGGAGGAGGCUCCUUGCCAUGCAAAGUAUGGGGGAAAGUCAUUGUAUGCUGUCUUGCCCUUGCAUAUGCAAAGAGGCUGUUUCCCUAUUCAAUAUAUUAAAUAGGGUACAACGGAAAAAUUCACAUUUUCAUAAAAGACUAUAUUUUUCUCUUCCUGGCUGUGUCUCCUAAGAAAAAAAGAAAAAAUCUAAUUGAAAAAUACUCAAAUUUAAUUAAAUAGCUAGUCUAUGUAGAAAAUUCAUUAAAGUAGCUAUAACAAGACAGUCAAAUCAAGGAACAUUCAAGAUCCACCUGAAGAUGAGCUCUAGCAACCAAAUCAGGUCGAGAUUUCUGGAAUUUAACCACAAAGAGUAAAGCAGCUUCUAAUGAUGGGUCCAAUGAGUAGGAACAUACAACGUUUAGGUCUUGAAGGAGUUUCAUGAAAUAUUCAAGGGCCCGGAAGAGAUAAAAUGGAAAGAUUAUACAUGAAAAUAAGUUUCAUGAAUUAAAAGCAUACCUAUAAACACUUACCUUUUCCCAAGAAUGAAUUUUGAUUGACCGUGGUGGUGUUGGGGCAGAUAAUCUACAGUUUAAACUAGCAUCAAAGCCAAUUGGUUGACAACCAGAUGCAGUUGUAUUGUCUAAGUUUUGCUCAGAAAUUCCAUGUGCAUUAGCUCUAAGAAACUCCGAACAUUUUCGAAUGUAAUCAAUCUCUGAAAUGCAUGAAGCUAUGUGUUUUCUUGCUAACUCCAAACCCCUUCCUUGGGGUCGUUUCAUAGACAUCAAAAGAUGGUAAAAAUGCUGAAAUAAAAUCAUGUCGUGAAAUUUCAGUCAAAGAAAGCAUGCAUAGUUGACAAGAAAGAAUUGAAAUUGCAAUGAAAGUUGAAUAAGCACAAGAUGGAAGCACAAAUACACUAAAUGACUAAUAAAAGUACCAUCAGGGAAAGCCACUAGGAUUAGGGUAGUUGCGAGGGGAUUGGGUAGUUUGGAGGUCAUACAUUUGAACCUCCAUGAAGCCAUUAUGACCAGAAUAGUGACGAUGUAAGGAAUACAAAAGGUUCCAGUUAUGGGUACCCAAGUUUUAAAGCCAAAUGCAUAAUAUGGCAUAUAUGGGCAUUAGGAGUAAGGACAUCCUCAACUUCCUUUAUCAAACUAAAACUAUGCUAAUCAAGGAAAUUUCAAAGGGUUCAUGAUAAUUUUACAGUGCUUAUCAUCUUAUCUUUGACAUGUGUGGAUUGAUUAAAUAUAUUAGUAUGCUCACUUACAAAUAGACAACUUAUGUCUAAUGCAUAAAUUAUGCAUGUAUAAUUCUACAUUAUUUGCAUAACUUAGAAGAGAAUAAACAUAGGAUAAAACCUUACGAAAACGUAAUCGACACAACAGCGCUUUGCAGUAGCCUUCUUCCAGAUCAGGAUUAUUUUGAAGUGGUUCAAUAUCUGCAACCAAAUAGCUCACAACUAAAUUAAAAGGAAUCAGCAUAUGUCGCACCCCUUUGUGUGACUGGGGGAAAAGGCAAGACGAUUUUGAGUUUGACAUUAUGAAGCUUAGAGACUGUAAAACAGAAUAGUAUUUGGGCAUUAUGAACAACAUUAUUCAAGGAUGGCAUAAUGCCAUCCACAACAGGUACUUACAACAUUUUACAUAUGAAUACAAGACUCCCUGAUGCAAAACUAUUUGAACCUUACGACAACUUUGAUGAGACCUCACCAACAAAACAAAAUGUAACUUUUUAAAUUUCAACAAGCAAUUACCUUCUUUUUUAUAGGGAAAUUUGAAAUAUAUUAUCCUAUAAGACAGCCCAUAGCAUAAGAUAUGCUAAGUGAUUGCAAUAAAAAAGUUAGAAACAUAACCUCUGAACACACCGGUAACAAGACCUAUCUAAGAAAAAGCAAUUACCUUCUGGCACUCUUCUUUUUGACGAUGAAACCUUACAAGCACGCAAUUGGCGAGAUAUUGUUUCUUCGACAGCAUUUAGCAUUGAUAAACACUUUUCAUCUCCAUCUCCACUCAAAGGAAGGCCAUAUGCCAUGGUAAAUAGAUCCUCUUCCUGACACAAAUAAAUACGACCAUUUUUUAAUAAAAAUGCUAUGAAAGAAUGUGCUCAAAAUAGAAGGACAAAUAAAUAUGAUCAAAUGUUCAUAGAAAUAUACAGCUUAUAAAAAGUACAUAUAUGUAGAGCAUGUGUUAGGAAAUCAAACAACUAUGGCCACAUGUCUAUAUGCAACCAUUUAGAGGAAGGCUGCAUGUCAGUGUAAAUCAGUAAAGUGACACAUAAAGAUCACAACAUUUAACCAUAAAGUGAGAUCCGCACAAAUAAAUUGAAAAAUAUUGAACAUAAAGAUUCGUAAGUCCUAACAUUUUAUUCCAUACUUUUCUUCCUAAAGUUAUUUAAUGAAUGGCAGCAGGACGAUAAAUAAUCACAUUCUUCCAAAAAAAGAAAAACCAUUAUUUAUUUGACCAAACAAAAGAAAUUAAAAUUUUCAGAUAGAUAACGACACAAAAAAAAUGUUUAUAUACAGUAGAGAUUUUAAAAAUAAAAAUAAAAAUAAGAGCUGUUGGAAUACUUUACUUCAUGUGUUCGAGCUUGUGAGACAACUGAAAGGAUUGCUUUGCAGGUUGCACGUAUGACUUUACAGUAAGAGUGCAACAGGGCAUGCGACGAUGUCCUUUCAGGUCGUAGGAGAUAGAGGCAAGAAUAGACAGUUUGUGCCAAUGAAUGACCCUUGUGCCAUGUUGCCUGCAAGGUCAAAUGACAACUAACAUAAAAGAGAAGGAAGAUACAAAUGAAGACUUGUGUAUAACAGACAGAGCUAUUUAACACAAACAAAUGUUACAGCCGUUACUAUUUGUGUUGUGUAUUGCUAAAAAUUGUGUUUAUAUAAGUUCUAAUUUUCUAUUUGACAAAAAAUUAUGCUUAUUGGAUGAAUGUUUUGCAAUACAUCUCAGAGGGGGGAAAAGCAAGUUUAAGAAAUAAAGAGUAAAUUUGGAUGUAAUCAGAUAAUUAAAAAGAGAAUAAAUUAUUGUGCAUUAACAAAUAAAUAAUGACUAAAGAGCAUCAUAUUAAGAUUGUACAUUUGUCAGCCUCACAAUGCUGAUGUUUGAGUAUGUUUUGGAGAAAGAGAGGAAUUUUUCAGCCCCCUUGGAAAGAGAUACCUCACAGGCUAGUAGAUGGUCCAUGAUGUCAAUCAUGCAUCGAACAUCGGUAGUUUUAUCAGCACUAAUAGGAAUUGGAGCAACACCAUUCUCAAUGGCUUCAUCGAGAGAGUAGUAUGUACAAGCAAUACCAGAAUCCAUCUUCGGGUCCAUUAUCUGAAAAAACAUUCAACAAAAAGCAAUUUGUACAAGUUAAUGAUACAGAAAACAGAAAACAGCUCCUCUAAAUAGUCUACCUCUAGACAUUUCUCAUUCUUAAAUAUCUAUAAGAAAAAUUAUAUGAUUGUGUUUGUGUGAAUAGAUAUAAAAAGAAUACCUCCAAUGCAGACAUGGCGGCAAAAAGAUUGAAGUUGUCUCCAUGAAUAAGCUCUCCCUCUUGAAGAUCUGCCAAUGCAACAAGGGAAGUUAAAUCAAGAACCACAAUAGAAAUUGAUAUUAUUUAAUAUUCUAGUUUAUAAAACACAAAUUUGUUAAGCAAAAUAACGAGGAAGCAAGUUUGACACAAGUAUUUUAUUUAAUUAAAGAGUUACGUAUGAAGCGAUCAAGUACUGUAAUAGGUAAAAAAAAAGGAAGAAGCAGUGCAUGUUAUUGACCUUGGCAGGCGGCUUGGAGGAGAGGGGAGACAUCGGCCCAAACGGAGUUAUCGCCGGAUGGAAUGGAGGCGCGUGGAGGGAGGCUGCCAUCCUCGGCCAUGUCUUCUUCAACCUUCAACCUUAGCUUGUGAUUGUGAAGGGACUAGCAAGUGUUUUUCACUUUAGGUUGAGGUUUUGUGUAAACACUGAAACAAACUCACACACUCUCUUUGCAUCCGUGAACGAGUUUGGUUGAGUUUUGAAAAGCUACAUGUCAGUGUGUGUGCUCUUAAUGGAGGGUUUAGUUGUUUAGGGUAUGCUAUGGAAUCAAAUCCAAUCAAUCAAGGUCUUUGCAUUUUCUUCUCCUUCUAUUCUCUGUUUACCUUUUUCAUUUUUCAUGGGUUGAAAUACAUUUUUUUUCUUAUAAUUUAAUUUUUUUUAUUUUUUAUUUUUAAUCCUUACAAAUUAUAUUUUUUUAUUCUUGUGUUGUUUUAUAUGACGUUUUUUUGUUAUUUAAAAUAUUAUCUAAAAUACUUUAAGAAUUAAAAAUAAAAAAUGAUAAUUUACAAGUAUUAAAAAUAAAAAAUAAUAAUUUUGUAAAGAUAAAAAGUAAAAAAAAAAGUUAAAUUAUAAGAAAAAUAAAUAUUUAAACCUUCUUCAUGCGCUGAAUUUGAUUUGAUAAAAAUCAUGAAUAAAUUAGUGAAUAAAAUCUCCAUAAAAAUCAUAAAUAAAAUGUAUUUAUAUGAUGCGUUGAAGAUAUGCCUAAAUACAUGUAGUAUGAAAAUGAAUAAUUUAUUCAGUUUUAUAUAUAGAAUCUGAAAAUAAAAAUUUAACAAGCUUCUCUGCUCAUACAUUUCCUCUUCUUUUGAAAAACAUUUUUCUACGAGAAUCUCAACCACUAGCAUCAAGAGCUUGGUUUCUGAAGGACAAGUGAAAAAUGAAAGUCGAAGCAACUUUAUAAAGCAUGAUUUGAAUAGAAAAGUAUAAAUGUAUACUAAUAUAUAAUAUUAUUAUAGCGCAUUAAUAUAUUUAACUUAUAACCAUUUAUUUAUCUCUUUUAUAAUAUACUCUCUUUUAUUUUCAUUUCUAAAAUUAAUUUUAAUAAAUUGUUUUAGAAAAUGGUUAAUAUUUAAUUAUCGUUAUAUCAUAUUUAAAUUGUUCAUCUUCAAUUCAAAAUAUAAUUUAUGAAUUUAGAAAUAUUUAGUUAUUAUAAUAAAAUUUUAAUUAUAUAAAAACAAAUAUCGUUCUGAAGAAGCUUAAUUCGCAUCUAUAUCCUAUUGCAAAUUGCAAUUAACAAUUAGCAAUAAUUGUGUUCAUAGAUAGAAGUCUUUGCUUAUUUCAUACGUGUUUGUAUGCAUGCAACAAAGAUAAUAAGAAAUAAAAAAAGAGCUCGUAAUAUCCCUUUCACUAAUUAAUUAUGCAUGCUUAAAGAAGGACGUACUAUAUCCCACAUUUGGAAGAUGAAUUAAUCCUUAACAUUUUCCAGCCUUCCUUUCCAAUCCUGCAUCUAACACUGUGAUGGAAAGUUCAUUAACUGAACACAAGUUGUGAUCUGCUUCAAAUGCAACAUCGUUUUGGGUGUAAAAGCCCGGAACCUUUGGUUUUGGCAACAAUUUAUCACCAUUCAACAUUAAAACCACUAAUGACAUGUUGUUGCACGCACAAUAGGCCUUUCAUGAGGCGUGCAUUUUUCUUCUAACACAUCAUCUAGUAUUUCCAACGUCCUCUCUUCAGUCCAUAAUCUCCAUGCCUAAGAUGGUAACAAGUAAAUUAGUUAGGUUGGAAAUAAUUCAAUUUAAACUAAAGGUCAAAAGAAUUAAUAAGUUGCAUUGGAAAUCAUAGAAGUGCAUGGUUACAUUUUCCUAUAAAAUCCUUCUUUCUACUUUUGAUUCUUUAACCACAUUCUAAUCAACAGGCCUACAUUCCCAAGAAGAUUAUUGUAAUUUUCGGGGUCGGCAAAUUCCCUGUUUUUGUUCCCACUUACAAUCUCUAGCAGAAUCACUCCAUAGCUAAAAACAUCUGACUUCAAUGAGAAAUGACCACGCGCAGCAUACUCAGGAGGCAUGUAACCACUGGCAAUAAAAUUUUCAUAGUAAAAUAAUCAAAAGUUGAUACAGCAAUAUCAAAAAGUCAUAAUUAGAUAGAAACUAACUAUGUUCCAGCCACUUGAUCUCCGAAAAAUGAUCGAGCCAGGCCAAAGUCUGAUAUAUUGGGAUCCAAAUUGGCAUCUAGUAAAAUAUUGCUAGUUUUUAGAUCUCUGUGAAUAAUCCUUAACCUAGAGUCUUGAUGAAGAUAAAGAAGUCCUCAAGUAAUGCCACUGAUAAUGUGGAAACGUUUUCGCCAAUCUAGCAACUUCCUUUUGGUUUCAUCUAGUCAAAUACACACACGUAUUAGGAAUAGCAGAUGCAGUCUCCAUAAUUUUAUAAACAACAAAUAAGCAAUAAGAAGAUUUCCCUAGAUGUUUAGAAUAAAAUUGUAAGGGCUCUAACCAAAAACAAAGUAGUCCAAGCUUUGGUUGGGCAUGUAUUCAUAGAUCAGCAUUUUUUCUUCUCCUUCUAUGCAACAACCAAGAAGCUUUACAAGAUUACGGUGCUGAGGUUUCGCAAUCAAUGCCACUUCUUUUUUGAACUCAUCCAACCCUUGUAUUGACUUCUUUGAAAGCCUUUUCACUGCUAACACUUUCCCAUCCAUAAGUGUGCCCUGUAAAAUAAUCUUCUGCUAGUGUUAGAAAGGUUUUAAGGAAAAUAGAAGUUCCUGAUACCAUUUUUUUCAUCACCUUGUAUACUGGUCCAAAUCCACCUUCUCUGAGCUUAUUUUUGGUUGAGAAGUUUUCAGUGGCAUUAGCUAAGGCUGACAAAGCGAAAGUUGGCAAAUCAAUGUCUUCUAUUAUCUGUUUACUUUUGUAAUGCUUGUUGUAAAUUUUUCUUGCAGCCCCUGAUUGGUUGGAAAAUAACAGUACAUAAACCCUUGGCAUGACGUAUAAUAUGUAAAUUUUUUGGUGCCUAUUGCCUGUAUUAAAUGCUUAAUUUUAUCAAUAUACUUACUUUGAUUUUUAAUUAUCAAUAUGCACACGCACGUGAUGAUUAAUCCAAAAGUAGUCACACCAACAGUGAUUCCUACUAUCUUUUUCUUGAUGUUUUCAUGGCCAGUUGCAACAUGAUCUAAAAGAUGCAGAGCAUGAUAAGUCACCACUGUUACUAAAACAAUUCUAUUUCAAUCAAGUGAGUUUAAUUUCAGUAGAAUGAGCCAGUUAGAAAGGCAAUGUAUUUAAUUUGAAAAAUAAAUCCCAUAUAACCAAUAACAUCCAUCACUAAUGACUUUUAUUUAAUGUAUCCACUUAAGCAUGGAAUUUCAAGCUGCAAUACCAAAAUGUUGUCAUGACCUUACUCUGCUCCCCUCCCUUCUCUUAGAAUAAUGAAAUAAUCAACAAGAAAUAUAAUGUGGAAAAGGAAUGAUGAAACAAAAGCCUAAAAUUAAAAAUAAAAAAAAACAAAUAAAUAAGAUUGAAUACAUAGAUCUGAAGCAGGGACUUUGAUAUAAAGGUCUUGUCCCCAUUGAGAGAAUUUCCUCAAGUCAGCCAGGUUAUUAAACCAAAGUAGACAGCCACUUCCUCCACCACGAACAUCUAAACUUGCAUAUGCUAAACAAGAACAGUUUUCUAGACACAACUUGUGACAAUCCUCGAGUUUCAUGGUCUUAUUAAACCAUGAUGAAGAUGUGUCUGGCAAUUUCAUCUGUGUGUACUUUAAGAAGCCAUAUGUAUAGCCGUUUUUGCAAUUAGACUUGAUCCUUGGAACACAACCGUUAGACCAAAUUGAUAAAUUCCAGUAUUGAGGGAACUUGGGAACACAUCCUUUCACACAUUCACAAGUGGAAUAGUUUCCUUCAUAACUGCAUAUAGAAUUUGUACCACAAAAGGCGUAAUUUUCGCAUUGAUCUUGCUCCCCAAUGGAGACAACUUUCCGGGUGCUUAUUUCAGUUGUCCAAAACAAACCCUGCCCAGUACCUGAAGGAGCCAGUGUAUAUAAGCUGAAGACUGAUCUAUCAAGAAGCUCGUACUCAUAAUACACCUCUUUUUCAUUGAUCACAAAUUCCUGCAACGAUAGAUGAUUUGGACCUGGAUAUCCAACUAUAGACAAGCCAUUCCAUGGCACUAUCCUUGUUUUUAUAUCAGGUACCCUGAAUAUAACCAUUUGAGGAUAUCCUCCUAGGUCAAUUUUUACAGUAUAGUCUCCCUCAGCAGGAUUCUCGACACUUUUCCAAGAUAAUCCAUAUCUUUCUAGACCAGUCUCUAAAUUCCAUCCAAGUUUCAUCCCUGGGACGAUUGUAUCGGAUAAUCAAAACUCUGCCACAAGACGCUGUCCUCGUUAGUUUCCUGUCCAUUUCUCACUACAAAAUUUCCCAAACCCAAGAGCCGUGCUUAAUAUGUUGGAUGACCAAAUGGCGCUGUUUGUAGCAUUGAGAAGCACAAGAAACCCUUUCUGGUUGAGUUUUAGGACUCCUGAUGUAUUCUGGAGAGGUGUAUUUCGGUUAGCCACCCACACCACUGUUAAAGGGGAUAUAUUUCUGUACCAUAUACCCAAGUAUCGUCUUUUUGAAUCGCCAGGACUUAAGAAACCCACUUCGGUAAUUCCACUUGCUGAAACCAAAGUCUCACCAUCUCGGAUUAAUUGAUCCACUGCUAAACUGUCUACUGAAGUGGAAGUGCUAAUCAUUCAGGAGAAUAAUAAGAACCAUAUAAAUAACAUUGUGAUGAUAACUGAUAAGGAACCAAUGGCUUCUAAAUUACAUGAGUAAGCAUGAUGCUCACUUAAUGUUUCUGCUAAAGUAAGCGCUUUUAACCUGCAAAGUUUUGAGAAUUGAUGUGGAAUUGGGGUGUAAGGGAAGCAGAAAAGCAUGCUACAAUGGUAUAUGGUUUGUAGAGUAAUACCAACUUACCAAGCAUUGUUGUCACAAUCAUAAUAGAUCUCCUUUUACAAGACCAAGACUUUCCAUUCAAGGUUUCAAAUUAAAGUUGUUAUCACGUUACGUUUUUUGCAAUUAGGGACAUUGCAGAUCCUUCUAUGCCGAUUGUGAUUGUUGCGGCGUGAAUGUCUUGCAACUCUGCACAAAACUAUACUAAAUGUGAUACAGAGAUAGGGGUGCAGAAAGCAACUAUGACUGGAUCUAGCAACAAGGAGGUGCGGGAAGGAAAGUCAAAAAGAGUCAUCACCAAGCCUGCAUACCUGAGGGAUUAUGCGUGACCAAGGCUGAGCUGGCAUGAAAGGAUUUGCUGAUGAUUGUUGUCGAGCAUCGGGGGACAGCAAUACCAAAUCUGUUAUGCUUGUAAUCUUUUCCUAUAACAGAAUCACAAUUCUGUUAGGAAUUUAGACUAUAAAUAUAAGCAAUGUAAUAAUAUGCAGAUCAAUGAAAUACAAUACUUAUCUUCCAAUCCUCUUCUUCUAAGGAGGCUCUGGUCCUCGAAACCAGAACAAGCUUUUGCUUAUCAAAAUGUUUUGAAAAUUGGCAAAUCAACGUCUUCCUUUCUCAGUUUAAUUUUGUAAUGCUUGCUGCCUUGCUGUAAAGUUUUUUUGUUGUCCCUGAUUGGUUGGAAGAUAACAGUAUUUAAACUCUGAUGUACCUGUCUCCUCCAGGUUCAAUCUAAUCAUGAUAUUGGUACAAAGUAACUCUGUUGGAAACCGAGAACACACACAAGAUGAUUAUUCUCCUCCUAACACGAUUUAUUUCAUAUCUAAGGGCUAACCAGGAAUCGAUCCCUCGACUACUUGGUAAAGGAAUACAAUUCACUACCACUUGUGUCAACCCACUGUAAGUAUGAUAAAAUAGCCAAAGACAAGUAAAACUAGCCAAAGCAUAUGAUAAAAUAGUUUCCCCAAGCUCGGAAGAAUUUUAUAAUUGAUGAAAUUAAGAGUAGAACCUUGAUCUGCUUGUUUGUGUUAAACUUACUCCAGGGUCAAUAUAUGUAGUUUUUACAUUGCAGUCAUGCACAUUUCAUUAACUUUUGUACACGGAGAUGAAUGAUCAAAUAUUAAUGGUAUAGCCUGAUAUUGAGCUGUCUAAGCCAUAUCGAAUGAAGAAUCAUAUGAAACACAUUAAACGACUUGGCUGGUCGAUUCAACACAAAAUGUCUUUGAACUUUCAUCACUCUCUUCUGUAAUUUCAAGUACUUAGCAUGUGGAACAUUUUUCAGCAUUGUCUUGAUUUCAGCUAUCCUUCUCGAGGGAAUAUGCAAUGAGAAUUUACUCCUGUCAAGAACAUCACUAAAGGGAAGUUGAUAGUAAUCUGAAACAAUUACAGGGACACAUCCUAUAUUGAUGGACUCCACAAUCCGAGGACUUGCCACUUCAUAGCCACUUGGGCACAAACAAAACUUGCUUUGUCCCAUGAGACCGUGGUAGUCAACGCCUUUGGGAAGAUAUUCAUGCACUUGAACUUCUUCAUCUUUGUCUUUCCAAUGUUGUAGUAGUAUCUCCCUAAUCCUACCAUGAACCCCUCCAGCAAAAAAAGCAAGUAUAGAACGAUUAUUAGGGUCAAGGCCAAGAAUUGGUGAACUCAACUUAAAACCUUGUAAGUUCACUUCAGGCAUUGGCACAUCUUUUUCAGGCUUAAAUCCUUCUGACUUGUUGGCAUUAUAUAACACUCUUAUGGAUAAACAGGUCAAUACAAUAACAAACUCCUUAAAUGUAAGGGUAAAAAUCACGGGUCAUUCAGACCAAAGAAAUAACUCUACUAUAAUCAAUAAAGGUACAAGAAAGUCUUCAAUAAGUACACUGGAACGUGCUACAAACCAUCAAAUCAAAACAAAGCACAAAUACUUACAAGAAAUAAAAGAAGAUGAAAUCCAAGGGAGAAUAGGAAACACUUAUUAUGUUCUUGAAAAGCUCUUUGCCUGAUUCCGCUCGUGAGAUAUCUGGUGGUGCCUGCAACAAAUGAAACAUAUAUUACCCCAUAUUUUGCAUCUAACAUCACAAAAUUAAAUAGACUAAAUUUAUAAUUUGGUAUUCUAAAUCGAUAAUUGAUGCUUAUUUAUGUUCACUUUGAAUAAACUUCUUCAUAAACAUACGAAAGAAAACUGUAAGCUUUUUUUAAAAAAAAAAAAUUCUAUAAGCUAAAAUCAACUUACUCACAUUAGUUUUUAGAGAAGUAAAAAGAAAGAGUUUCUAUAAAAUUAAAUGCAUAAAUUGUUUUUAACUUGUAGGAAAAGUUGAAGUUGUUUUGCUUAUUUAUUUUCUUCUUUUAUGAGUACUUAGGAAAAAAAUAAUCGACAAAGAUUAAUCUUAAUGACAUUUUUUUUUUGAAGUAUAUGAUGUGAAUUGUUACCCAGUCAUGACAAGAGGCUAGAAAAUGAUCUGCUCCUCUGGUCCUGUUCCAGUAUGGGUACCUGUGGGCGAUGAUGUUGGUAUAAUCAAUGGUGAUCCACAUCAAUUGAUCACGAGAGUAGGUGGUGAGAGGGUUGUAUACAUAUCGCACAAUUUGGGCCACACUUAUGGGUAGCAUGAAGACAUGGGCCUCAUCUGGAUUUCAGACCCAGAAUGGGCCUUUUCUAUUGUCGAUUUCGGCUAUUAAUGUUCCUCGAUGCCAUAAAUUGAGGCAUUUAAUAUAUUUAUUCACCUUUUUCUCUAAGUACACUCCCUUUACUAGUAUAAAUACUCACUAUACUAAAAUAUCCUUAUACCAUCAUUCAGGAAAGUACAUUUUAAAAUUGAUGUUUAAUUUUUUCUAUUCCAAAAAGUACUUUCUGAAACACAAAAAUUUAAACUUCAUUCUUGAAUGUACUUUCUAGAACACAUAAUUAUAGGUUUUAGAAAAUACUUUCCAAAAUACAAUUAUAGGUUCAACAAAUUUUCAAAAGUAUUUUCCAAAAUUUAGUGGGAAAAAAAUGUUGCAUUUGUUCUAAAAUCCAAAAAGAUGAUCAUUUUAGUAAAGUGACGGACAAAGAAAGCAUUCUAAUGUGUCUAUAUCCCACUACUUGAACCUCUAACCAAAUUAUACAACAUGUACAAACCAUGUAUGGAGAUUCAAAACUUGUAAGCAUUUUUCCUAGCUUGUAGCAAGAUAAUAAAUCCAUUAGAUAACUAAACCAAGAUUGUGAGGUAGAAAGAAAUGUUUUAUUGCCAUGAAAGUAAAAAAUGGAGUGAAACAAAGGAAGGAUUCUAAUGAAAGAAAGACGGAAUGUUUUGUUGUCCCCAAAAUAGAGACAAUUUAAGCUUUGUUGGUAGCCCACAUGUUUUUUCCCAAGUGUUGGCUUAAGUCCUUUCCUAAUGGAGAUAGCUUAAAUUUGAUUAGAAAAAUCCCAAAUGUUUUCUUUCCCUUUCAAAUAGGUGAUGAUGUUUUUCAACUCCUGCCAUAUUGAUUCAUUCAACAAAUUUCCUACAAAACACAAGCAACUAUCCAAGUUCAAGUGUAAAAGUAAAAAAAAAAAAAAAAACCUAAAUAAACUAAGCUUUUAUUCAAAAAUUAACUAUAAUGAACAUAAACAAAACUCAAAAGGAUAAGAUAUAUCACAUAAUUACACCAAAAAUAACUACAAAAUGUAGAAAUACAUGAAAAUUAUCAUGAUGAUAAAUAAUAUAACUCGAUAAUGCUCAAUGCAAAAAAAAAAAAAAAAAACUACCAGUGGUGCCUAAGAAAUUAGGUAAGAAUUAUAAUAAUAUCAUACUAAUUUAAACUUUUUCUUACCCAUAAUGAUAUUGUGCUAGAUAACAUUCAUUCUUAAUUAUGAGACAUUCAUUCUUAAUUAUGAACAUAAACAAAACUCAAAAGGAUAAUAGAUAUCACAUAAUUACACCAAAAAUAACUACAAAAUGUAGGAAUACAUGACAAUUAUCAUGAUGAUAAAUAAUAUAACUCGAUAAUGCUCAAUGCAAAAAAAAAAAGAAAAAACUAUCAAUGGUGCCUAAGAAAUUAGGUAAGAAUUAUAAUAAUAUCAUACUAAUUUAAACUUUUUCUUACCCAUAAUGAUAUUGUGCUAGAUAACAUUCAUUCUUAAUUAUGAGACAUUCAUUUUUAUAACUUUUUUUAUAACAAAAAUUAACUCAAAUCGCAUACUAGUACAUUUAGGAUUGGGUUGAAAAUUUCAAUCUAAUCCUAAUACCAGUCCAACCCAACUUAACACAUUUUUUGGUGAUUUAAGAAGUGGAUAUGAAUCCUGCACCUUCCAAAUUUUUAAAAAUCCCAAAUUACUUUUCUUCAUAUUAUAUCAUUUUAGAAUAGACGUUCCAUAACAUUAAAAAAUAACUUUUAAAAUAAGUGUUCCAUAAUAAUAAAAAAUAAAUUUGCCUUUCGGAAUAAGUGUUAUAUAACAAUAAAAAAUAAUUUCGUCUUUCGAAAUAAGUAUUCCAUAACAAUAAAAAAUAAUUUCCCAAAUAAAUAUUUCAUAACAGUAAAAAAUAUCUAUUUCUCAAAAUAGGUGUUUCAUAAUAAUAAAAAAGUAACUUCCGGAAUAAGUAUUUCAUAAAAAUAAAAAAUAAAUAAAACUUUUAAAAUAAAUAUUGUAUAACAGUAAAGUAAAACAGUAAUUUGAUAUUUUCAAUUUAAUAGAAAAUAAAAAUACACAUAUUUAAUAUCCCUACUUUCAAAGAUGAGUAGGAUAUAAAAAGUACAAAUCAAAUAAUAUGUUAUUAACUUUAGUGAGAAGAGAGAAACUAUAAGAAGUAAAUUCAUAAAAUAAAUAGAAGAAUGAUAAGUAUUUUUUUUCAAAAAAAUCAUAAUUAGUAUGUUUGUAAAAAUUGGUUGAGAAAAUAUAAUUAAAAAAUUUAGCACGUGCAAAGUUUGCGCAUGAUAUAAAGAUCCUUAUAUAAAUUAGAACGAUAUUAGAUAUUUAUAAAUACAUAAUUAUUUGAAUAUAUAGUAAUAUCCAUGAUUGUUUACACACGCACAGGCACAUUCAAUAUAUAUAUAUAUAUAUAUAUAUAUAUAUAUAUAUAUAUAUAUAUAUAUAUAUAUAUAUAUAUGUAUUGUAAAAAUUAAAACUAAUGAAUAGAUAUGUUAGAAAAUCAUAAUAAUAUAAAAAAUUAUAAACUUAAUAUCUGCACAUGAUGAAAAAUAUAUACUAGUUUAUAAUUAACAUUUGGUUUUUACUAUAAAAUACAACUAGCAAGGGGAAAAAGAAUAAGAACUUUCUAUCUAGAAUCAACAAGUUUAAGGUUUAGCCUUCUGAGCCAGAUCGAGUGAAGUAUCAUAUGCAUUAGAUCAAAUGGCUUUGCUGGUCGAUUAAUUGUAAAAUGCCUUUGAACUCUCAAGACAUUCAUUUGCAGUUUCAAAUACUUUUUCGGUGAAACACUUUGUAAUAUUGUCUUGAUUUCUGGAAUUUUUUCCACUGGAAUCUCUACUGAAAAUUGGCUCCAAUUCAAGACAUCAGUAAAGGGUGGAGAGUAACUACUACUAAUUAACACAGGCACACACCCUGCAUAAAUUGCUUCCACCACUCUUGGACUUGCAACUUCAUAACCACUUGGGCACAAGCAAAACUUGCUUUGUCCCAUUAGUUUGGUAUAGACUUUGCCUUUUGGAAGAGAUUCAUAUAUUUGGACAUCAUUAUCUUUGUCCUUCCAAUGAUUCAACAAGAUUGUUCGAAUUGCACCAUGUUCUCUACCAGCAAAGAAAGCUAAAAUGGUACGGUCAUUUGGGUGUUGUCCUCGAUUGGGUGAGCCUAGCGUUCCCCUAGGUAAUAAAUUCACUUCAGGUAUAGAAACAUCUUUGUUAGGUCUGAAUCCUUCCGAGGUGUUAGCAUUGCAUAGUACCCUGAUAAAGUUCUUGAAGAGUUUAGGAUUGGCAUACGAAAUUGUGGGACCCUGAAUCAUCAUAUAAAGCUUAUGUUACUAAUGAAUAUCAUUCUUAAAACAAAAUUGCUAAUCACAACAAUAAUGAAAAUUUCCUUAGCUGGCACCUAAGUGGAAGAAACAUGAAAUAAUAAAAAAAAGAAAGUAAAAUAAGUAGCUUACUAAGGGCUGGAAAACACUAGAAAAAAAAGGGUUAGACUUGUUUCUAUUGUUAUAGUCUUUAUUUAGCUGAAAUUGAAAGGUUGAUGACAUAAAUAUUGUGAGUAUCUAUGGUAGCAGAUAAGAUAAUUUACUAAGGUUUAGACUUGUUUCUGUUGUUAUAGACUAGUAAUUUAUUAACUUUUUUUGUCCAGUACGAACUUAAUAAAUAAUAUUUUUUAUUAGUAUAUAACGUGUUUUACACUAGAUAUAUAGAGAUGAAAGUGAAGUGUUUUGGGUGAAUGUGCGGGAGUCUAAUUAGGUUACAGACCUUAUGACUAAGCAUGUGAUGCAAAUGUAUAAUUUUUAUUUUAUUUGUAAUGCUUUAAAGGCGAAUCUUGUUGGAGUAUGAUUUCCUGGAGGUUUUAAGCUGGUUAAUAUAUUUCAUUGACAAACACACACACUAGAUAUAUAUAAUUUUUUUGUUGCAGAAUCAUCAAGCAAAGCAUUUGUUUGCUUUUAUAAUUCAUAAAUUUACUACUAACCACUGUAAUCAAGUAAUUAGUAAUCAAAGUACGAAAUAUAUGUUUGCCCCUAGUCUCAAAUUAGUAUAAGGAAAGAGGAAGUAAUUAAGAAAAGCAGAACUAUACAUAGAUAAGAUAUAAUAUCUUACCCAAUCAUGACAUGAUAGUAAAAAAUGGUCUGCCCCUUCAGUUCUAUUCCAAUAAGGAUACUUAUGUGCAAUAACCCUGAUAUAAUCUUCCACCAAGAGCUGAAUAGAUUGGGAGCCCGGUUGCCUUAGAUUACGGUUGUAAACAUACUGAACAAUAUUAACUAUACUGAAGGGAAUGAGAAAAACGUGUGCCUGGUUAGGAUUUCUAGCCCUGAAGUGACUCCACUUAUGAUAGUUAUCCAUUUCAUCAAUAAAUUGGCCUUCAAUUGAGUAUAUAUUGUUUACUGGUCCAUAGUGCACUAAUGGUUGUUCUCCCUCCUCAUACACCCACACCUUGAAUCUCUUUAACAUCUCUUUCUGGCUCCUGUUUAAUUAAGGUGUUUUGAAAAAAAGAAAAAAAUAUAUAUUGUUAGGAAACCCACUACGUACGAUUUCUUCUUGUCACAAACUCCAAUACAUGCAUUUUGAGUCAAAGCAAGAGUAGAUGCACACGGUGACAUUAUAAUGAAUAUAAAUGAAACAUUAAAAUUGUUAAAUUAUAAAAUUUUGACCAACAAUUUGACAGCGUAAAAAAAUUAAAAGAAUACUUUCUCCAUUCCGUUUUAUUUGAUGUUCUAGAAAAAAAAAUUAUCUCUUUUUAGUAUAUCAAUAAAGUAUUCAAUAUAUUUUUAUUCUAUUCUUAGCUUUUGUUUGGAAGGAAAAAUUAAGGAGAGGAAAGAAAUAUGUGCAAAGUAAAUGUAUCUAACAAAAUUUAAUUCAAUCACAUUUGAUUUAUUUCAUCGUAAUACCUUAUAUAAGAAGCGAAGUUUAGAAUCAAUCAUAUAAACAACUUGUUAGUUCUAUUUCUUACUUAUUUACAUGCAUAUAUUUAUAUUUUUCCUAGGAACACUUCUAUUUCUAUGAUAAAAAAAUUCAAUUUCUACACAUUUGUCACCUUUUUCUUUCUUUCUUUUAUACCAAAAAGGAACUUUAAUCAGGAGUAAAAGAAAAAAAAACAAAAAAGAAAAAGAAAAAGAGAAUCUAAUCUGUUUUGGGUAAAAAGAGGCAGAGAGAGAAGAAGAAUAUGAUCUAAUUAACAUCAAAUAUAUUAGAAAAUUAUAAUUAUUACAUUUCUCAAUUAAGAAAUUCCUCUGCCAAAACUUAACAGUGAAACAAAAUAGGACAAAACCAGUGUAUAAAAUGAAGAUUGAUAAAAUAAACUAGAAUUUGAGUACAAAAUUUGCAUGGAACUCCAAAACUUGAACACAAAUAGUCUAGAAAACGAUGGGUUUCAGAAAUGUUCACAAACUUAACUGAUGAAACGCGCGUGCAUUCCAGUAAAUGGAUCUUUUGGGGACAAUUUUCUCCCUCGUUGGUGAAGUAUAGUUGAUAAAUCGGGCAGAUUCCCGAAUUGAUGCCCGUGCUCGAGCUAAACCUUCUUCUAUUUUAUCCAAACUAGGAUAUUUCUGCCAUAAGCAAAACUGAAAAUUAAAGGGUAGACAAAACAGAGCACAUAAAAGAAUAUCCUAUAUAGUAUACACUUGAAAUUAAAGUAAAGAAACAUUCUCCGAACACUUUAAGGUUGCUUGUACCUUAAUAACGCCACUUAAAACAGUACUAGUGUUAUUGUAGCUUUCAUUUGCAGGAGCAAAGAUGGAAAGAAGCUCAAGUGGUGGUGGUGGUGGUGGUUGUGGUAAGGGAGAGGGAGAAAAAGUGGUUAUAUUUGUGUGGUUGAGUUUGAUAGUGGAAAGGAACGAAGGAGGAGGCAAGUGGGUAACAUAAUUUUGUUCCUUCCGGGGAAAGAAGAUGAAGAAAGCAAGAAAGAAAAACAGGGGGAGUAAAAGCCCAGAAACGGGGCAUCUGAACCAUUCCAUUGCCUUUAACUUCGACAACCUUUGCCUUAUAGUUUCAAUGGUGUAGAUAAAUACAUGGAAGUGAUAAUUGAGAUUGAGACGCACCGUAAGGAACUUGUCCAGAGACAUGUGCUUUUCGUCCUUAUGUAAUAAAUUGAACGGUCAGAAAUCGGUUUUUAAGUUUUACAGUCGUUUUGGGCGCGUGAAAGUUGAAACGGUGAAACCGUGAAAGCAAAAAAAAAAAAAAAAUGUCUCUCCUUGCUGACAUUAAUGAAGUUGGAGAGAUGCUCAAGUAAGAGGAGCAGUGGUGGUGGUGAAGGAGAGGGAGAGGUUACAUUUGUGUGGUUGUGUAAGUCUUUGAUGGUGAAAAUUAUUGAAAAAUACUCAAAUGUCACAUCUGCUGCUGUUUCAAUCUUUGAACUGUGAAGUAUCUAUUAAAUAAUUUGUUAAUUGAUUUUAAAAUAAAAUCUAACAUAAAUGAUCAAAUUAGGAGGCAAGUGGGUAACGUAAUUCCGUUCCUUCCAUGGAAAGAAGAUGAAAGAACGUAACAAAGAAUAAAACGAGGGACAGCCUUUGCCUUGUACUUUCAAAAAAUAAUUGAUACACAGUUUAAGAAACUUAUCCAAAGUCAUUAUUCUAAUUCUUUCUCGUCUUUAUGUAAAAAAUUAAACGGUCGUAAAUGCCUUUAAGUUUUAGAUUUCAGCACGUGAGAAAUUUUAUUGCAUAAUGUCGGUGAGUUUCUAUAAGCAUAAUUAUAUUCAUCAUACACACAUUUAAUAUAUUCUUUUUUUCCACAAUUACUAGAACGAGGGAAUUGUUACUGGAGUGACUACAAAAGUUAAGGAUAAAUAACUAUAUAUGGCGUGUCCUUGUAAAAAGAUGUUUUUACGCGCAUGCCCCCUUUUUUAUGCUCUUAAUCAAACGAUUUUUUUAAUGUUUUUAUGAUUUUUAUUUUAAACCAAACACUGUUUUAGCUCUUAUUAAGAUGAGUAAAAGUAAGUAAAAACAAAAAAAUAAAAUAUAUACAAAUUUAUUUUUAAUUAAAAAUAAUUUCAACUAAAAAUUUGAAACUUUAUAUUAUUUCUUUUUUUAAUAUUUUAUUAAAAAAAUAUUUUUAAAAAAUAUAACAAAAAAAUAACUACAAUAAAUAUUUCUCAUAUUUUAAGAGAAUAAUAUCCGUGAAAUUCAUCAACUAAAAUAUUCUUUGAUAUAUUUUAAAAAAAUCAAAAAUAUAAAUUUGAUAGUACGUUUAUCUUUGUUUUAUCAGUUUUUAUUUUCUUUUUCUCUAUAAACAUUCAAGACCCAACCAAGCCCAUGAAAAAUGAGUACAUAUUCUCUGCAUUUUCAUGGUGAAAUGGAAAUCUCUAUUUCCUUUAAUAAAGAUGUGACACAUGGAUUAAAUAAAAUCAACGACUAAGAUUUAAAAAAAUUAAAAAGUUCAAGAAAAAUAAAAAGUAAAUAGAGAACCCUUCAAUAUUUUUCUUCCACCAUUCCUAAAAGCUUGUAAGUCCUAAUAAAAUUAUUAAUUUUAAUUAUCGAACAUGAUAAAUAUUUAUAUAAUUGGAUAGAUUAUUUCUUUAUUAAUUAAUUUUUAAAAGAAUCUUUCGAAUGUUUAAUUAUAUUUUAACACUAAUGUCGGAUAUGUGGGUUUUGGUUGUGACUUCGUAGAGGGACAAAAAUUACAACUCACGUCUGGUGAAAGAAAUUAAGGUACUAAUCUUGUCAUUUAAGAAAGAGAGAAUGGUUGAACCAUCUUUGUGGAGAAACUUGCAGGUGUCUUGAGUGAAUUGAAAUUUGACUUGUAAUUUGAAAACUUAAGAAAGAGAGAAUGGUUGAACCAUCUUCGUGAUUUUAGUUUGUUCUUGCCAGAAAUCUUACAGAGAUUUUUUGUAAUUUAUCCCAACUACAUCCCGUUUGGUUAGUUAAAGCUAUACGUCAUUUCAAUGUUUGUCAAAAACACGUUGGUUCCAAUUUUGCAAAACAAAAAAGUCCAAUCUUUUGUUUUAUUUAAAUUUUGACCGCUAAUUUUGCUUGAUGCACGUGUAGCAUCUAAAUUAAAGAAAAUGAAGAUCUCCGUCUAUCUAUGAAAAAGCAGAGGAUCCCCACUCAUGAAAAACGCGAGGACAAAACAAUGAAACAUGCACGCUGAUUCAUAUGCCUUGGGAGUUGGGACCAACAGUUUCUUAGAGCAUAGACAACUAGAAGUAGGGGACAGUGGGACUAAAUAAAUUAUGUUACUUUUUUUUUUUUACAGAAAUGUUAAGUUCUUAUUUAAUGAUAGUAUAAAAGUCUUUAUAUCAUCCGUGUAUAGAUCAUUUAGUCAUAAAAAAAUAUUAAACGCCAUUUUAUUAAGAAAGAUAGAUAAGAGAAAUAAAAGUAAAAAUAUGUAAUAAAUGAUAUGAUUGAAAAAAGAGAGUAAAAUAAGGUAGAAAAAAAUAAAAAAAGAAAGUACACAUAUAUUAAUAUAAAAUUAAAAACAUAUAUUAUUUGCAAACGUAAAAAUUAUAAAACUUAUCACACUUAUAUCUAAUUCAAACUUAGAUGUAUAAAUUUUAAUCCAAACAUAUAUUAUUUUUUAAAUGUAAAAACACUUUUAAACUCUAACCUUUAAUCCAAACAUAUAUUAAUUUUUAAAACAUUUUUCUUAUCAAAUCUCUCUCUCUCUCUCUGACUAUUCUGAAAUUGCUUGUACAUUUUAUACGGCUAACAUUAUUCUUUUAACAAAUGGUUCAGAGAGGUCACUGUAAUGAACAGGCAACCUCGGACUGGUGUUGCACAACUGCCAGGGAGCAUGGGAUGUGAAAGACGAGUUAGCAUCUUUUCCAUUUCCUUUUCUUCUAUUUCUUUCAUUUCUUCAAGCUGUGUUUGGUUAAACAGAACAAAAGAGAACUAAAUAAAAAUUAUGUGAGUUCAUAUGAAUUUUACAUCUUCUAUACUCUAUUUUUUUUUUCUUUCUAUUUUUAUCUUAUAAAUUACACACAUUCUUUGUUGCCACUAGCACUUGUGGUUGAGGUGGGAACAGCCACGAGGUAGCGCCAAAGACUAAUUCCAACCAUGUCGUGUGUGGCCACACUUUCUUGCUCAUAAUCUUCAACGGCUUCUGUGUCUCGCGUGCCAACGGGACCGUCGGAAAAUUAAAGAAGGAAUAUACUGUAAUUAACUAGGCAUUACACCAGUAUGUUCAAAUGCAACAAAAUAUCGAAGAAAUGGUAUAACCUGUUACAACACGUGAAAUUGCCAGUGGAAACAAAAAGAUAGGUGAGGUAAAACAUUAGUUCCAAUUAAAAAAAAAAUUCAUGACAUUUAAGUUUUGGAAAAUUAUAUUUAAAUAAUUCUUAUAAAAAAUACAAAUAUAAACUAAAAUAAAAAAUAUGAUAGAAAAAUAUUUUUAAAAUUGUGUAUAAACAACAUCACGUCGUCACGCUAACGUAUUUUCCAUUAUCAAAUUAUGUCCAUUGUUAGGCCUAGACUACGGUGGUCAAUUAGGUAAAUUUGUGUUUGGUGCACAAAUUUUUCCUAACCGUGGGAUAUGUGAUUAUAAUAUUGAAUGACUAACUUUCCACCGUGUAUGAUUGCAUCCCAUUAUGAAGAAGGACAGUGAAUGUGACUUUGAUAUUGGCUGCUGUGACCACUUUGACAGUCACUUAAUGGGCCAGGCUGGAAAAGACAAUAAGGAAAAUGUCUAAAAAAGGUAUGAACUAGUAGUAUCUCCAAGGUAUUAAUUAAAAAUUAAAUUAAAUUACAUUUUUAUGACGUAUAUUAUACCCCAGGAGUAUAACAUUAUUAAUCUAUUUUAUUUGUUUUUUUUAGUAAAAAAUCAUUUCUUAAUUUUUUAAUCAAUGUUUUUCAAAUACUUGUACUUUUUAAUGAGAUUGAUGAAAAUAUUAACACGAAGGAGGGACGGCCAGUCCUUUUACGAAUUUUAUUAUCUGUCAGUAUCAGACAUUACCACUCACAAGCCGAUUUUGAUGGUGGAUGAAAACUUGGUAGUCAAUUUGCCAUUAUUCUCUAUAUAAAAAAAUUAUUGAGAUGGUACCCGGACAACCUUGCUUUAACAUAUUUAUAUUUAUAGUUAUAUAUCUAAUUUUAACUUUUUUUUUUCUUUCAUAGACAACUUCUUUCAUAAGAAACUAAAUAUAAAUAAUUUUCAAUGAAGAUUUGAAUCAUAAAUUCUUAAUGCAUCACAUGGAGGACUAACUUUUUUGUUAGAUUCAAUCUCGUCACUUACCUUACAUGCUUGACUUCAGUGUCUUUAUUUGUAGAAGUGAGAAUUUGUAUUAAACUAAAUCCUUAAAUUAAACUUAAAAAUUAAAAAUUCAAAAGCCUAUUUAUUAUUAUUAUAAUUUAGUUUGAUUCCUAGGUUCUAUUUUUUUUUUAAAUAACAAAUAAACUAAACUUUUCAAACAAAAAUUAUUUAAAAAGAAAAAUGAUUAUGCAUGAAAAUAUAAAAUUUUUAUCAAUUAUCUAAUCACAAUUGUCCACAAACAUACAAUAAUUUUAUUAAUAUUUGUAACUAUUUUAAAAGUCUUAUCAAGAUUAACUUAUGAGUGAAUGACAAUGUUAUUUACCAAUUAAACUAUUGUUUUGGAUAAGAUAAAACACCAAAAUGAUUAUAAUUGUUCUACCAAAAAAUAUAUAUAAUUAACAUUCAAUGUUGAGGAGCUUGCCGAACCAAUCAAUCUAAGGUCUAAUCUUGUAAGCCAAAUCUAGUGAAGUAUCAUAUUCAUCAGAUCAAAUGAUUUUGCAGGUUGAUUAAUCAUAAAGUUGUUGGGAUUCAAUCAAUCAAUCUAAUUUGAUUUUAACAGACAAUUAUCAAUUCUAAUCACAUGUUUUUUAUCUAUGUAGAAAAAAAUUAUUGCAUAAAAUGAAUAAAAUCUCAUUCUGUUCCCAUACUCAAACUUGGUUUUAUGAUCUUCAAAAUGUAGAAAGCCCCUUUUCUUCUCUGAAUUUUUUUCUUCUGAUGGGGAUAAAGAGAAAAUAAAAGUGACAUUGUACGUCUGUCGUUUCUCUUUACAAAUAAGACCAUAACCUCUUAUAUUGAUAACUGCCAUCAGUUACCCCAAAUUUAAUAAUAAUUAUAAUUUGACCCUUCAUCAAAUUAUAAUAUUACUAAUGGUGUUUACACAAUUAGUCUUUUGUGACAUAUAUGCCCUUAGUCAUAAUUUUAUAUUGAUUAGACCACUUUAAUAUUUUGGCUAAUAAAAUAAUAGCUUUAAUUCAUUCAAUUAUGUGAUAUAUAUAUAUAUAUAUAUAUAUAUAUAUAUAUAUAUGUAUGUAUGUAUGUAUGUAUGUAUGUAUGUAUGUAUGACCCAAAAUUGCUAACAAUCUCCCACUGGUCACAAAUAUAUAUAUCCUUACAAUCCUUAUGAAUGUGUUAGACUUUAUGAGUUCAAAAUUUGUCAUUACAUGUCUUGAGCAUAUUCCAAAAAUCUUGUCCAUUGGUUACAUCUGCACAUAGAACCAAAUCAAUUUUCAUUAUAUCAAUCACAACUAAACCCAUCAAUGACCACUAAUGCUAACAGAAUCAAAUGACAUAGACUCAUCAUGAAAUGUGUAGUAUGAAAAUUACGUGAAGGUGGCCUAUACACGUCUAUUUUCAACUGGUCCUACUUUACCUUAAUGAGAUCAUUUAAUAACCUUAAUGUACAAAGUGUAAUAAUUGAAUAAUAAAACAUAUAUAUAACCAAAUAUAUCCAAAAGUCAAUGUAUGCAUACAUAAAAUCUAACAUAUAACAUAAAAUAUAUGAAAGUGACUAACUCCCAUUAAACCAAAGAUUCCUUGAACUGUAAAACACCCAUAUGAGCAACAUGCUCAUGAAAGACCUUGGGUGGAAGUCCCUAAGUAAGAGGAUCUGCUAUCAUGGAGUUUGUCCCUAAGUAUUUUAUGGAAAUUUGUCCACUCUGUACCCUUUCCUUAACAACUAGGAACUUGAUGUCAAUAUGUUUCGACUUGAUCGAGCUCCUAUUGUUGUUAGAAUACAAUACAACUGAUUUAUUGUCACAAUAUAACUUAAUUAGUCUUUCAAUUCCUUCCAUAAUUUGUAGCCCUGUGACAAAAUUUCUCAGUCAUAUUCCAUGAUUUGAUGCCUCAUAGCAUGCCACAAAUUAUGUCAUCAUAGUGGAUGAAGUAGUAAGUUUGCUUGGCACUAUGCCAAUAAACCACACCACCAGCUAACAUGAAAAUGUAACCUGAAGUGGAUCUCAAAUUAUCUAGGCAUCCUACAAAAUCUGAAUCAGAAUACCCAGUGAUCUCCAACUGAUCUUACCUCUUGUAUGUGAGCAUAUAAUACUUUGUUCUCUUCAAAUACCUCAUAACUCUUUUGGCUGCUUUCCAAUGAUCCAUUCUUGGAUUGCUUAAAUAUCUGCCUAAUACCCCAACUAUGUAUGCUAUAUUCGGACGUGUACAUACUUAGGCAUACAUCAAACUCCCUACAGUUGAUGCAUAGGAAAUCUUCUGCAUUUCUUGAAAUUCCAAAUUUCCUUUUGGGCAUUGUUUGAGACUAAACUUGCCUCCCUUAGCAAUUGGAGUAUCCCCGGAUUUACAUUCCUGCAUGCCAAACCUUUUAAGUACCUUUUCGAUAUAGCUUCUUUGUGAUAAUCCUAGAAUACCCUGAGAUCGAUCUCGGUGUAUUUGAAUUCCUAAUACAAAGGAGGCAUCACCAAGAUCUUUCAUUUCGAAGUUUCUUGAUAGAAAUCUCUUGAUUUUGUGCAACAUGCCUUUAUCAUUAGUGGCAAGCAGUGUGUCAUAUAAGACCAGAAAAAUUUACUUGCUCCCACUGAAUUUGUGAUACACACAAUCAUCAACAAGAUUCAUCACGAAACCAUAUGAGAGAAUUACUUGAUGAAAUUUGUGGUACCAUUGACGAGAUGCCUGCGAUAAUCAGAGUGCUCUUCAUAUUGCAGCCAACCCUGUAUUUCACGAGCGGACAAAGCAUUUGGAGAUUGAUUGUCAUCUAGUUCGUGAAAAAACUCAAGCAGGUUUAAUGCGUCUUUUGCUUGUCCCUUCAUCCCAUCAGCUUGCAGAUAUAUUCUCCAAAGUUUUGCCACCAUGUUUACUCCACUCAAACUUAUCCAAACUUGAGUUGGUAGACAUCUAAACACCUCCAGUUUGUGAGGGGCUAACAGAAAACCAAAAACAGUCCAAUUCUAUUGAUGAUGAAGCACAUGAAUAUUUGGCCCAUAUGUAAAUAUCUUUUAGCAUUUUAUUUGUACAGAUCAUUCUAGAACUUCUGUGAGCUGUAAAUAGGAUAUUAUUUCCUUUUAGGAAAAUUAUAAUUUAGGAAUAUAGUACAUUUGGUGUUCUUAUCCUCAAAUGGAUAUUUCUGUAUAUAUUUUGACAUUCAUAUUAAAUAUAUACACAGAAAUAUUCUCCUCAAUUUCUGUCAUUGUCUCCUUUAUUCUUUCUUUUGCAUUUCUUUGAAGUUCAGACGAUUCUUGUUGAUAAAUUUUUAAUUUCUUUAAUUUGAUUAUAUAUAUAUAUAUAUAUAUAUAUAUAUAUAUAUAUAUAUAUAUAUAUAUUAAAAUUGUGUAUUUAUUGCUUAUUCCUUAACUUUUUUUUUCUUUUUUAAGAGCUUAUUCCUUGACUAUUAAUAUUUGUUAGAAAUCCUGAGGUAACUAUAUAAACUGGAGAUGUAGUGCUCACACUAGGUAUUAAUUGUUUGAUUUUGCUUUUUGCAUUUUUUCGAAUCGUGACAUUAAUUAUGCUCCACAUAUUUACUUACAUUCAUCAUAAAAGAAAGAGAUUCAUUUCCAUGUAUUGCUAGUGUAAUUUUUUUUAUAUGAUGAACUAAUUAAAAAUUAUCUCAGAUUUUCUUUUCAAAUAAUCUCAGAUAUUUGUUUUUAUAAUAUUUAUUUCAUCGUUACUUAACAUUAGAGAUAUUUUUGCCUUGAUAAAAAAAUGGUGAUAUUUUUAUUUUAUAUUUUUUCUAUAUAAAUGUGUAGAUAAAGCACUAGUAUGAUACAUAAAAAAUUACUAAUUAUUUUAUACAAACUUACAUCUACAAUAUUCUAAAUUGUAUCGAGAAUCAAUAAAUUCAUAAUUUUAAAACAAUCAUUUUUUAAAAUAUGGAAUGCAUUGAACCUUCAUUGUAUGUAUAUAAGACAACUGUGAUAUAAUAUAUUUCUGUUUUGGUUAGAUAAUUACUAAUUACAAAGAAAUCAAAGUAAGUAAAAAAAAUCAAGGUAAGUAACUCAGUCAGUUGGGGAAAUUAAUAUUUGAGAGGGUAAUAGAAAGAUAUGGGAAAUGGCUUGUGAUUACUCAAGAAGCAAUCAACUUUAUGUUUAGCCUUCUCAGCCAAAUUGAGUGAAGAAUCAUAUGCAUCAUAUCAAAUGGCUUUGUUGGCCGAUUAAUCAUAAAAUGCCUCCUGACUCUCAACACAUUCAUGUGCAGUCUCAAGUACUUAUUCCUUGAAAUACUUUGUAAUAUACUUUUGAUUUCUGGUAUUUUCUCCACCGGAAUCUCCACUGAAAAUUGGCUCCAAUUUAGCACAUCACUAAAAGGUAGAGAAUAAUUAUCACAAAUUAUUACGGGCACACACCCUGCGUGAAUUGCUUCCACCACUCUAGGACUUGCAACUUCAUGUCCACUGGGGCACAAGCAAAACUUGCUUUGUCCCAUCAAUUUUGUGUAGUCUUGACCCUUUGGAAGAUAUUCAUGAACUAGAACCUCAUUAUCUUUGUCCUUCCAAUGUUUUAAAAGUAUUUUUCUAAUUUCACCAUGGACCCCUCCUGCGAAAAAAGCCAAUGUAGUGCGGCUGUUUGGGUGCUGACCAAGGCUUGCUGGACCUAGCUUUCCAACAGGCAAGUACACUUCAGGGAUGGACACAUCUCUAUUUGGAUGGAAUCCUUCUGAAGUGUUAGCAUUGCAAAGUGCCCUAAUGAAAGUUUGGAAAAGUUCAGGAUUGCCAUAGGAAACUUUUGGACCCUGUUUUCAUCAAGUAAAGCACGUGUUACUUGUGUUUUUGAUUUACUAAAACAAAAUUGCUAAUCAUAACCAUACUGAAAAUUUUUCCUUUAGUAACUAACACCAAAGAAGAAUAAAUGUGGAAAUAAAAAUAGAAGUAGUUAGCAAAUAUUACAAAAAAAGUUGUCAUCAUCAAAAAGUCUUAAUCAUUAGACAUGUGUUGUCUUUAUUUAAAUUAUUUUUAUAUGAUAAAAUUUAAAGUAUUAAUGUAGACAUUUUACCUAAAUGUUAAUAAUAUGAUGUAUGAUACUACCAGACAAUAUAUGUUGAUUUAAAAGAUUGAUAUAUACCAUCUAUACAUUAUAUAAGUAUGAUGCAUCAUAUCCUUAGGAGUUAGGCCCCUUAAAUAAAUAAGGCUACAUUUAUUAUUAUUUAUUAUUAUUUUUCUCAAUAAAAUAAAUGCAAGUUAUUGAUUAGUUAAUAUAUAUUAUAAAAAAUGAAGAAUUUUUCUUUAAAAAUAUUCCUCAUAUUUUAUCAUCUCAUCUAUCUAUUAAUGACUAUUUUAUUUAUUCCUUUAGUUUAUUUUUAAUAUUACUAAUUUUAAUUGAAAUAUAUAUUUUUAUUAUUAAAAAAUUAAAUUGUAGACUCUAAAAACUUAUUAUUCUUUUUUUAUUGCAACAAUAAACGUACAUUUCCAAAUUCUAAUUAAGACAAUACAAAAAACAGCUUUUACCUAAUCUCUUCUUAUUUACCUUCCUACAUUUUUAUCUAUCACUUUCAAUAGUGAGUACAACAACAUUAUUGUGUUUGAUAAUAAGUGGAAAAUUAAACAAUUAAUAGUGGGCCUAUCAGUAGAAUUUAGCUACUGAAAAUUAAAUACUGCUAUACUAUAUACUAUAUAAUAAAUGGACUUACCCAAUCAUGACAAGAAAGCAAAAAAUGGUCUGCACCUAUGCUUCUAUUCCAGUAAGGAUAUUUAUCUUGAAUAACACCAAUAUAGUCUUCAACUAAGUGCUGCAACCGGACAGGUUCGUAGUCAGAUUGCUUUAGGAUAGGCUUGUAGACAUAGUGAACAACAUUGGCAAUGCUGAUGGGAAGGAAAAACACGUGUGCCUCCUCAGGAUGUCUUGCCCUGAAUUGGCUCCACUUACCAUUAUUGUCCAUUUCGUCCAUAAAUUGACCUUCAAUCGCAUAUAUGUUGUUUACUGGGCCAUCAUGCACUAAUGGUUGCUCCCCUUCUUGGUAAACCCACACCUUGAAUCUUUUCACCAUCUCUAUGUGGCUCCUGCUGCCCAACAUUUUACAGUAGAAUUUUGUCAACCCGGCCAUUUAGUACGUUUUAUUCUUGCUGUCACUAACUUCAAUAAAUAGUAGUGUUGAAUACAAAUGUAAAAUAAAGUCUUAUAUUUAAUAAAAAUGAAAAAAAAUUGAACAAGAAAAAACAUUUAAACCCGAGUAUUAAAAUUUUGAUUUAAAGUGUAAUUUCAAGUUCACAUAUCUUAUGUUAUUUGACCAGUGAUUAAUUGAUGAAAUUUUUUCCAGUGUCUACUCGCUCAGUUUUAAUUGUUAAAGAUUCAUUAAAAAGUAUGGAAAAGUGUACAGUUAAUUACAAAAUCACUUUUAAUUUCUUCCCUAGCAUCUUAAGGGCACUUAUUCUUUAUUAACAUGUUUUUUUUCUUACCAAACUUAGGUAUAGUUUAGUUAAGUGUUGUUUACAUUGUUCUUUAAUUAUAGUUGGAGUUUCAAUUCUAUAAUCUACUUAAUCCUUAAUUUAAUGUAGAUUUUUAUUAUGUAGAUUUUUGGAGCGCUCUAAUUUUAAUUGAAAAACAACACAACAACACUAAGAAACUGUAUUUAAGUUUUCUAAAAAUAGUAUAACAAAUGUUGUAAAUAAAUGAGAUAUAAAUAAUAUAUUACUUCCUCCAUUCCUAAUUACAAGAUUCUUUUCAAAAAUUUAUUUGAUCAUUUUUAUAAAAUUAUUUUUAAAUUUUUAGAUAUAUUAAUUAUUUUUUCCCUACAUAUCUUUACUUAAUUAUUUUCUCUCAAAAUAUUAAUAAUUAAUAAUUAAAUGAAUAAAAAGACAAAAAAUGAUCAUUUUAAUAUAAUAAUAUAAUUAAUUAAUUUAAUGUGAUUAAUUAAAUUAUUUUUUUUUAAAAAACAUGAAUUAAUUUAAAGAAAUUAUAAUUAAAAACGAAGGGAAUAAUUGAGUACGGAGUAACUGUUAAAUGAAGGACAACACAUGGUGACAUUAAUUGCUAUAGUUCUACGGUUAAGUACUCUAGUUACAGUAAUUGUUAAAAAGAUGAAUCAAUUGAAGGUGGCUCAGAAAUUUUGAAUUAAGUUUACUUAACUGGAGAAAAGCAUGGGGAUUCCGGUAAAUGGAUCCUUUGGGGACAAAAAUUUCUCUCCUUUGUGAAGUGUAGUUCCUUGAUAGGAUAGAUUCCUGAAUUGAGGCCCGUGCUUGUGCUAAACUUUCUUCUAUUUUCUCCAAACUAGUCAAGUCCUUCCAUACCAAAACCGAAGAAACACAAGUUAGAAAUUAAAACAUUAGGAAUAACAUACAAUGAUAAGAUAACAUGCUCUCAGACAAUUUAAGGUUGUGUACCUGAAUUUGAACGGUGCCACUGUACAUGUAAGUGUCGUUUGCAGGAGUAAAGUUGGAAAGAAGCUCAAGUGGUGGUGGUUGUGGUGAGGGAGAAGGAGAGGUUAUAUUUGUGUGGUUGUUUAGGUUUUUGAUAGUGGAAAGGACCAAAGGAGGAGCCAAAGCAAACUGGGUAAGAUGGUUUUGUUCCUUGAAGGGAGAGAAAAAGAUGAAGGAAAGGACAACGAAAAAUAGGGGGAAUAAUAGUGCAGAAAUGGAGCAUCUGGAGCAUUCCAUGGCCUCUAUCUAAACUUGACAGCGUGAAUUAACUUUACACUUCCACUUUCAAUGCUCUAGUUAUAUAGCUGAGACGUGCUGCAGUGCAUAGACACGUGAUACUUGAGAUGGAAGUAGAACGGUAAGGAAAACUUUCCCAAAACAGUCUCAAACUAAAAAAAUUAUUGAAUAAUGUAUGGAUAUUCAUAUGCUAUAAAUAUAAAUACUCUUUAAUAUAUUACUUUUUUUUUCUUCUUUUAAAGUGUCAAAAAGAGUAUGGAUUCAUUUAUCUUUAUUCAAAACUAUUUUUUUUUUGUUAAUAUUUUAGUUCAAUAGGAAAAAAAAUUUGAUCAAUCCGAAGAUUAAUUGAAAAGUAAAUAAAGUUAGACAAAAAAUUAUUUCAGUUAAAAAUUAAAUUUAAAUAUUAUUCAAAUGAUUCAAUCUUAAUUUUAAUAUAUUAAUCAAUGAUUCAAUCUUAAUUUUAAUAUAUUAAUAAUUUAUGUCUGAUCAUUUAAUUAUCUAAAUAAGCUUUCGGAGUGCAUUAUUUGAAUUUGGAAAGAAAGAAGAAUCAGUCUGAGAAAUUCUAUCAAUGUUAUAAAAACUAGUAAUAUAUAAGAAAGAAAGAGGGACAAAGAGAAAGUGAUUAAUACUAAUAGUAAAAAUAUUAUAAAAAUGGUUUGAUUUGCUGAAAACAAUGGCUAAUUUGGCUGCUAUAAAAUGUCAGCAAAUGAAGGGAAUAAAUUGGUGCGGCGUAUAAGGCGGACCGUGGACCGUCAUUUGGCGUCAGAUAUAAUAAUUGUUUAAUAAUGGAUGGGUCAGAUGCAUUACAUGCUACUACUUGCUAAUUGCUAUGCCUAUCCAAGUGAGGUAUGAGAAUUUGAGAAAAUAACAAAGUGGUCCGAAUGAAGAGCCAAGCUGGCUCCAAAGAACUGGAUUUGCUACGGAAGUAGUGACUGAACCAGUAGCAUGAGAUGCUUCCAAAGUGAAAGUGAUCGAGAUGACCUACCUAGGACCAUCACUAAAUCCAGGAUUAGGGAGACAAAAUAUAGAUCAAGUGAGCUGAAUUAUAAAAAUAAAAGACUAAACAGUAUAAUUAAAUUUAGAACGAACUGAACUGUGUAACAGUUGGGAUGAAUUAAAUCAAAUCCAACAACUACAAUGAACUGAUUCAAAUUAUUUGAAUUGAAGUAAAUUUUUAUAUUUUUUUUAUCUCAUGGGUAAUAAUUCAGUUUGACUUUGGAGCAAUUGAGAUUUGAAGGAUUGAUCUAUGAAACAAUUCAACAAUACGCCAUCAGAAUGUUCGGUGUAAAUUGCAAUUUGAGUCAUGUUGUAACUUUAAUAUUACUUAAAAUGUGGGAGACUGGCACCUCUCAUACCAUGCAUACCUCCGUGUCUUCACACCUCCUGUCUCCUAACAAUAACUCAAUGAUCCUUUUCUUCGAACGUAGACCACAAAACCUGUUUUCAUUUAUUUUUAUUUUUUUUAGAUUAGAUAAAUGGUAAGUUGGCAUAACAUAAAAUUUGCCACCUUAGGUGUCACGUGUAAGAUUGCAGUGUGUAGUAAGUGGUAACCUUCGGUGUCACAUGUAAGUUGACAUUGUAGGCUAUGACACCGACUGUCACAUGUAAGAUGACAUUAGGUUAUGUCACCUUCGGUGUCUCAUUAAAACGACUUCGUAAAAAAAUUACCCACACCAGCACAUUAUUAGCCACAUUAACUAGUAGAAAACUGACGCUAUUAUAAUUGAGGCGAAUGUGAAAUAAAAUCGAAAUAAUCGUAGAGUACAAGGUUUAAAAUUGUAUUUACACUAUUUAUUUUCAUCUGAAGGUCACUAAACUCUAGCGUAAUAUUAUCAUCUUCAAAUGCAAAAUGAAAAAGGAGCUUAUGCGCAAACAAUCCUCUUAUUGCGAAGUGAGUGAAGAAUCAUAUGUAUCAAAUCAAAUGGCUUUGCUGGCCUAUUGAUCACAAAAUGCCUUCGAACCCUCUUUACAUUUGAAUACAACUCCAUGUACUUAUCUUUUGAAACAUUUUGUAAAAUAGUCUUAGUUUCGGGUAUUCUUUCAACUGCAAUGAAUUUACUCCUUUUAACCACAUCACUGAAAGGCAAAGAGUAAUUGUCACAAAUUAUUACUGGGACACACCCCACAUAGAUUGCUUCCACCACCCUAGGACUUGCCACUUGCACUGGGACACAAGCAGAACUUUCUUUGGCCCAUCAACUUUGUAUACUCUAGACCCUUUGGAAGGUACUCGUGAACUUGCACUUCUUUAUCUUUGUUUUUCCAGCAAAAAAGACUAAUAAUAUUGUGCGGUUAUUAGGGUGUUGGGCCGUAUUCGGUGGGCCAAGCUUUCUAGAAGGCAAAUACACUUCAGUAAUGGACACGUCUCUGCUGGGCUGGAAUCCUUCUGAAGUGUUGGCAUUGCAAAGUGCCCUGAUGAAGUACUUGAAGACUUCAGGAUUAGCAUCUGAUAUUCAUGGACCCCGAAUCAUCAAGUAAAGCCCGUGUCCUUUUUAUUUGAAUUUACAAAAAUCACAAGCAACAGGGCAGCUUAUUAAGCUGUAUCAUGAAGAUUUGGAUAAAAGAUCAACAUAAAAUAUUAAGGUAAAAUUUUAAUUCUAAUUAAAAAAAACGUAAGAAACUAUAUUAAAGUUUUGUAUCUAGGGAGAUAUAAGGUUUGACCCGUGAUUAGAGAAGAGUGAAGGGAGAAGGGAGUGAGGAGAGACCUAUGGAUUAUAAUUUUUCAAUUGGCAUUUGUAACGAAACUAAUUGCAUUUAGCGAAAACCAAUGCAGGUUAUGUGUAGCAACUGAUCAAUAGUAUUUUUCAAUCGAAAUUGAAGAUUUACCUUGUUAAUUUGUAUAAUAACUAAAGGUGAAAUUUCAAUUCUGAUUAAAAAAAAACUGCAUCAAAGUUUUUGUACCUAGCAAAACCCAAAGAGCAGGCUAUGUGGACCUAGCCAAUCAUGGAAUGAAACAAGAAAAUGGUCAGCACCUCUGCUUCUGUUCCAAUUAGGAUAUCUAUUUGCAACAAUGUUGAUAUAAUCCAGCACCAAGCGUUGUAAGCGAUCAGGAUCAUAAUCGGAUCUGGACCUUCUGGGCUUGUAUACAUAGCGAAUGACCUUAGAUACACUGAAGGGUAGUAAGAAUAGAUGGGCCUGUUCAGGAUGGGUAGCCUUGAAUGGGCUCUUGUUAGCCAUGUCUAUUUCGUCGAUCAAGGGAUUUUCUUUCUGCACUAAAAACUUUCUUCUACACCCAAUGCUUUUAUCCAAAUUCCAAAACUAUCCCUGCUAACUUCUUCUUCUUCAUGUUUCUUCUUCAUACACCAUUCAUUUUCGUGAGUCGUGGCUGAGCUCCUCUUUCGUUAUUGUGUCUGGUUUGGUCAAGGUGCAUUGUUAUAGUGGUUUGAUUGGCAGUUGAUGGUUGCUAUGGUGGUUGGUGUUGCGGUGUAACGACGAAUGUACAUUUUUUUCUACAUAUUUGAUCUGUCUUUAUUAAUAAACAUAUGAAUUGUCAAUCUGUAUGAAUUAUAUGAAUUGUUAAUCCGUAUGAUUCAUACGAAUUAUCAAUCAGUAAUUUUAUACGGAUGAUCAAUUUGUAUAACUUAUACGAAUUGUCAAUUUGUAUAACUUAUACGAAUUGUCAAUUUGUAUAACGUAAAAAUAUUUUGAAAAUUUGUUUUUAAAAAUUUAGUUAUAUUAUUUAUAAUAUGUUUAAUCACUCAUUUGCUCCCUAUAAUUUCAUAAUUUUUACCUUUUAGUCGUUAUAGUUUGAAAGUGGUAUUUGUAGUCCCUAUCAUUUAUAUUUUAAUUCUCUUUUAGUCCUUUAGAGUUUAAAAUUGGUUUUUUAAUCUUUAUAAUUUGCAUUUUAAUUAUCUUUUAGUAUUUAUAGUUUGAAAGUGGUCUUUUUAAUCCUAUAUUUUAUAUUUUAAUUUUUCUUUAGUCCUUACCAUCAAAAUAUGAUUAAUAUUAUGAAUUACAAUUAACUACAAAAAUAUUAGCAAAUAAUUCUUAAGUAAUUUAUCGCAAGAUAAUUUGUAAUAUAUAUAUAUAUAUAUAUAUAUAUAUAUAUAUAUAUAUAUAUAUAUAUAUAUAUAUUUGUAGCAAUGAUUAAAAGGUAAUAAAAAAAAGUUGAUAUUUUUUUUACCAAGGACCGGAUGAAUAAUUAAACCUUUAUAACAUUUGUGUAAAUAUUAUUACAUUAACUACUUUAUGCAAGUAAAAAAUAAUAAUAAAAUUGUGUGAUAGUACAUAUUUAAAAACAUAUUUAUUGAUAUAUUGACAUACUUAUGUAGUGUAGAAUUAUGUAUGGUAUCGUUAGGGGUCGUGAGUUUGUCAUUGAUUUUUUUUUUGAAUAUUUUGUUAAGAUGAAUGAAAAUCAGUGAAAAUAUGACAACAUAAUGUUUGAAGAAGUUAAUAUGAAUUAAGAAAAUUGAGAGGAACCUGGUGUGUUUAAAAAUAUUGAUUAUUCUGAUACCUUCAAUACUUCUUAGGUAUUGAUAUGAUUUUGUAUUUUUUUAAAGUAAGUAAAUGAAUGUCCCUUGAAGACUUAACAUGUAUUAUCCCUUUUGUAGGUAUUUGCUACCCGUGAUGAUGUUUUGCUUUGGACUCACUUUGUUGUGUAUGAUAUUGGUUUUACAACGAUAAUUAUGAGGUCAAACAUAGAUAUUGGAAAUAGUGGAAGGACCUCAUAUGUUUUAAUUGGUUGUGAAAAGGAGUGAAAAAUAUAGGACAUACAAGAAAGAUUUAAUACAAACACUUACUAGUAGUAGAAAAUAUGGAUGUCUCUUUAAGCUGCAAGCGAAACCAAUGUUGGAAGGUGAAGGAUGGAUGGUGAAGUUAAUAUGUAGGAGUCAUAAUCAUGCAUUAGCUAAGUCAUUAGUGAGACAUUCAUAUGUUAGUCGACUGACUAAGGAUAAGAAAAUUAUUAUUGGUGAAAUGACAAAGUCAAUGAUCAAACUAAAAAAUAUUCUUCUAACAUUGAAAGAGCACAAUUAAUGCCAACAGUUCUUCAACAAUGAAGCAAGUAUACAAUGCAAGAUAUGCAUAUCGUUCUUCUAUAAGAGACAAUAAUACUGAAAUACAACAAUUAAUGAAACUUCUUGAACAAGAUCAGCAUAUUCAUUAACAUAGAUUGAAGGAUGAAGAUGUUGUACGUGAUAUAUUUUGGAGUCAUUCUGAUGCAGUGAAAUUAACCAAUGUCUGUAAUUUGGUAUUUUUCAUAGAUAGUACCUACAAAACAAACAGAUACAGGCUGUCUUUGCUUGACAUUGUUGGUGUGACACCAACUGAAAUGACAUUUUCAGAUACAUUUGUCUAUUUGGAGGGAGAACAUAUAAACAAUGUUAUGUGGGCUCUGGAACGGUUUCAAUGAUAUUCAAAUUGUCAUACAUAUGGAUCAGUGGAGUCGCUCCCCAUGAAUAACUUCAAGAUUGACUGAGGUCACAAAAUGCGUCCAAAAAUACCAUAUUAAUGUGUGUGACACUCUUGUUAGCAAAGAGUGUUAAACUAAAUUCUACAAUAUAUACUUUUAAAAAAUUGAAAAUUUUGUUAUUUAGCAAUAUUAUAAAUAACUAUUUUAAAUAUAAAAAUUAAUUAAAAUAGUUAUUUUAAAAUUAUUAAAUAACAAAAAAAUUUAUAUAUUCAUUUUUAAAUAAAAAAAUUCUGUAAAUAAAUUAUUUAUUAAAUAAAAUAAUUAUUAAAAAUAAAUUAAAAUAAAAAAAUACAUUUUUAAAAUAAAGAACAAUAGUUAUUUAUAAAAUAAUUAAAUAAAAACAUUUAUUAAAUUAAUAAUUUUUUAAAUAAAAAAACAAAAAAAAAAUUAUAAAUACUGAUUGAAAUCCGCAUAAUACAUACGGAUUAUCCGUGGUUCAUUUAUUUAGGCCAAAAUUGAAAAUAUUACUGUUUGAUCCUUUUUCUUUAAGAAGUAACUAACUUAUUAAUAAUUAUUAUAAAUACUGAUUGAGGACUAGUAAUUAGUAAUUCAUAUAGCUUUAGCUCAUGUUUUGUGAAGGACGUAUAACUAUAACUACAUAUUGUGAAGCAAUCAGAGCUUUAUAGGUUGAGAAGGAAGAAAAACCUAUAUGGAGUGUAUUACAUUCUUUUGCAAAAAGUAUUAUAAGUGUUAAUAAUUUGACGUGACUGCCUAUAAUUAUGCAUUAUUAUAUAACAAAUCAGAGAAUAUCUUUUAUAAUAGAGUAGUAUUAUUUUUCCAUCUUUCUUCGUUACAUCAAUUAAUUUGUCUCACAUACUGUACUUUUCCUACAUUACUUUUUGUUUUAUUAUUUUUUAUAUAAAAAAUUUACCUUAAAAAGGAUCUGGAUCUUCUCCCCCAAAACACUCUUCAUUUUUUCAUCAUUUAUUUUUCUUUCUCUAUUCUUUAUGUGCUUCUUUUUUUUAUUUUUUGGGCUACAAACACAAAAGAGGGAAUAUAGGAUCUAAUUUGCGUUAAAAGACAUUUAUGGAAAGCACAAACUACGUUACAAAAAAAGUCAAAAACAGUACAACAGUUGUGAAAAAAAAAAAAGUCAAGUUUCCCAAAACCGUGUUUUAUGGGGUUGUGUAGUUCUUGGAUCGAUUUGCAUCCUGGAUAAAUGAUCGUGCUCGUGCUAAACCUUCUUCAAUCCUCUUCAAACUAGCCACAUUCUUCAUGCCAUGGCCAAACUGAUAAAUUAAAGACAAAAGGAAUUAUUAAUUGAUCCAAGAACAUUGAGAACAACCUUACAAAACAUUAUUACCUUAAUCAAUUCAUGAAUUUUAUUGUUGUAGCUGUCAUUUGCAGAGGUGGAGAGAAGUUCAUGAGGUAUAGUUUCCCUUGAGGGGGAAUCAUACUUACAUGAUUGGCUUUGAUUCUACUAGAAAGUGUGAAAGCAGAAUCUGAGCGGAGAUGAAUCAUAUGAUAAUCAUAUUAGGGAGUGAAAAAAACGAGGAAAAAAUUAAGGAAGAACACUAGUAGAAAGACUAGAUGCCUCAGUCUCAGCACCAUGCAGUAUAAAAUAAGAUUAAGUCUUAAUAAUUGAUGAUUCAACGUCCCACCAAAUAAACAAUCUAUUCUUAUUCCAAAGCAACCCAGUACUCUUCCACUCUAUUUUUUAUUGACUUUUCUAAGAGGAUCUUUAUUUCACCAUAUAUGUAAAGAGGACUUGCUUCUUUCACUUUAUAUUUUUUGAGAGAGAAUAAUUGCUUGAAUAACUAGUAUAAUUCUUUUUCUUGAUGCAACUCUCUCUUUUUCACAUAUUAAUUAACAAUUUUAACCUCAUAACUCACUCACUCUAUAACAGUUAAUUAUUUUUAAAUAACUUCGCCCUCCUAGAGAUGCUCUAAUCUUUUAACUUUAUUAGAGUAGUAUAUAUGUAACUAGCAAACAAUUUAACAAAUAAAUGCUGCCAUCAGCUAUAACCCACCUACAUUGAUGCUCACGUGAAGGCGUGUAGAGUCGAAUUCCUACGUUUCUUUUGGAAUUAAGAAUUUACUCAAUUUUGGUUAAGACAUUCAUUAAGCAAUAAUAUAAGAAGCAUUAGCCAAAAUCAGAAGUGUUAAAUGCGUAGAGAAAUCUUAUAUCUUCUGACAAUUUUUUUAAUACCUCAUAAAAUAAUAUAAAAUGAAAAAAAUAAAUAGUCUUACAAACACAAAAUAAAAAACAUUAAAUAUUUUUUUUAUAUAUUUAACAAAGUAAGUGAAUUAAUGAAAAAAAUUAUAGAAUAAUUUAUAAUUAUUAAAUUCAUACUUGAAUUAGUGAUAGCUACGCACUACCAAACUGGUGAAGCAGAGAACAGUGGUGGUAUAUUCAUAAGUUGUACAGAGUUACUACUAAGAACAAUGCAAAAAGAAGUCACUAUACCAAUGGGGACCUCAUGCUAUUUAGAUAACAAUGAGAAAGAUAAAUCAACUGAAUUAAUCAAAUAUUGAGGUAUGAUCAUAAUCCUUACUAUUCCUUACAUUGGAACUUUGGGCCCAUGAUUAACAUACAAUUAUAAACUUAAUCAUCAUUGCUUUGUCUAUCUAAAAUGCUAAUUCCAACUGAAUCUAUAAUGUUUACAGGACAGUUACAUGGAAAAUCUUGAACAACUACGUCUCGUUUUAGCUGAGAACAUAGCCCAGAUCAACCAAAAAUAGUUACUCAAGUUACUUGAACAAAAAUAGUCUAUAUAACCUCUUAAGAGUUGUAUCCAAACGGGCCUAACGGUGGAAAAUCAAGUAGGACCUUUGUAUGCAGAAACAAUCCUUUAAUGUGAAGCCAUGAGCCUGAAGUUGAGUCUUCUGAGCCAAAUUGAGUGAAUUAUCAUGUGCAUCAAAUCAAAUGGCUUAGCCGGUCUGUGCAUCACAAAAUGCCUCCGAACUCUCCUCACAUUCCUAUACAAUUUCUUGUACUUUUUUUGUGUAACAUUUUGUAAUAUAGUCUUGAUGUCUGGAAUAUUCUCCACUGAAAUUUGUAUGGAGAAUUGGCUCCAAUUAAGCACAUCACUUAAGGGCAAAGAAUAGUUCUCAGAAAUGAUCACAGGAACACACACAGCAUUAAUUGCUUCCACAACUCUAGGACUAGCCACUUCAUACCCACUAGGGCACAAGCAGAACUUGCUUAGGCCCAUUAAUUCAGUAUAGUUUUGGCCCUUUGGAAGGUACUCAUGAACUUGAACUUGGUUAUCUUUGUCCUUCCAGUGCUUAAGAAGCAACUUCCUAAUGUCACCAUGGGCCCCACCAGAGAAAAAUGCUAAUAUGGUGCGGUUCAUUGGGUGUUGGCCCAGAUUUGGUGGGCCUAGCUUUCCAACGGACAAGUACACUUCAGGGAUAGACACGUCCCUCUUGGGCUGGAAUCCUUCUGAAUUGUUGGCAUUGCAUAAAACUCUUAUGAAGUUCUUGAAGAGGUCUGGAUUAGCAUGUGAGAUUUCUGGUGCCUGAAUCAUCAAGUAAAGUAAAAGCAAUUUAUAUUAACUCGGGUUAUAUAUAUAUAUUCAGCAAAAGCACCGCUUGGUAUGAUUAUAAAAUACUUUUUUUUUUUGUUUAAAGCACCCAAAGACUAUGAAGAGAUAUUAAAAAACUCCCAAGUAAUACACGUGAAAUAUGAAGCCCCAACUAAGGCACUUAUUCUAUAGGUUUCAAUUCAAUUACAGCAACAUGAUAAUUCUUCUCUGACACCAGGGUCAUCAGGUUGUUUUAGAAUUUGUUCAAUACUCGAAUAGAAAAACACUAAGAAUCAAAAUAAUGAAUGCAGGGUGCUUAUUUUAAUUGAACAAAUAUAUCAUAUUGUAGUUGUUCUGAACUCAAGUUUGUUAGUACUGGAUUUUGAAGUAUUGUUCACUUUACUGAUGUUUAGUGUCUCUUACAAUUUUAUCUUUAUUAAAAGACACAUCCUUCAAUCCACUUAAUAGUAUUUUAAUGAAGAUAAAACUGCGAUAGAAUUAUUGAACAUCAAAACAAACAAUACUUUUUAAUGCGGUAAUUUAAACAAUGGUAUUUUUAAACUUUUAUAUCUAAGAGUUAGAUUAGAUUUAAUUACAUUAAUUUGUCAUGUACUCUUUACAUGCAUGCAUGGUUAUGAAAAGUUAUUAAACUCAACAUUCCUAGUUUUUUUGGUCUAACUCAUCCUACAAAUAUGAGCAUGUGAGGAACAGUUUUAAGAAGGGUACCCAAUCGUGACAGGAAAGGAGAAAAUGAUCUGCACCAUUGCUUCUGUUCCAAUAAGGAUACUUAUCAGCCACCACUACAAUAUAAUCCUCCACCAACCGUUGCAGACGGUCACGGCGAUAAUCAUUUUGGGACAUGUAAGGUUUGUAAGCAUAAUGAACUACAUUAACCACGCUAAAGGGAAGGAAAAAAGCGUGUGCCUCAUCAGGGUUCUUGGCCUUGAAGGGGCUCCUCUUGCUAUUGUCCAUUUCAUCAAUGAAUUGACCCUCAAUGGCGUAUAUAUCAUUUACUGGCCCAUAAUGCACUAAUGGUUGGUCUCCUUCCUCGUACACCCACACCUUGAAUCUCUUCACCAUCUCUAUGUGGCUCCUGCUUUUCAUUUUAUUUCAAAAUCACCACUUGUUAGUAAUAAUAAUUUAACUAUUUUUUGUGUGCAUGCGUGUAACUUAGAUCAAGUGUGUAAUUAUAAGCAAGGUUUUAAAAAAUGGUCCGUGAUCACAAUCUAGGCCGCAAUGUCAAAGUAGGGUAUGCGCGUCAACAACCCGACCACGACCACAGUUUAAAACCUUGAUUAUAAGUAAUGAAGAUGAAUAUGUCAAAAUCUUUCGAACUUAACUGGUGAAAAGCAUGAGGGUUUCUAUAAAUGGAUCCUUUUGGGAUAAAGUCUUCUUGCUUCCCUGAAUUGCUGUGGUUCCUAGACAGAAUUGCUUCCCGGAUCGAGGCUCGAGCCUUUGCCAAACCUUCUUCAACUACAUCAAAGCUAGUCCUUUUCUGCAUGCAACAAAUUUAGAAAGAAAUAUUUUCCUUAGAAAAGUGGAUACUGAUAAUAAUGUCAUAUAUAUGUAUUACAUAUAUGCGUUAUAGGAAGUUUGACUCCAAAACUUUGUGCUUAAUUUGUGCACACCUUAAUUCUAUGCUCAAGGCUUCUAUAUGCAGAGUUAGCCAGAUACUGACCAUGGGGUUGUAGUUGUGUUGUGAUGCCCUUUAUGCUGGAAAGGGAGAAAUUAGGAAACUCGAAGGAAAGAUGAUUUCCCUCGAGGUGAAUGAUGAAAAGGAAAAGAAAAAUGGGGAAAAGUAAUGGGAGUAACAUAGAGGCUGUGGAGCAUCGAGAGGACAGCAUGGUAGUUCAUAGAUUGAAUGAAGAUUUUCCUUCAUCAAAAGCCAUGAUAGAUAUAUAACCUAUAAUAUUUAACUGAGUAAUCUCAAGGCAUGUGAAUAUGUCUAAGAAGUUGAAGACCUACGUUACUCUAAAGAACUUUUCACAAAGUUUUUAGCAUCAGGUGUUUAAUUUCUAGUUGAAGGCAUGUGGCGUAAACCUUAAAAGUAGGGCAUCGUAUUUAGAACCUUGCACGUCUAUCACCAUAACAUUUUUUUCAGUGCAAGCUUGUUCAAAAGGAAACGGCAUUUUACUUGCCUGAGAUGAGAAAAUUUUGAGCUGAAGCAUGUAAAUGCCAAGUAGUAAUACAUCAGUUUUCACUCGCUAAAAGAAGUGAACACAAAGGAGACACGGAUAAUUAAUGGAGAAAAAGAAAAUGAUAGGGUUUUUUUUUUUUCACUAACCAUUAUUAAGUUUGAACUUAUCACUAUCUAAAUUUCUACUACUAGCCGAUUUUAGUGGUUAGUUAAAACCUCAACUUUGAAGUUGUUACUGUAGAGAGAAUUUUAUCUACUAAUAACUAAAGCUUGAUUUAAAAUACCAACAAAAAAAAAAUCGCUUGAUUUGAAAGUUAUUCGACCAACUUUACAGUGGAGAGUAUCUGGUCAAAGACUAACAAAUAUCGUGUUGCCAUACGUGAUUCUUAAUCACAAAAUUUGACGAUGACUUAUUUAUUUAAAAGGAUUUAACUCUUUUAAAAUAAAGAAAUACACUUUAAUGGACCGUGAAUUCACAAGUGUUGAUUAGAAAAUUACAAAUUGAAAUUAUGAUAAAAUAUAUGCAUAUGUUUAAUGUUAUGAAAUUGUUAAAAGUUUAAUAAUUGAUUUCUAAUCAAUAAUUAUAAUUCUACUUUAUCUUUUAGAAUAUAUUCUAUCAUUUAUUUUAUAGAAGUUGGGAUCUUUAAUUGAUCACAUAGGCGUUUUCAAAAGUCUAGUUUUAAUUUUUAAAAUUAAGUCUGUUAAUAAAAUUCAAUAUAUACAUUUUCAAAUAUUCUUGUUAUUAGAAUUUGUACAAUUAUGAUUAAAUGUCAAUAAAAUUAAUAAAAAUAGAAAAAAGAGUAUUCAAAAGAGUAACUGAUUAUACAUUUUUAUAACUACCAUUGUAUAAUUUUUUCUUUAAUCAAAAUUAAUGGUAAAACGUUUAUACAUACACACACAUAUAUAUAUAUACACCUUUUAAUUUAUUGAAAAUAAAGACACUUUGAUUUAUACUUAAAUUGAAAAUUUGAAAAAUUUAGAAAAAAUUAAAAUCAGAAAAAAACUAAGGUUAAAAUUUUAAACUAUAUAAAUGGGAGAGGAUGGAAAAUAAAAAAUAUAACUAAGAAUUAUAUAUAUAUAUAUAUAUAUAUAUAUAUAUAUAUGAAAAUAUAUUUAAAAAAUAAACAAUAUGAAAAGUAAAAUAAAAAGUUAUUAGAUGUAGAGACAAAAAGGGUUAUUACGUAUUAUAAAUUAAUUUAUGAUAAAGUAUAUUGAUUUGUGUAUUUGAUUAAGCAUAUUUUAAAGAAAUGGUUAUUAUUUUUAUUUAAUUUCUUGUUAAGCAUUGUAAAAAAAAUGAUUAUAUAAGAAGUUUGGAAAUUAUUUAUUUUUAAGUUUUUUUAAAAUAGAAAGGAGAGUAAAAGUAUAACUAACUACUUAGUUAAUAAGUACGUGAUUAUUAUUAAUACGCGGAUACCUAGGAUUGUUAAGAAGCGUGAUAACACAUGAGUUCAAAUCUCCAUAGGAUCACAAACUUAUUGGUAUGGGAGCAUGUGGAUUGAAAUGCAAGCUUUGCGGUUGAAGAAAGUCCAACCUUCUAAGUUCUAAAUUGGAAGAGGUAGCUCUAUGACCAGGGAAAUAAUUAAAAAUUAUUAAGCUGCCUUAGGCAUUCUGUUUAGGAGGAAUUAAUAUUAAUAUUUGAUGUAAUGUCACAGGUAUCUUUCUAACUGUUGUUGAUAGAUGAAUAUACAUGUUAUACUUCAGUACCCUAAUAUUUUCGUCCAAAAUUAAAUUUACAUUCUAUUUUAAAAAAUAAAGUAGAUCAGAUUCGGUUUACUUACUUUUUGAGCAAUACCUGUUAAGCCAACCACCUCUAUUAAACAUUUUUCAAAUAUACAGCACUUUUGAAUACUGUCAUCGAUAAAUUUGACAUCUUAAUUUCAAAGAAAAAUGCAAUAUUCAUCUUAACAGUCACAUAUUAAACAAUCAAACAACCGAGAAAAAAAAAAGAAAAAAACCUGCUAAAUAAAUUCUAGAUACGAUCCUAUUAUAUUGACUAACAAAUUCAAAAGGGAACAAAAUCAAGGCACUAGAGAAAGAAGAGGAAGAGGAGAAAUAAAUAAUUAUAUUCAGAAGAAUCACAGCCUAUUUGGACUUUAGUAGUUAUCACAUUCUUGAAACCCAACAACAAUGAAACAAUGCUCCUUAUCACUACAGAAAAGCUUGCGCCACUACAAUUAAUAUGUGAAAGAUACAUCUUAUGUUGCAUAUAAUUCAUGUUGUGAAAGAUACAUGAAUUAUGGAACCGUGUCACAGCCAAAAGAGUCACGCCACUCUAGCAUUUGAAGAGUGGCUGCAUAAUGUGCCAAUGCCCCAACAACAACAAGAGCAUGAAAUAUUUGAUGGCUAUGACCUGCCAAAUCGAACCACCCUGGCUUCCACCUUUCGGGUAUCCUUGUCACAUAGAAAAAGGUCCCUGUCAAGUAUGAUAAGGCCAUGCCAAUUUCAUAUGCUAAGGUAAUGUUGCGUCUAGGAUUGCUCCAAUUCACAAAGCAUGCAUGGAUUGCAGGCACAAUGCCGAAAAGUCCCAUUGAACAGAACAACAUGGCCCGAAAUGUGCGGUAUUUGCUAGUGGAAAGUGUUGGAGAGAGCAUCGUUGCGAUGGUGAAUAGUCCCAUGGCUGUAAUCCCAGCAAGGUAGAUGAUUUGCCAGUGAGGUUCACAUAGGAAGACAUAGUAGAUUUGAGGGAAAAAGGAGGUGAUGAUCAUGACAACUAUUCCUACAUAGUCCAUUCGCCACAGGAACAGGUUCAAGUCGCGGGAGUGACAACAAAAGAGGUGGCACAUGCUGCUAGAGAGGAGGCAGAACAUAGAGCCUCCUAGGAAAACAAAGAAUGGCCAUCUUGCUAUAACCAGUGCUGUGGAUUCAAGUUCGAUUGUCAAAGGUAUUUGAUGAUUUAAAUCAAAGAGUAAUGUUGUUCCCUGCAAGUUCUUACAAUGUCAGUCUCUAAAAUGUAAACUAAAUAUAUAUUUUGUAAGGUAAUUAUACGGUACUUGUUUGGUUUCACGUUAAAUUAUCCAGAAUCACAUUGGAAUACAAGGUAACAUGAUGAAAUUAUCCAGAAUCAAAUUGGAAUACAAGGUAACAUGAGAAGUUUUGUUUUAUGUUGAGAAAUUGAUUGAGUCUGAAAUUGAUUUGAAUUGAAAGAAUUUUAAGUAACUUUUACAUUGAAUAAAAAAUUUAUAUUAAACUUUAUUACUAACUUAUUUUUAAAUAAAAACAUUCAAACAAGAGUUACAUCACUUCAAAAAUAAAUUUUGUUAACAUUGGUUCAAAUGUGGUGACAAACUGGUAGGGUGAGUUUAUCUGUUUUUACUGUGAUCAUGAGCUCACUUACCAGAAACAAAUCUUUGAUGUUAUGAGAAACAUUUUUUUCCGCACUUGAAGAAAAAGACCUGCAAAAGAUGAUAUGCAAAUUUAGUUGACUUCUGGUAAAAUGUACCAUACCAUUAGCUAGGAAGUUCACCUAAUAUAAAUUCCUAACCACAAUGACUUACAUAAAAUGACAAAAAAAAAGUAGAAGUUUAUUUUCCCGAGUACCCUUCUAGUUAAACUAUCUGUCUAACGCAAAUUGUAUAAUAAUUUUGGUACACCAACUGCAGAUUUGCUGGGCUUAAAUAUAAGAAAACUGAUUAACAUCACAGGAUUGAUUCUUGAAGUAUAAAAACUGAUAAAAUUUUAAUAAGAAAUAACUAUUUAUAUCAUAAAAAAAUAUAAAAGUAUAAUAGGCACUUUCUUUCAUAAUAAAAUCUUAAAGUUACCAAACUCUGAUUGUUAAUUAUUUAUUUGUUAUUUGUUAAAUCAAAAGUGUGCUAAAGAAAUAAUUUCCAUCAUCGUGCCUUCUUUGAGUGUGAAACAAGUGAUAAUAUGAGCUCUGUUCCAAACUCCAACAUUUAUAGUUGUAAUUCUCAGAGUUUCUUUUAAUUUAUAAAUCAUGCGUCAGCGUUUCAUUAGAUAAAGCAAGCUGAUUCCAAUUUUCUGUUUGUUUAUUCUAAAAUUUCAACAUAGCCACCAGGUGCUGGCAACAUGCUGACAUGUGUUUUCUGUUACAUGACGAGAAACAGAGAUUUUGCAAAUCUCAGUCUCUGACAGCAAGUAGCUGAGUUUGUUUGUCAUCACAGGCUCACACACACUAGGAAGGAAAUGCCAUUCAUCUUGUUAACAAAAACUAACACACUAGUAAUAAUUAAUAUUUGUCCAUUAAAAAAAAAGCACAAAUGAAGGAAGAAAAGAAAAAAAGCUGUAGAAAAACCUGGUAAAGAGUUCCAAGAGAUUCACCACUUUAGGCUUCAUCAAAUUCGCGAGGGUCAAUCCGAGAAAGAGUAAAAACCCAAUUAAAUGCCUGAAACACACAACUAAACAACGUUAGCCAUGCAAAAUGAAAGAAAAGAAAUAGAAAGAAAGAUAGAUUGAGGAAGCUUACGUACGUCCAAACAUUUAAGGUUUCGUUAUGCCAACGAAAGAGGCUAAAGAGAGCUUGCUUGAAAGGCCAAUUGGCUCUGUAAUAACGAAGAAUGUAUUCGUUGUCCUUCAUGAAUUCCGGCAGCUCCCAAAACGACAACAGAGGGUAGCGUUUUCCGCAGUGGCGGUCGCACAUGUUGUUAUUGUUGUUAUCCUUGGACUUUGUAAAACACAAGGUUUCACUUUCACCGGUUUCUUUGCCUUUGCGCUUGACCACGCAUUUGGUCUGAAUAUAGUUCAUUGCCCUUUGGCACAAUUGCACAAGGUAUUGUGUUUCUGCUGCUGAGAGAGAGAGAGAGAGUUGUAAUGAAAAUGAAAUUGUGGAUGUAGUAGUAGUAAUUAUGAAUGAAUCAGAAUGUAAAAUGCUAGAUCUAUAGAGAACAUUUAUCUCUGACUUUUCUCUCUUAUGCAGUUGCGUGGCUAAUUGUUGAUGCAGUAAUGGGCGCUGCACAACUGCACCAACUGCAGCAUUUAAGGACCCCGGUUUGGCACUAUUAUGUGGGGUUUGUUAAAAACUUUAAAGCUAGAUAGCUAGCGCACACUUAUUAAUCAAUUCAAUGAUUUAUGAUUCAAUCCUCAUAUAUAGCUGGAACAACCGGUUUCGCUGCUGCCCUUGUUGCACCUUGCUUUGUUAUUAUAUCUUAUUUUAUAGUAUCAAUUUCAUUUGUCAAAUCUCAAGUCAAUAUCUAAAAUUGGAAACUUAGGUGUGUUUGGUUUAUAUUUUUUUUUCAUUUUUUGUUUUCAUUUUCUGAAAAUUAUUUUUAUUUAAAAAAAUUAGAAUUUUGAAAAUAUGUUUGGUUUGACUUUUUGUUUACUGCUUUCAAAAAAUAAAAAUGAGUGAAUAAGCAAUUUAGUCCCUUUGCAUAUUAGUCUUUAACUUAAUAUUAAAUCCAAAAUAGUCCUUAUUUUUGCAGCAAAAUAAUCAUUUCGUUAAAUUUUAAAGUAACACUAUUAGUGAGAUCAAUUUUAGUGCCACGUGAACUAUCCAACGUGACACUAAAGGAUGACGUGGCAUGACACGUGGAUGUGCAUCUUAAGAGAUGUCACGUCAUUUGAUGAUAACAAAACGAGUAAAUAAGCAAUUUAGUCCCUGACUUGGUACCCCUGUUGCAUAUUAGUCUCUAACUUAAUGAAAAAUUCAAAAUAGUCCCUAUAUUUGCAUAAGUGUUGCAAAAUAGUCAUUCCGUUAAUUUUAAAGUAACGCUGUUAGUGAGGUCAAUUUUAGUGUCACAUCAUUUGAUGAUGAUAGAAUGAGUGGCUUCUUCAAAUCUGAUAGUUCUGCAUAACCAUUCUCUUUUUCUCUUUUUUUUUCUUCAAUUAUCAUCAAUGUAUUAUUCCGAGUUCUGGUUUUUUUUUUUUGUUCUGAAUAGGAAGAGAAAAAACCAGAGGAAAACAAAGUGGAGGAGAAAAAAGUAGAGAAAGAAGA